UUUUUGAUUGUCUUCCUUAUGAGUUGCGGUCGGGGACGAGCGAUGGUCUUUUCGUACCAAUCUAUCCCCCUAGGAGCAUGCGCGUAAUACUUUGCUUUGAUAACUUGUAGAUUUUUGCAAUAAGUAUAUGAGUUCUUUAUGACUAAUGUUGAGUCCAUGGAUUAUACGCACUUUUCUUACCCUUCCACCUUUGCUAGCCUCUCUAAUACCGCGCACCUUUCGCCGGUAUCACACACCCACCAUAUACCUUCCUCAAAACAGCCACCAUACCUACCUAUUAUGUCAUUUCCAUAGCCAUUCCAAGAUAUAUUUCCAUGCAACUUUCCACCGUUCCAUUUAUUAUGACACACUUCAUCAUUGUCAUAUUGCUUAGCAUGAUCAUGUAGUUGACAUCGUAUUUGUGGCAAAGCCACCAUUCAUAAUUCUUUCAUAUGUGUCACUCUUGAUUCAUUGCAAAUCCCGGUACACCGCCGGAGGCAUUCAUAUAGAGUCAUAUUUUGUUCUAAGUAUCGAGUUGUAAUUGUUGAGUUGUAAGAAAAAUAAAAGUGUGAUGAUCAUCAUUAUUAGAGCAUUGUCCCAGUGAGGAAAGGAUGAUGGAGAAUAUGAUUUCCCCACAAGUCGGGAUGAGACUCCGGACGAAAAAAAGGAAGGAAAGAGGCCAUAAAGAAAAGGAAAAAUGCCCAAAUAAGAAAAAGAGAGAAAAAGAGAGAAGGGACAAUGUUACUAUCCUUUUACCACACCUGUGCUUCAAAGUAGCACCAUGAUAUUCAUGAUAGAGAGUCUCCUAUGUUAUCACUUUCAUAUAUUAGUGGGAAUUUUUCAUUAUAGAACUUGGCUUGUAUAUUCCAAUGAUGGGCUUCCUCAAAAUGCCCUAGGUCUUCAUGAGCAAGCGAGUUGGAUGCACACCCACUUAGUUUCUUUUGUUGAGCUUUCAUAUACUUAUAGCUCUAGUGCAUCCGUUGCAUGGCAAUCCCUACUCACUCACAUUGAUAUCUAUUGAUGGGCAUCUCCAUAGCCCAUUGAUAUGCCUAGUUGAUGUGAGACUAUCUUCUCCCUUUUUGUCUUUUCCACAACCACCAUUCUAUUCCACCUAUAGUGCUAUGUCCAUGGCUCACGCUCAUGUAUUGCAUGAAGAUUGAAAAUUUUUGAGAACACCAAAAGUAUGAAACAAUUGCCUGGCUUGUCAUCGGGGUUGUGCAUGAUUUAAAUAUUUUGUGUGGUGAAGAUGGAGCAUAGCCAGACUAUAUGAUUUUGUAGGGAUAACUUUCUUUAGCCAUGUUAUUUUGAGAAGACAUGAUUGCUUUGUUAGUAUGCUUGAAGUAUUAUUAUUUUUAUGUCAAUAAUAAACUUUUAUAUUGAAUCUUUCAGAUCUAAACAUUCAUACCACAAUUAAGAAGAAUUGCAUUAAAAUUAUGCCAAGUAGCACUCCGCAUCAAAAAUUCUGUUUUUACCAUUUACCUACUCGAGGACGAGCAGGAAUUAAACUUGGGGAUGCUUGAUACGUCUCCAAUGUAUCUAUAAUUUUUGAUUGGUCCAUGCUAUAUUAUCUACUGUUUUGGACAUUAUUGGGAUUUAUUAUCCACUUUUAUAUUAUUUUUGGGACUAACCUAUUAACCGAAGGCCCAGCCCAGAAUUGCUGUUUUUUUGCCUGUUUUAGGGUUUCGAAGAAAAGGAAUACCAAACGGAGCCAAAACCCUAAUUCCACCGCAGUAACUUUCUGUAUCCACGAGAUCCCAUCUUGGGGCCUGUUCUGGAGCUCCGCCGGAGGGGGCAUAGAUCACGGAUGGCUUCUACAUCAAGACCAUAGCCCCUCCGAUGAAGUGUGAGUAGUUUACCUCAGACCUACGGGUCCAUAGUUAGUAGCUAGAUGGCUUCUUCUCUCUUUUUGGAUCUCAAUACAAUGUUCUCCCCCUCUCUUGUGGAGAACUAUUCGAUGUAAUCUUCUUUUUGCGGUGUGUUUGUUGAGACCGAUGAAUUGUGGGUUUAUUAUCAAGUCUAUCUAUGAAUAAUAUUUGAAUCUUCUCUAAAUUAUUUUAUGUAUGAUUGGUUAUCUGUGCAAGUCUCUUCGAAUUAUCAGUUUGGUUUGGCCUACUAGAUUGAUCUUUCUUGCAAUGGGAGAAGUGCUUAGCUUUGGGUUCAAUCUUGCGGUGUCCUUUCCCAGUGAUAGUAGGGGCAGCAAGGCACAUAUUGUAUUGUUGCCAUCGAGGAUAACAAGAUGUGGUUUUCAUCAUAUUGCAUGAGUUUAUCCCUCUACAUCAUGUCAUCUUGCUUAAGGCGUUACUCUGUUUUUAACUUAAUACUCUAGGUGCAUGCUGGAUAGCGGUCGAUGAGUGGAGUAAUAGUAGUAGAUGCAGGCAGGAGUCGGUCUACUUAUCUCGGACGUGAUGCCUAUAUACAUGAUCAUACCUAGAUAUUCUCAUAACUAUGCUGAAUUCUGUCAAUUGCUCAAUAGUAAUUUGUUCACCCACCGUAGAACACUUAUGCUCUCAAGAGAAGCCACUAGUGAAACCUAUGGCCCCCGGGUCUAUCUUCAUCAUAUUAAUCUCCUACUACCUAGUUAUUUCCUUUGCUUUUUUACUUUGCCUUUAUUUUACUUUGCAUCUUUAUCAUAAAAAUACCAAAAAUAUUAUCUUAUCAUAUCUAUCAGAUCUCACUCUCGUAAGUGGCCGUGUAGGGAUUGACAACCCCUAUUCACGUUGGUUGCGAGGAUUUAUUUGUUUUGUGCAGGUACGAGGGACUCGCGCGUAGCCUCCUACUGGAUUGAUACCUUGGUUCUCAAAAACUGAGGGAAAUACUUACGCUACUUUGCUGCAUCAUCCCUUCCUCUUCGGGGAAAACCAACGCAGUGCUCAUGAGGUAGCAUAGCUACCUAUAUGCGGUAUUCUUUUGCCAUUCUAAGCAAAUAUAUAUGUGCCAUCUCUAAUUUUCAAAAUAAAUUUCUCUUUUGUGUGCUCGUACCGCUCAUGAAACGGUAGGGGGUGGCUGAUAUUUUUCCAUGCUAGAUGUGUUAUUCUCAAGAUGAGUGUUUAUUCACUUGUCAUUGCACGAGAGUACGACAAAGGUAUUAGGGAUGCCCAGUCCCGAAAUGAAAAAUGAAUUUACUUUAUGUUGUCAAAUAAUAAAUUCCUUAGAAAGUGUUGGUUAGGACGGCACCCGUGGAUUCGGUUAGCCGUGGAAUGUGAAAGUAUGGUGGACAAAGGAACAAACUUUAUUUUUUAUUUGGGAGCCGCCUAUGAUAUAUCUAGCAUGGAAAGUAUUGGGAACUACUCGAUUGUUUUCGUUGACAGGAAAAGCAUGCCACCCAAAAUGUUUUUAUCUCUAUCUUUUUCGCUUUGAGCUAUGGCACCUCUACAAAUCCCUACUUCCCUCUAUGAAGGAACUUUCUAUUUACUUUAUGCAAUUUUUUUGUUUUGAGUCUCCAUCUUCUGUUCUAAAGCACCAACUAAGGGACACUAUGAUUGUACUUGUGCAUUGGGUGUAGCUAAUAUGUGAGUGUGUUUCAUGAAUGGAUCAAUGAAUGAACAUAAUGGGCUAGGGAUAAAUUGCUUUAGUAUUGAUAUUUUGAAAGACAUGCACUAUUGCAAGAUGGUCCAUGCGCAACAGUCGAAUCAGAGACCCUUCGACGAAACUGUGUGCGAUGCAUCAAUCACAAACGGUGAUGUAAUAAAACCGUCAGAAAAGAUGCAAAACGUUUGUGAUGGAGGUGACAUCAAACACGGUUCAUAUUAGAUUUGCGUGUGCGAUGAGUGGAAAAUGGUUAAUCUAGAAGAACUUUUUGCGAUGAUGGAGAACAACAAAAACGGGCAGCCAGAUGAGGGUGUGUGCGAUAUACGGCAUAUAGUUCACUAGGAUGAACCAUGUGUGAUUAGGCAACCCAAUGGAAACGGUUCAACUGAACAAGAUGUGUGUGAUACGCGGCAAACAGGUCCAUAAUUAAAAAUGUGUGUGAAGACCAAUAAUAACACAGACGAUUGCUGCUAAUAAGCCGUGUGAUUUGCUCUUUCUACAGAAGAAUAACAUGUAUAUAUAUAACUGAAAUAAACAUCCAAUUACAUAAGUGACUAUACAGAUCAUUCGCACACACCUUAAUAAACAAUUGCAUGCACUCUGAACUAGGAGAAAUGAUCGUCUAGUCAUAUACUUCUUGUGACGCUCCCACCGCUGCUCUGUGGCCCGAUCCGUUGUCUGGACAGGAAGAAGACACUUCCUCAUGUCAACAAUCCGCCCGUACAUCUCGUAGCUUGUGUACGCGUCCUUGGUCGCGUACUUGACGUGUUGUUCAUCCAAUCUCUCAUGCCAAACAGUGUGGCAGGCGUUCUUGUUGUUCUUAGCUCUCAUCCUUCAUCUUCAUGUAGUAGGGGUCGAUGAUGGCUGAGGCAAGGUCAAGCAGGGAGUUAUGUUUGUUGUUGUCGUUGCCCCAGACAUUGUAGUGGUCCUGGAUGUUGACAAGAUUCUGGCAUUUCAAGCCCGAAACCUUGAGAGCUGUUAGAUCGUUGGUGGUGUCCACCAUAGCGAAACUAUAGUCAGAGCUGUUGAUAAACUUGGAGAAAUGCUCGCAAGGCCUUGUGGCCAGGUGGUAGUGGUAGACGAGGACGUCAUGUCGCACGCACAACUGGGCGACGACAACCUGCUGAUCAUGCCCGGCACGAUCGAUGGUGUACUCAAGGUCGAAGCCGACCACUUAGUACUUGUCCCCGGCAAGCAACUGCUCCAUAGUUUGGAUGGAGCUCUCCACCGAGACCGGAUCGUUCGUGUACACCAUCGAGAGGGCCUUCCCCCUCACAUGGGUGUCCACUACGUGAUGCAUGGUGAACUGCCCGCCGUUGUCGUAGUCGACUGCUGAGAGUGCCAUUGGCACCGCUGGAUGUCCUCUCUAUAUGUGCCGUCAUGGAUGUGCUUAUUGUGUUGUGUGUCGCGAGAGAUGAAGGUAAAUGGCCGCAGGAAUAAAUGGGGGCCGGGCGGCCUGGAUUCUUGGUGCGUCCACAUGGCAGUUUUUGCAGUGGGUAACUGCAUCGUCGCGCCGCGCCCGGCGCAACCGCAUGCACAUGAACAUGCAUGAUCGUGCAUCGGCCCCAAACACUGGAAGCACACAUGGAGGGAUGAGGGAAGAGUUCCCGGAGCGAUGCGAGAGCAGAGCGCACUGGGGCUGCCUCAACCACAAGCAAGCACACGCAUAGAGCAAUUGCACAUGCAGGAAAUGGUCGCCUACAAGCCGGCCGACAGUUGCGUCGCUGCGUAGAGAGCGGCUGUGUGCUACUACCUCAGUCUUGGUCUAUUAGUCCCCUUUAUAUUCCGUGGCAUACUUUGCCCUUAAAUUUAACCAACAAAAUGUUAAUGCAUGUUAUAAAAAUUAUAUAAUUGUAAACUAUGUUCAAAUAUGACUCCAACUAUAUAAUCUUUGGCGACAUGCAUUUGUAUUUUAUUAGUUAAAUCCUACUUAUAAACCAGGACGUGGGUAUAGUUGGUAAUUAAAUCACAAAUGUUUUUUAUUAACCGUUUGUGUACGUGGCCUUUCGUCCUCCUCUCGCACGUCUUGUCACCCCGCUGUCGCAGACAGCUUACAGUGCAAGCUUGCACAAUGCGCGAGGGCAUUCUUUUGGCCAAACGGUGGCUCGAAGUGGCGCCAAUGAAUUGUCGGUGAGCCCAUUCCCAUGCAACCUCGCAGGUUCCCGUGCAAGCUUGCUGCCCGACUCGGUGAAAUCCCCCAAAAUCCCAAUGAUUACUGGCCUGGUAUAUAAACCCUCAUGGUCGGCGAGUCCUGUGUCGCAUUUUCCCCUUCCUCCCGCUUAUCUCGCCUGCUUCUCCCACAAUUGGCAAUGGCACCGGUCCGUCAUUGUCGCUCAGCCACUCCGCCGUCAUCAGAGGACAGCUCCAGCUGGGAGGCUACACCGCGGCGGCGGUGCAGUCCCCGGCGUAGUGUAGUGCGCGUGGUGUCCCUGUUGGGUGUGAGCGGAACUCCCACCACACGCUCUGCUACCGCUGCCCGUCGGCAGCUGUUGCCGACCACCGUUUGAUACGUCCAUUUUGCAUCAUGUUUUCCUACUGUUAUUUAUGGUGUUUUUAUGCAUAAUAACACUUUUUGGACUAAUUCUAAUGCCUUUUUCACUCAUAAUUUGCAAGGUACACACAAAGAGGGAGAAUUCCGCCAGCUGGAAAUCUGGACUUGGAAAAGCUAUGUCAUGCUACCUAUUCUGCACAACUCCAAAUAAGAUCAAACUUCACGGAGAAUUUUUAUGGAAUAUAUAAAUAAUAUUGGAGCAAAUAAGUACCAAAGGGAGCCCACCAGGUGGGCACAACCCACCUGGGCGCACCAGGGAGCCCAGGCGCGCCUUGGUGGGUUGUGCUCACCCAAGCCCACCUCAAGUGCCCAUCUUCUGGUAUAUAAGUCAUUUUGACCUGGGAAAAAAAGAGAGGACUUUCAGGACGGAGCGCCGUCGUCUCGAGGCGGAACUUGGGAAGGAGCACUUUUGCCCUCCGGCGGAGCGAUUCCGCCGGAGGAACUUCCCUCCCGGAGGGGGAAAUCAUCAUCACCAACAACUCUCCCAUCUUGGGGAGGGCAAUCUCCAUAAACAUCUUCAACAUCACCAUCUUAUGUCGAACCCUAGUUCAUCUCUUGUGUUUAAUAUUGUUACUGGAACUAUAUAUUGGUGCUUGUGGGUGACUAGUAGUGUUGAUUACAUCUUGUAGUUGAUUACUAUAUGGUUUAUUUGGUGGAAGAUUAUAUGUUCAGAUCCAUUAUGCUAUUUAAUACCCCUAUGAUCUUUAUCAUGUUUAUCACUUGUGAGUAGUUAGUUUUGCUUGAGGUCACGGGAGAAAUCAUGUUGCAAGUAAUCAUGUGAACUUGAUAUGUGUUUGAUAUAUUGAUAGUAUGUAUGUUGUGAUUCCCUUAGUGGUGUCAUGUGAACGUCGACUACAUGACACUUCACCAUAUUUGGGCCUAAGGGAAUGCAUUGUGGAGUAGUUAUUAGAUGAUGGGUUGCGAGAGUGACAGAAGCUUAAACCCUAGUUUAUGUGCUAUUUCGUAAGGGACCGAUUGGAUCCAAAAGUUUAAUGCUAUGGUUAGAAUUUAUUCUUAAUACUUUUCUCAUAGUUGCGGAUGCUUGCGGGAGGUUUAAUCAUAAGUAGCAUGUUUGUUCGAGUAAGAACAUCACCUAAGCACCGGUCCACCCACAUAUCAAAUUAUCAAAGUAGCGAACACAAAUCGAAUCAACUUGAUGAAAGUGACUAGAUGAAAUUCCCGUGUACCCUCAAGAACGUUUUGCUUAUUAUAAGAGACCGUUCUGGCCUGUCCAUUGCCUCAAAAGGAUUGGGCUACCUUGCUGCACUUUUUUUACUAUCAUCAUUACUUGCUUGUUACAAAUUAUCUUGCUAUCAAACUACUUUGUUACUUACAAUUUCAGCACUUCCAGACAUUACCUUGCUAAAAACCACUUGUCAUUUCCUUCUGCUCCUCGUUGGGUUCGACACUCUUACUUAUCGAAAAGAGCUACAAUUGAUCCCCUAUACUUGUGGGUCAUCAAGGAUAUUUUAUGGCGUCGUUGCCGGGGAGUGAAGCGCCUUUGGUAAGUGGAAUUUGGUAAGGAAACAUCUAUAUAGUGUGCUGAAAUUUACUGGCACUUAUUACUAUGGAAAACAAUCCUUGGAGGGUUUUGUUCGGGGUAUCUUCACCUCAACCAGAACCAGAAUUAGCUACCCCUCAACCUACUGCACCUACUGAAAAUAUUGAAUAUGAAAUUCCUUCGGGUAUGAUAGAACAACUGCUAGCUAAUCCUUAUGCAAGAGAUGGAACCGAACAUCCUGAUAUGCACUUGAUAUAUGUGGAACAAAUUUGUGGAUUGUUUAAGCUUGCAGGUUUACCCAGAGAUGAAGUAAAGAAGAAGGUUUUCCCUUUAUCUUUGAAGGGAAAAACAUUGGCAUGGUAUAGGCUAUGCGAUGAUAUUUGAUCUUGGAAUUGGAAUCCAUUGAAAUUAGAGUUUCACCAAAAAAUUAUCCUAUGCAUCUAGUUCAUCGUGAUCGGAAUUACAUAUAUAAUUGUUGGCCUUGUGAUGGAGAAAGUAUCGCUUUAGCUUGGGGGAGGCUUAAUUCAAUGUUAUAUUCAUGCCCCAAUCAUGAGCUCUCAAGAGAAAUUUUUAUCCAGAAUUUUUAUGACCGGCUUUCUCAUAAUGAUCGAUCCAUGCUUGAUACUUCUUGUGUUGGUUCUUUUAUGAUGAAGACUAUUGAAUUCCGGUGGGAUCUUUUGGAAAGAAUUAAACGCAACUCUGAAGACUGGAACUCGACGAAGGUAAAAAGUCAGGUAUUGAGCUUAAGUAUGAUUGUGGUAAAUAAUUUAUGGAUACCGAUGCUUUUCAAAUGUUUAGCACUAAUAUGGGCUUGACUCUGAGAUAGUAGCCUCCUUUUGUGAAUAUUUUGCUACUCAUGUUGAUCUCCCUAAAGAGAAAUGGUUUAAAUACCACCCACCUAUUAAAGAAGAAAUUAAAGAAUGGGUACCAGCUAAAGAAGAAACUAUACUUUAUAAUGUUGAUCCAGUUGUUCCUACUGCUUAUAUGGAGAAACCACCUUUCCCUGAUAGGAUAAAGGAACAUGCUAAAGUUUCAACUGUGGUCAACAAAAGUUAUACUAGAACACCUAAACCUGAUGAACAAAUUAAGGUAGAACCUAGCAUUUCUAUGAUUAAGGAUCUCUUGGAAGAAAAUAUAGAUGGGCAUGUUAUUUACUUCUGUGAAGAAGCUGCUAGAAUUCCCAAACCUGAUAAAAAGGAUAAACAUAGACCUAUUGUUGGCAUGCCUAUUGUCUCAGUUAAAAUAUGAGAUCACUUUUAUCAUGGUUUAUGUGACAUAGGUGCUAGCGUGAGUGCUAUUCCUUAUUCCUUAUAUCAAGAAAUUAUGAAUGACAUAGCACCCACAGAGAUAGAAGACAUAGAUGUUACUAUUAAACUUGCUAAUAGGUACACUAUAUCACCAAUUGGGAUUGUUAGAGAUGUUGAAGUCUUGUGUGGGAAAAUAAAAUACCCUACUGAUUUUCUUGUUCUUGGUUCCCCACAAGAUGACUUUUGUCCCAUUAACUUUGGUAGACCUUUCUUGAACACCAUUAAUGCUAAGAUAGAUUGUGAGAAACAAACCGUCAGUGUUAGUUUUGGUGAUGAGUCUCAUGAGUUUAAUUUUUUCAAGUUUAGUAGAAAGCAUCAUGAAAAAGAAUUGCCUAGUAAGGAUGAAAUAAUUGGUCUUGCUUCUAUUGAUGUGCCUCCUACUGAUCCACUAGAACAAUAUUUGCUAGACCAUGAAAAUGAUUUACUCUAACACCCACAAUGCGGCUAUAUCUCCCACGUGUUGGGGCACGACUUAGAGGCAUAGCCGCAUGGUAGGUUUGUCGCAAGAGGGAUAUCUUCACACAAUCCCAUGUACUGAAUAAGAAAGGGAUAAAGAGUUGGCGUACAAUCGCCACUUCGCACAAAUACAAGUUAAACAUACAUCAUCCAGAAUACAGUCAAGGUCCGACUAUGGAACCAAAGAAAAGAAGAAAACCCCAAAUGCUAGAUCCCCGAUUGUCCCAACUGGGCUCCACUACUGAUCAAAAGGAAAUGAAACAAAACAACGAUCAAGAUAUUCAUCGAGCUCCCACUUGAGCUGGGUUGCGUCACCUGCACUGGUAUUAUCGGCACCUGCAAUUGUUUGGAAGUAUCUGUGAGCCACGAGGACUCAGCAAUCUCACACCCGCGAGAUCAAGACUAUUUAAGCUUAUGGGUAGGAAAAGGUAGUAAGGUGGAGCUGCAGCAAGCACUAAGCAUAUAUCGUGGCUAACUUACGCAGAUAAAAGCGAGAAGAGAAGCAAUGCAACGGCCGUGAACUAGAAGUGAUCAAGAAGUGAUCCUGAAACUACUUACGUUCAAUCAUAACACAAGAACCGUGUUCACUUCCCGGACUCCGUCGAGAAGAGACCAUCAUGGCUAUGCACGCGGUUGAUGCAUUUUAAUUAAGUUAAGUGUCAAGUUCUCUACAACCGGAUAUUAACAAAUUCCCAUUUGCCCAUAACCAAGAGCACGGCUUUCGAAAGUUCAAAACCCUGCAGGGGUGUCCCAACUUAGCCCAUCACAAGCUCUCACGGUCAACGAAGGAUAUUCCUUCUCCCGGUCACAAGACAUUUCGACAAUGGUAAAACAAGACCAGGAAAGCCGCCCGAUGUGCCGACAUCCUAAUAGGAGCUGCACAUAUCUCGUUCUCAGGGUAACACUAGAUUGUCCAAACUUCCGGUAGGCCAGCCCUGAGUUGCCCCUGGUGGCCACCGGCGGCUGACAGGUUCGGACCAACACUUAGACAAGCACUGGCCCGAGGGGGGGGGGGUUAAAAUAAAAAUGACCCUUGAGUCUGCAGAACCCAAGGGAAGGUGAUAGGUUGUUAGGCAAAUGUAAAACCAAGGUUGGGCCUUGCUGGAGGAGUUUUAUUCAAAGCGAACUUUCAAGGGGUUCCCAUAACACCCAACCGCAUAAGGGACGCAAAAUCAAGGAACAUAACACCGGUAUGACGGAAACUAGGGCGGCAAGGGUGAAACAAAACACUAGGCAUAAGGCUGAGCCUUCCACCCUUUACCAAGUAUAUAGAUGCAUUAAAGUAAAUAAGAGAUAAUAAUGAUAUCCCAACAAUAUCCAUGUUCCAACAUGGAACAAACUCCAUCUUCACCUGCAACUAGCAACACUAUAAGAGGGGCUGAGCAAAGCGGUAACAUAGCCAAACAACGGUUUGCUAGGAAAGGUGGGUUAGAGGCAUGACAUUGCAAUAUGGGAGGCAGGAUAUAGCAAGUGGUAGGUAUUGCGGCAUAGCAAAAGAGUGAGCAACUAGCAAGCAAAGAUAGAAGUGAUUUCGAGGGUAUGGUCAUCUUGCCUGAGAUCCCGCAAGGAAGAAGAACGAGUCCACGAAGAAGACAAAUGGACGUAGUCGAACGGAUCCUCACAAACGCGACAUUAUCGGAACUAACCCGAAGAAGCAACACCGGAAAGAAGCAAACAACAUAGUAAACAACCAUCAAAUCAACAUGGCAUGAUGCACAACCAAGUAUGAUGCAUACCCAGUUUAAUGAAGCAUGGCAUGACAAAGUGCACAAGCAAUCCUACAAAUUAAGUGGAGCUUAAUAUGCAACGAGUUUCAUAUUGACGAAACACCACGUGACUUAUUUAGUUCUCUCCCGUUUAUGUACUCAACAAUAUUAAAUGUUGGUUAGCAUGGCAAGAGGUGAAGCAUAUGAAAACUACCUGUUUAGGCAAGUUUAAAUGAGGCCGUAACAACAAACAACAAGUCCGGAAACUCCUCAUGUGCAUAUUUUAGGUUUGGAGCUACGGUUAUUUAGUUAUGAGUUAAAUCAUUUUAACAUGGCAAUUAAGAAAAUAAAUGCAAACAACAGUUUAAACAUUUUAAACAAGGUUGAAAGUUGGAUAUUAUGAAACUAGACACAAUUUUAAGCAUUUUUCAUAUAUAAUUUGUUUUAAAAUGAUGCACCGUUUGAGAGAUAGAAUAUGCAUGAAUAACAGGGGGUUUCUGUAAAACAGGCAGGCUCAAGAUAAAAAGAUAAAUUCGCAGAACAGGGAAAAAAUAUACUGGGCUGAAACUGAUGGAACUGGGCUGAACAGGAUUUGGGUGGGGUGCAGCUCACCUUGUGGGCCUUGGCCCAGGUCGGUGAAGCAACAGGCCAGCGGGAAGCUGAACUAGGCGCUACGCUGGGCCUCACAGGCAGAUCGAAGCGAGGCAGGGCGUGGUCAAUGCGCGGUCGAGCGUUGGAGGCUUCGCGCGGCCGACGUGGCUGGCGACGCGGUCAACGAAGGGGCGAGCUUGAGGGAGUCACGUGAGCUCCUCUGCUCGAUGCAGAGCAAGGAGAGGUCGCCGGCGGCUGCUAGGAUUUGGCAAAGGGUGGCGCGAUGGGCAGCGGCGGUGGACCAAGGUGAAGCAGGGGAGGUCCGGCAGAGGACGCAGAACCCGGGCAGCGCAAUGGCGAGGCUCCCAGCGGCAGCUAGUGCUACAAGGAGACAGCGUCCCUGGAGCUCGUUCCUUCUGGUACGGUGAGGUACAAUGGGGCGGCGCUGGGGUUCCUAGACGGCAGAGCGCGUGAGGCCACGGAUGAAGCUCGAAGAAGGUGCAAGAGGCGGAGCGCCAUGGAGAUCAUGGACGACGGGGCCAGAUCGGCCGGCAGGGCGCCAAGGGACGUCGAGGUGGCGGAGGUCGCGGGUCGAGCAUUGGGCUUGAGGUGCAGGAGGACCCUGUGCUGUGGCGAGGAUGGCCGGCGGCGAGGAGGCAGCAGAGACGCGGCGAGGUGUAGUGGAGGGAGCUCCAAGCUCGGCCGGCUGCGACCAUGGAGGACGGCAGCGCGGAGGCGGGGCCCUUGAGGGCGCGACGCUCGGGAUCCGGUGUCCGGCAGGGUCGCGGUAGCGGCCUCCGGCGAGGGAGCUGAACAGAGGCGGGGCGACGAGGGCACUGGAGGGUCGGGCAGGCGACCUCACAGCCACUCCUCUCCUUUCCUACGGGUGGUGACAUGAGCGAGAGAAGCGAGAGGAGGGAGGAGAGGAUCGAGCGAGGCGCUACGAGGGAGGCGACGCUGGAGGAGGGAUCGAGGGAGACUACUAGGUUUCAGUCGGGCCUAGGGUUAGAAUAGGAGGUGGUUGGCUGGGCCUUGGAGGUCGGCCCAGUAGAGAGGGGGGCUGCGCCUAGGCGCAGGCGGGCCUGCUUGAGUGCGGUUGGCCUAGGUGGGCCGACAUGGGCGGUUGGGAGGCCCAGAAGGCCAGGUAGGCUGAACUCCUCUCUCUUAUUUCUAAAACAGAAAAAUAACAAAGAAGAGAAGAAAAAGGAAGGAUGUGUUAGGGGAAGAAGUUGUACAUACAGAUAAUUUUCCCGGACUCACAAAAAUGUGCUUGUUCUGAGAAAAUAGAAAAAGGCCAGAUCGAACGAUAAGAAUUCAAACUCAUUUGAAUUUUAUUCAAAUGGGUUUGAACUAGGAUGAGGUUUUAGGAGUGUCCAAAAAUGUUGAGGUUUUUGGUGGAACUCCGAAAAGUGAAGAAAGAAUUUAGGGAAAAGUUUGGAGACGAGGAAUUUAGUAAGAAAAGCAUGGAAUAUUUUGCAAGUGUGUUGUGGUAAAUUCCAAAGGAUGGAAUAUUUAUUAUAGCCCCCUAAUAUUGGGAGGAUAUGUUAUAAAGAGAAUCACCAUGUGAAUAUCCCUCGAUUUAAAUGAAUCAAAGAUCCAUACAAUUUGAUUGUUGAGAAAAAGAUGGCAUGAUGACAUGAUGCAAUGCAAAAGAUGCAAAGAAGAAAGCAAUGAACCAAAGAAAUCACAUGACAAAACCCGAAAAUCAUGGAAGGCACCUGAAGCUCCGGUCUUGGGGCGUCACAUUUACAUAUGCAUGAAAGAAAUGAAAUAGAUAAGAUUUUCUUUGAAUAACGUCCUCUGCUUAAACACAAUUUGCCUAUUUAAACUCUUGGAGGUCCUCCUCCACCUAAAGGUGAUCCUGUGUUUGAAUUAAAACAAUUGCCAGCCACUUUAAAAUAUGCUUAUCUUGAUGAAAAGAAGAUAUAUCCUGUUAUUAUUAGUGCUAACCUUUCAGAACAUGAAGAAGAAAGAUUAUUGAAAGUUCUAAGGAAGCACCGAGCUGCUAUUGGAUAUACUCUUGAUGAUUUAAAGGGCAUUAGUCCCACUUUAUGUCAGCACAAGAUUAAUAAGGAACCUGAUGCUAAACUCGUUGUUGACCACCAACAGCAGUUAAAUCCGAAGAUGAAAGAAGUGGUAAGAACAAAAAUAUUAAAACUUCUGGAAGCAGGUAUAAUCUAUCCUAUAGCUGAUAGUAGAUGGGUAAGUCUUGUUCAUUGUGUCCCUAAGAAAGGAGGUAUUACUGUUGUUCCUAAUGAUAAGAAUGAACUUAUUCCACAAAGAAUUGUUACAGGCUAUAGAUUGGUAAUUGAUUUUAGAAAAUUAAUUAAAGCAACUUGAAAAGAUCAUUACCCUUUGCAUUUCAUUGAUCAAAUGUUAGAACAUUAUCUAAGCACACACAUUUUUACUUUCUUGAUGGAUACUCUGGCUUUUCACAAAUACCUGUUUCUCAACCUGAUCAAGAAAAUACCACUUUUACUUGUCCCUUUGGAACUUAUGCUUAUAGACGUAUGCCUUUUGGUUUAUGCAAUGCACCUGCUACCUUUCGAAGAUGUAUGACUGCUAUAUUCUCUGAUUUUUGUGAAAAGAUUGUUGAGGCAUUCAUGGAUGAUUUCUCUGUUUAUGGGAAGUCUUUUGAUGAUUGUUUAAGCAAUCUUGAUCGAGUUUUGUAGAGAUGUGAACAAACAAAUCUUGUCUUGAAUUGGGAGAAGUGCCCUUUAUGGUUAAUGAAGGUAUUGUCUUGGGUCAUAAAAUUUCUGAAAGAGGUAUUGAAGUGGACAAAGCUAAGGUUGAUUCAAUUGAGAAAAUGCCAUGUCCUAAAGAUAUCAAAGGUAUUCGUAGUUUCCUAGGUCAUGCUGGUUUCUAUAGGAGAUUUGUCAAAGACUUCUCUAAAAUUUCUAGGCGUCUUACAAAACUUUUGCAAAAGGAUGUUCCUUUUGUUUUUGAUGAGGAUUGCUUAGAAGUCUUCGAAACACUCAAGAAAACCUUAAUUUCUGCACAUGUUGUUCAACCACCUGAUUGGAACUUGCCUUUUGAAAUUAUGUGUGAUGCUAGUGAUUAUGCUUUUGGUGCUAUUCUAGGGCAAAGAGUUGAUAAGAAAUAGAAUGUCAUUCAUUAUGCUAGUAAAACUCUAGAUAGUGCUCAAUGAAAUUAUGCUACUACUGAAAGCAAAUUCUAGCAGUGGUGUUUGCUUGUGAUAAAUUUAGAUCUCACAUUGUUGAUUCAAAAGUAAUAGUUCACACCGAUCAUGCUGGUAUUUGUUGGGGAACGUAGUAAUUUCAAAAAACUUCCUAUGCACACACAAGAUCAUGGUGAUGCAUAGCAAUGAGAGGGGAGAGUGUGAUCUACGUACCCUUGUAGACCGCAGCGGAAGCGUUAGCACAACCCGGUUGAUGUAGUCGUACGUCUUCACGGCCCGACCGAUCAAGCACCGAAACUACGGCACCUCCAAGUUCUAGCACACGUUCAGCUCGAUGACGAUCCCCGGACUCCGAUCCAGCAAAGUGUCAGGAAGAGUUUCGUCAGCACAACGGUGUGGUGACGAUCUUGAUGUACUACCGCCGCAGGGCUUCGCCUAAGCACCGCUACAAUAUUAUCGAGGACUAUGGUGGAAGGGGGCACCGCACACGGUGAAGAAUAUGAUCACGUGGAUCAACUUGUGUGUCUAGGGGUGCCCCUGUCCCCAUAUAUAAAGGAUCAAAGGGGGGGGUGCGGCUGGCUAGGAGGUGGGCGCGCCAGGAGGAGUCCUACUCCCACCGGGAGUAGGAUUCCCCCCCUUUCCUAGUUGGAAUAGGAUUCAGGAGGGGGAAAGAGGAGAGAGAGAAGGAAGGGGGUUCGCCGCCCUCCUCUCCUUAUCCUAUUCGGACUAGGGGGGGAGGGGCGCGCGGCCCAGCCCUGGCCACCUCUCCUCUCUUCCACUAAAGCCCACUAAGGCCCAAAUACCUCCCGGGGGGUUCCGGUAACCUCCGGGUACUCCGGUAAAAUCCCGAUUUCACCCGGAACACUUCCGAUAUCCAAAUAUAGGCUUCCAAUAUAUCAAUCUUUAUGUCUCGACCAUUUCGAGACUCCUCGUCAUGUCCGUGAUCACAUCCGAGACUCCGAACAAACUUCUGUACAUCAAAAUGCAUAAACUCAUAAUAUAACUGUCAUCGAAACCUUAAGCGUGCGGACCCUACGGGUUCGAGAACAAUGUAGACAUGACCGAGACACGUCUCCGGUCAAUAACCAAUAGCGGAACCUGGAUGCUCAUAUUGGCUCCUACAUAUUCUACGAAGAUCUUUUAUCGGUCAGACCGCACAACAACAUACGUUGUUCCCUUUGUCAUUGGUAUGUUACUUGCCCGAGAUUCGAUCGUCGGUAUCUCAAUACCUAGUUCAAUCUCGUUACCGGCAAGUCUCUUUACUCGUUCCGUAAUACAUCAUCUCACAACUAACUCAUUAGUUGCAAUGCUUGCAAGGCUUAUGUGAGGUGCAUUACUGAGAGGGCCCAGAGAUACCUCUCCGACAAUCGGAGUGACAAAUCCUAAUCUCGAAAUAUGCCAACCCAACAUGUACCUUUGGAGACACCUGUAGAGCACCUUUAUAAUCACCCAGUUACGUUGUGACGUUUGGUAGCACACAAAGUGUUCCUCCGGCAAACGGGAGUUGCAUAAUCUCAUAGUCAUAGGAACAUGUAUAAGUCAUGAAGAAAGCAAUAGCAACAUACUAAACGAUCGGGUGCUAAGCUAAUGGAAUGGGUCAUGUCAAUCAGAUCAUUCACCUAAUGAUGUGAUCCCGUUAAUCAAAUAACAACUCUUUGUCCAUGGUUAGGAAACAUAACCAUCUUUGAUUAACGAGCUAGUCAAGUAGAGGCAUACUAGUGACACUCUGUUUGUCUAUGUAUUCACACAUGUAUUAUGUUUCCGGUUAAUACAAUUCUAGCAUGAAUAAUAAACAUUUGUCAUGAUAUAAGGAAAUAAAUAAUAACUUUAUUAUUGCCUCUAGGGCAUAUUUCCUUCAGUCUCCCACUUGCACUAGAGUCAAUAUUCUAGAUUACACAGUAAUGAUUCUAACACCCAUGGAGCCUUGGUGCUGAUCAUGUUUUGCUCGUGGAAGAGGCUUAGUCAACGGGUCUGCUACAUUCAGAUCCGUAUGUAUCUUGCAAAUCUCUAUGUCUCCCACCUGGACUAGAUCCCAGAUGGAAUUGAAGCGUCUCUUGAUGUGCUUGGUUCUCUUGUGAAAUCUAGAUUCCUUUGCCAAGGCAAUUGCACCAGUAUUGUCACAAAAGAUUUUCAUUGGACCCGAUGCACUAGGUAUGACACCUAGAUCAGAUAUGAACUCCUUCAUCCAGACUCCUUCAUUUGCUGGUUCCGAAGCAGCUAUGUAUUCCGCUUCACACGUAAAUCCCGCCACAACGCUUUGUUUAGAACUGCACCAACUGACAGCUCCACCGUUUAAUGUAAACACAUAUCCGGUUUGCGAUUUAGAAUCGUCCGGAUCAGUGUCAAAGCUCGCAUCAACGUAACCAUUUACGAUGAGCUCUUUGUCACCUCCAUAAACGAGAAACAUAUCCUUAGUCCUUUUCAGGUAUUUCAGGAUGUUCUUGACCGCUGUCCAGUGAUCCACUCCUGGAUUACUUUGGUACCUCCCUGCUAGACUUAUAGCAAGGCACACAUCAGGUCUGGUACAUAGCAUUGCAUACAUGAUAGAGCCUAUGGCUGAAGCAUAGGGAACAUCUUUCAUUUUCUCUCUAUCUUCUGCAGUGGUCGGCCAUUGAGUCUUACUCAACUUCACACCUUGUAACACAGGCAGGAACCCUUUCUUUGCUUGAUCCAUUUUGAACUUCUUCAAAAACUUUGUCAAGGUAUGUGCUUUGUGAAAGUCCAAUUAAGCGUCUUGAUCUAUCUCUAUAGAUCUUAAUGCCUAAUAUGUAAGCAGCUUCACCGAGGUCUUUCAUUGAAAAACUCUUAUUCAAGUAUCCCUUUAUGCUAUCUAGAAAUUCUAUAUCAUUUCCAAUUAGUAAUAUGUCAUCCACAUAUAAUAUCAGAAAUGCUACAGAGCUCCCACUCACUUUCUUGUAAAUACAGGCUUCUCCAAAAGUCUGUAUAGAACCAAAUGCUUUGAUCACUCUAUCAAAGCAUUUAUUCCAACUCCGAGAGGCUUGCACCAGUCCAUAAAUGGAUCGCUGGAGCUUGCACACUUUGUUGGCUCCCUUUGGAUCGACAAAACCUUCUCGUUGCAUCAUAUACAACUCUUCUUCCAGAAAUCCAUUCGGGAAUGCAGUUUUGACAUCCAUCUGCCAAAUUUCAUAAUCAUAAAAUGCAUCAAUUGCUAACAUGAUUCGGACAGACUUAAGCAUCGCUACGGGUGAGAAGGUCUCAUCGUAGUCAAUCCCUUGAACUUGCCGAAAACCUUUUGCGACAAGUCAAGCUUUGUAGACAGUAAUAUUACCGUCAGCGUCAGUCUUCUUCUUGAAGAUCCAUUUAUUCUCAAUUGCUUGCCGAUCAUUGGGCAAGUCAACCAAAGUCCAUACUUUGUUCUCAUACAUGGAUCCCAUCUCAGAUUUCAUGGCUUCAAGCCAUUUUGCGGAAUUUGGGCUCACCAUCGCUUCUUCAUAGUUCGUAGGUUCAUCAUGAUCUAGUAGCAUGACUUCCAGAACAGGAUUACCGUACCACUCUGGCGCGGAUCUCACUCUGGUUGAUCUACGAGGUUCAGUAGUAUCUUGUUCUGAAGUUUCAUGAUCAUUAUCAUUAGCUUCCUCACUAAUUGGUGUAGGUGUCGCAGAAACAGGUUUCUGUGAUGUACUACUUUCCAAUAAGGGAGUAGGUACAGUUACCUCGUCAAGUUCUACUUUCCUCCCACUCACUUCUUUCGAAAGAAACUCCUUCUCCAGAAAGUUUCUGAAUUUGGCAACAAAAGUCUUGCCUUCGGAUCUGUGAUAGAAGGUGUAUCCAAUAGUUUCCUUUGGAUAUCCUAUGAAGACACAUUUCUCCGAUCUGGGUUCGAGCUUAUCAGGUUGAAGCCUUUUCACAUAAGCAUCGCAGCCCCAAACUUUCAGAAAUGAAAACUUUGGUUUCUUGCCAAACCACAGUUCAUAAGGCGUCGUCUCAAUGGAUUUUGAUGGUGCCCUAUUUAACGUGAAUGCGGCCGUCUCUAGAGCGUAUCCCCAAAACGAUAGCGGUAAAUCAGUAAGAGACAUCAUAGAUCGCACCAUAUCUAGUAAAGUACGAUUACGACGUUCGGAUACACCAUUACGUUGUGGUGUUCCGGGUGGAGUGAGUUGCGAAACUAUUCCACAUUGUUUCAAAUGUACACCAAACUCGUAACUCAAAUAUUCUCCUCCACGAUCAGAUCGUAGGAAUUUUAUUUUAUUGUUACGAUGAUUUUCAACUUCACUCUGAAAUUCUUUGAACUUUUCAAACGUUUCAGACUUGUGUUUCAUUAAAUAGAUAUACCCAUAUCUGCUUAAGUCAUCUGUGAAGGUGAGAAAAUAACGAUAUCCGCCACGAGCCUCAACAUUCAUCGGACCACAUACAUCUGUAUGUAUGAUUUCCAACAAAUCUGUUGCUCUCUCCAUAGUACCGGAGAACGGUGUUUUUGUCAUCUUACCCAUAAGGCACGGUUCGCAAGUACCAAGUGAUUCAUAAUCAAGUGGUUCCAAAAGCCCAUCAGUAUGGAGUUUCUUCAUGCGCUUUAUACCGAUAUGACCCAAACGGCAGUGCCACAAAUAAGUUGCACUAUCAUUAUCAACUCUUCAUCUUUUGGCUUCAACACUAUGAAUAUGUGUGUCACUACUAUCGAGAUUUAAUAAGAAUAGACCACUCUUUAAGGGUGCAUGACCAUAAAAGAUAUUACUCAUGUAAAUAGAACAACCAUUAUUCUCUGAUUUAAAUGAAUAACCGUCUCGCAUCAAACAAGAUCCAGAUAUAAUGUUCAUGCUUAACGCUGGCACCAAAUAACAAUUAUUUAGGUCUAAUACUAAUCCCGAAGGUAGAUGUAGAGGUAGCGUGCCGACUGCGAUCACAUCGACUUUGGAACCAUUUCCCAUGCGCAUCAUCACCUCGUCCUUAGCCAAUCUUCGCUUAAUCCGUAGUCCCUGUUUCGAGUUGCAAAUAUUAGCAACAGAACCAGUAUCAAAUACCCAGGUGCUACUGCGAGCAUUAGUAAGGUACACAUCAAUAACAUGUAUAUCACAUAUACCUUUGUUCACCUUGCCAUCCUUCUUAUCCGCCAAAUACUUGGGGCAGUUCCGCUUCCAGUGACCAGUCUGCUUGUAGUAGAAGCACUCAGUUUCAGGAUUAGGUCCAGGUUUGGGUUUCUUCUCUUGAGUAGCAACUUGCUUGCUGUUCUUUUUGAAGUUCCCCUUCUUCUUCCCUUUGCCCUUUUUCUUGAAACUAGUGGUCUUGUUGACCAUCAACACUUGAUGCUCCUUCUUGAUUUCUACCUCCGCAGCUUUCAGCAUUGCGAAGAGCUCGGGAAUAGUCUUAUUCAUCCCUUGCAUAUUAUAGUUCAUCACGAAGCUCUUGUAGCUUGGUGGCAGUGAUUGGAGAAUUCUGUCAAUGACGCAAUCAUCUGGAAGAUUAACUCUCAAUUGAAUCAAGUGAUUAUUAUACCCAGACAUUUUGAGUAUAUGCUCACUGACAGAACUGUUCUCCUCCAUCUUGCAGCUAUAGAACUUAUUGGAGACUUCAUAUCUCUCAAUCCAGGCAUUUGCUUGAAAUAUUAACUUCAACUCCUGGAACAUCUCAUAUGCUCCAUGAUGUUCAAAACGUCGUUGAAGUCCCGAUUCUAAGCCGUAAAGCAUGGCACACUGAACUAUCGAGUAGUCAUCAGCUUUGUUCUGCCAGACGUUCAUAACAUCUGGUGUUGCUCCAGCAGCAGGCCUGGCACCCAGCGGUGCUUCCAGGACGUAAUUCUUCUGUGCAGCAAUGAGGAUAAUCCUCAAGUUACGGACCCAGUCCGUGUAAUUGCUACCAUCAUCUUUCAACUUUGCUUUCUCAAGGAACGCAUUAAAAUUCAACGGAACAACAGCACGGGCCAUCUAUCUACAAUCAAACAUAAAUAAGCAAGAUACUAUCAGGUACUAAGUUCAUGAUAAAUUUAGGUUCAAUUAAUCAUAUUACUUAAAGAACUCCCACUUAGAUAGACAUCCCUCUAAUUCUCUAAGUGAUUACGUGAUCCAAAUCAACUAAACCAUGUCUGAUCAUCACGUGAGAUGGAGUAGUUUCAUUGGUGAACAUCACUAUGUUGAUCAUAUCUACUAUAUGAUUCACGCUCGACCUUUCGGUCUCCGUGUUCCGAGGACAUAUCUGUAUAUGCUUGGCUCGUCAAGUAUAACCUGAGUAUUCCGCGUGUGCAACUAUUUUGCACCCGUUGUAUUUGAACGUAGAGCCUAUCACACCCGAUCAUCAUGUGGUGUCUCAGCACGAAGAACUUUCGCAACGGUGCAUACUCAGGGAGAACAGUUCUUGAUAAUGAGUGAGAGAUCAUCUUAUAAUGCUACCGUCAAUCAAAGCAAGAUAAGAUGCAUAAAAGAUAAACAUCACAUGCAAUCAAUAUAAGUGAUAUGAUAUGGCCAUCAUCAUCUUGUGCUUCUGAUCUCCAUCUUCGAAGCACCGUCGUGAUCACCAUCGUCACCGGCGCGACACCUUUAUCUCCAUCGUAGUAUCGUUGUUGUCUCGCCAAUCUUAUGCUUCCACGACUAUCGCUACCGCUUAGUGAUAAAGUAAAGCAUUACAGCGCGAUUGCAUUGCAUACAAUAAAGCGACAACCAUAUGGCUCCUGCCAGUUGCCGAUAACUCGGUUACAAAACAUGAUCAUCUUAUACAAUAAAAUUUAGCAUCAUGUAUUGACCAUAUCACAUCACAACAUGCCCUGCAAAAACAAGUUAGACGUCCUCUACUUUGUUGUUGCAAGUUUUACGUGGCUGCUACGGGCUUAAGCAAGAACCAAUCUUACCUACGCAUCAAAACCACAACGAUAGUUUGUCAAGUUGGUGUUGUUUUAUCCUUCGCAAGGACCGGGCGUAGCCACACUCGGUUCAACUAAAGUUGGAGAAACUGUCACCCGCUAUCCACCUUUGUGCAAAGCACGUCGGGAGAACCGGUCUCGCGUAAGCGUACGCGUAAUGUCGGUCCGGGCCGCUUCAUCCAACAAUACCGCCGAACCAAAGUAUGACAUGCUGGUAAGCAGUAUGACUUAUAUUGCCCACAACUCACUUGUGUUCUACUCGUGCAUAUAACAUCAACACAUAAAACCUAGGCUCUGAUACCACUGUUGGGGAACGUAGUAAUUUCAAAAAAUUUCCUACGCACACACAAGAUCAUGGUGAUGCAUAGCAACAAGAGGGGAGAGUGUGAUCUACGUACCCUUGUAGACCGCAGCGGAAGCGUUAGCACAACGCGGUUGAUGUAGUCGUACGUCUUCACGGCCCGACCGAUCAAGCACCGAAACUACGGCACCUCCAAUUUCUAGCACACGUUCAGCUCGAUGGCGAUCCCCGGACUCCGAUCCAGCAAAGUGUUGGGAAGAGUUCCAUCAGCACGACGGCGUGGUGAUGAUCUUGAUGUACUACCACUCUCGACCAUUUCAAGACUCCUCGUCAUGUCCGUGAUCACAUCCGGGACUCCGAACUAACUUCGGUACAUCAAAACUCAUAAACUCAUAAUAUAACUGUCAUCGAAACCUUAAGCGUGCGGACCCUACGGGUUCGAGAACAAUGUAGACAUGACUGAGACACGUCUCCGGUCAAUAACCAAUAGCAGAACCUGGAUGCUCAUAUUGGCUCCUACAUAUUCUACGAAGAUCUUUAUCGGUCAGACCGCAUAACAACAUACGUUGUUCCCUUUGUCAUCGGUAUGUUACUUGCCCGAGAUUCGAUCGUCGGUAUCUCAAUACCUAGUUCAAUCUCGUUACCGGCAAGUUUCUUUACUCGUUCCGUAAUACAUCAUCUCGCAACGAACUCAUUAGUUGCAAUGCUUGCAAGGCUUAUGUGAUGUGCAUUACCGAGAGGGCCCAGAGAUACCUCUCCGACAAUCGGAGUGACAAAUCCUAAUCUCGAAAUACGCCAACCCAACAUGUACCUUUGGAGACACCUGUAGAGCACCUUUAUAAUCACCCAUUUACGUUGUGACGUUUGGUAGCACACAAAGUGUUCCUCCGGCAAACGGGAGUUGCAUAAUCUCAUAGUCAUAGGAACAUGUAUAAGUCAUGAAGAAAGCAAUAGCAACAUACUAAACGAUCGGGUGCUAAGCUAAUGGAAUGGGUCAUGUCAAUCAGAUCAUUCACCUAAUGAUGUGAUCCUGUUAAUCAAAUAACAACUCUUUGUCCAUGGUUAGGAAACAUAACCAUCUUUGAUUAACGAGCUAGUCAAGUAGAGGCAUACUAGUGACACUCUGUUUGUCUAUGUAUUCACACAUGUAUUAUGUUUCCGGUUAAUACAAUUCUAGCAUGAAUAACAAACAUUUAUCAUGAUAUAAGGAAAUAAAUAAUAACUUUAUUAUUGCCUCUAGGGCAUAUUUCCUUCAGUAUUAAAUAUCUUAUGGAAAAGAAAGAUGCUAAACCUAGACUUAUUCGAUGGGUUCUCUUGCUACACGAAUUUGAUUUACAUAUCACUGAUAGGAAAGGAGCCGAGAACCCCGUAGCCGAUAACUUGUCUAGGCUUGAAAAUGUGUUUGAUGAGACACUACCUAUUGAUGAUAGUUUUCCUGAUGAGCAGUUAGCUGCAAUAAAUGUUUCUCAUAACAUUCCUUGGUAUGCUGACUAUGCUAAUUACAUUGUUGCUAAAUAUUUACCACCUAGCUUUACAUACCAACAAAAUAAAAAAAAUCUUCUAUGAUUUAAGACAUUACUUUUGGGAUGACCCACAUCUUUAGAAAGAAGGAGUAGAUGAUAUUAUUAGGUUUUGUGUACCUGAGCAUGAACAGAGACAAAUCCUAUGGAAAUGUCACUCCGAAGCUUAUGGAGGGCAUCAUGCUGGAGAUAGAACUGUUCACAAGGUAUUGCAAUCCGGAUUUUAUUGCCCUACUCUCUUCAAGGAUGCCUGUAAGUUCGUCUUAUCUUGUGAUGAAUGCCAAAGAAUAGGUAAUAUCGGUAAGCGUCAAGAAAUGCCUAUGAAUUAUUCACUUGUUGUUGAACCGUUUGAUAUUUGGGGAUUUGAUUACAUGGGACCUUUUCCUUCCUCUAAUGGGUAUAUAUACACAUAUUUUGGUUGAUGUUGAUUAUGUCACUAAAUGGGUAGAAGCUAUUCCAACCAGUAGUGCUGAUCACAACACCUCUAUUAAAAUGCUUAAAGAAGUUAUUUUCCCAAGGUUUGGAGUUCCUAGAUAUUUAAUGACUGAUGGCAGUUCACAUUUUAUUCAUGGUGCUUUCCGUAAAAUGCUUGCCAGGUAUGAUGUUAACCAUAGAAUUGCAUCACCUUAUCAUCCUCAGUCUAGUGGUCAAGUUGAACUUAGCAAUAGAGAAAUAAAAUUAAUCUUGCAAAAGACUGUCAAUAGGCCCCAGAAGAAUUGGUCUAAGAAAUUAGAUGAUGCACUUUGGGCUUAUAGAACAACAUAUAAAAAUCCUAUGGGUAUGUCUCCUUAUAAAAUAGUUUAUGGAAAAGCUUGUUGUUUGCCUCUUGAGUUAGAACAUAAAGCAUACUGGGAAAUCAAAGAACUCAACUAUGAUUUCAAACUUGCCGGUGAAAAGAAGUUAUUUGGUAUUAGCUCAUUAGAUGAAUGGAGAACCCAAGCUUAUGAAAAUGCCAAGUUAUUUAAAGAAAAAGUUAAAAGAUGGCAUGAUAAAGGAAUUCAAAAGCGUGAGUUUAAAGUUGGAGAAUAUGUUCUUUUGUACAACUCUUGUUUCAGAUUCUUUGCAGGAAAACUCCCCUCAAAAUGGGAAGGACCAUAUGUUAUCGAGGAGGUUUAUUGGUCUGGAGCUAUCAAAAUAAAUAAUGCCGAAGGUAAUAACCUGAAGGUUGUUAAUGGGCAACGAAUAAAACUUUAUAUCUCAGGUACGCCCAUUAAUGUUGAAAGCAAUAUUAUCCAAACUUUGACACCGGAAGAACACAUAAAAGAGUCUUUCCAGAACACUCGAUAAUCAUGAAAAUAAGGAGGUACAGGAUACGGUAAGUAAAUGGACUCUGAAAAAUCCGCAAAAAUAUUUUUUGUUAGUUUUGGAAUAUUUAGAAAAUUAGGAAAAUAGAAACUUCCAGGAAGCGUACCCAGGUGGGCACAAGACACCAGGGCAGCCCUGGCUUGCCAGGCGUGUCUAGGUGGGUUGUGCCCUCCUCGGGUACCUUCCGGACUCCGUUUUCUACAGCUUGCUUGUUUCCCAAGAUAAAAAAUCUUUAUAUACCCCCGAACCUAUUGACCACCGUAUCGUGGAGAGAUCUUCUGUUUUCUUUUCUUGUUGUUUUCCUGUCAGAUAUGAAAAUAUGUCAUCCCAAGACUCCGAGGGUGAGAGCUAUGCUGCUGAUUGCAUCACAAACCCCAAGUCCUAUGGGGAUGUGGAGCACUAUGGCUAGACCACGGAGGAAGAGGAAGACUAUUAUCCUAGGGAGAAGGAGGAGACGAGCUCAAAUGAAGAUGAAACCCCGUUUCCUCAACCAGGGGCCAUGCAUGUGGAAUUCAAGAAGUCAAGCCUCCCGAACAAACCAAAGAGGCCUAAGGUUCGGUCUAUACCCUUCCACCGUUUGUAGGACAGUAAGCAAGAUUUAAUGAAAAAGGUGCUGGAGCUUGAACAGGAGAUCGGUGAAUUGAAGGAGGAAAAUUCUAUCCUCAAGCGUAAGUUGAGGAAGAAGGACAAACCUUCCACUACACCACCACCACCACCUUCUUCUUCAUCACCAAAAGAGAAUUGAGUAUUGGGUAUGGGCACUCCCCUUGGCUUCCGCCAAGCUUGGGGGAGGUGCCCCAGUAUCGUAUCAUCCCCACUAUCUUUUGGCUUUACUUAUUUUAGUUUGAUCUUUUGGUUUAGAUGAAUAAAAGUUUAGUCCGAUCCUUUCUUUUUGAGAGUUUGCUUAGUGAUCUAUCCUUGUAAUCGUGUGCGAGAUAUAUAAUAAAGUUCAGUUUGAGUUUUGCUUUCUUUACUUUCAUGUUGCAAUAAAAAGAAAGGAAAUAAAUAAAAGGAAAGGAAAUAAAUCAAGAAUAUCAUAUGCUAAUCUUAUGGUAGGUGAUGACACCACAUAAGGAAAAGUAUAAGUAGGAAAUUUUAUUAGAGAUUGACAAACAUAGCAUGAGUCAAUGAUGCAACUCAUGAACGAAUUAAUAAGGUAAGAGAAGAUUCACAUAUAAAUAUAGAUAUUCACCCAAGGACACACAUGUGAUUUUUCAAACAACUUUGGUGCACUGGAGCCUGUACUUGUAGUUCAAAUUUGAAUUAUGCACAUUAAAUGCUCAUAAACUUAAUUAAUGUAUAAAAAGGUGAAACGAGCCUGGAAUAAUUCCAAAAUUUAGCAUGAUACUUCUAUUUGGUCUAAUCUAGCUGUGUAAAAAAAAUUAAGGCGGGAGAAGGCAGUGUACGUAUGUCAUUUCGCACACGUAGGUGACAUGUUCCCUCUCGGAACUACGGGCCUUCUUGAGAGAAGCUCCGGUUUGCAAGAAGCUUAUACCAAAGCUUGUCCCAACUCGGUCAAAAAAUUACCGCAUCAUGUUGGUGUCAUGUCAUGACACCAUGCCAAGUUUCAUGAUUUUCAGGCGUGUUUUGGAAUUACAGGAAUUAAAAAACCAAGUUUCUCAAUCUUUCCGGCCGAGCCACGACGCCUAGAUGUUUGAAUUUAACUCCCAUCUCUUGCAUGGGACCUAGAAAUUCACCCAAGGGCACACAUUUGAUUUUUCAAACAACUUUGGUGCACUGGAGCCUGUGCUUAUAGUUCAAAUUUGAAUUAUGCACAUUAAAUGCCCAGAAACUCAAUUAAUGUAUAAAAAGGCCAAACGAACACGGAAUAAUUCCAAAAUUUAGCACGAUACUUCUAUUUGGUCUAAUUCUCCUGUAUAAAAAACUAAGGCGGGAGAAGGCAGUGUACGUAUGUCGUUCCGCACACGGAGGUGACACAUUCCCUCUCGGAACCAGGAGCCUGCUUGAGGGAAGCUCCGGUUUGCAAGAAGCUUACACCAAAGCUUGUCCCAAUUCGGCCAAAAAAAUUACUAUAGCAUGUUGGUGCCAUGUCAUGAUACCAUGCCAAGGUUCAUGAUUUUCAGCCAUGUUUUGGAUUUACAGGAAUUAAAAAAACCAAGUUUCUCAAUCAUUCCGGCCGAGCCACGACACCCAGAUGUUUGAAUUUUAUUCCCAUUUCUUGCAUGGGACCUAUAAAUUCACCCAAAGACACACAUGUGAUUUUUCAGCAAACUUUGGUGCGUUGGAGCAUGUGCUUGUAGUUCAAAUUUGAAUUAUGCACAUUAAAUGCCCAUAAACUCAAUUAAUGCAUAAAAAAUGCCAAACGAACCCGGAAUAAUUCCAAAUUUAAACACAACACUCAUGUACUAGUUGCAUGUUCACUGUACGUAAAUGUUCUAGGAAUUCAAACACCAUCCUUUCCCUCUGAGGGAGUCCUGGACUAAGGGGUCCUCGGGCGUCCGACCUAUUGGAUAUGGGCCGGACUGAUGGGCCGUGAGGAUACGAAGACCGAAGACUCUACCCGUGUCCGGAUGGGACUCUCCCUGGCGUGGAAGGCAAGCUUGGCUACCAAAUAUGAAGAUUCCUUUCUCUGUAACCGACCUUAUGUAACCCUAGAUCCCCCCGAUGUUUAUAUAAAUCGGAGGGCCGAGUCCGUAGAUAGAUCCUCAUAAUCAUAGUCAGACAGGCUAGACUUUUAGGGUUUAGCCAUUAAGAUCUCGUGGUAGAUCAACUCUUGUAAUACUCAUAUUCAUCAAGAUCAAUCAACCAGUAAGUAGGGUAUUACCUCCAUAGAGAGGGCCCGAACCUGGGUAAACAUUGUGUCCCUGUCUCCUGUUACCGUCGAUCCUAGACGCACUUUUCGGGACCCCCUACCCGAGAUCCGCCGGUUUUGACACCGACACCCUCUGUAACAACAUUUUUUUCUUUCAAAACAUAAUGAAAAAAUCAGGUAUAGCACAAACAGUUUACUAGAAAGAAUUGUGUGGGAUGCGAUAUAAAAUAUCUUGGGACACCGUCUUGUCUGGCUUAUGCAGGAAGCUUCGUCGUCUAGAGUCCACCGCCCCCGCUUGAACCACACUUGCGCGCCAGUUUCUCAUGGCACUGAGCGAAUUUUUUUUGCCACCGUGGAAAUAUCCAUCUCCCCGCCCCCUCCCUCCAACCAAAAGCCACAUUUCCACUAUUCCUCCUUGCUUUCCAAGUUCAAACCUUCACUGCUUCUUAGUGGCAGCUCAGCCUCCUCGCCGGCGACCCUUCUUCUUGCAGCGCCGCCUCUUCGCCGACUACCCUUCUUCUUGCAGUGCCUCCUCCUCGCCGGUGACCCUUCUUCUUGAUGCAAGGCCUCCUCGCCGCCGACCCUUCUUCUUGCUGCGCGACCUCAUCGAUAUGGUCAGGUAAUCCACACACCACCCACACCAUCCUCCUCCUUUCCCGUCCCACAUGCCCCGACUGACUGAGCGACACCUUCCACCAAAAUCACUGCCCCCUCCUCCAAUUAAGUGCCGCCCACAGCCAUUUUACAUGCAGUAUAACAUGGAGGUGAGUAGCAUGCGGCCGCACGCGCGAACGAGGUCGCUAUGGCUGACAUGCGUGUCGACCGCUAGAUCUUGGAGGAGCACCUAGUCUUCGAGGCCACCGUCGACACCGCCGCAUGGUUGUCUACUUUAAAAUACAGUUGGUGGUGUUUUCUCGAAGUCACAGCCAGUCCUUCUAGCGAUUUGUCCUCUGUAAUGUUAAUAUGCAAUCUGAUGUUUAGUUAAUAGUUUGGUCCUCUGAAAUGUAAUGUUCAGUUAACACUUUGGUCCAACAAUUUCUAAAUUUCGUAGUACUCUUCUCAAGAAUUCUUUGUUUUGUUAACUGUCUUAUCUUCUCAUACAUGUUUCUACUCUGCAAUGCCGUGCUCAGUUAACUAUUUUGGUUCAUUUGGUCUGCUAUCCAUUUAACUGUUUGGUUCAGUUCUACAAUUUGGCUGUACUCAAUACAUAUUCUACUGAUAGUAUGGCAACUCUCAGUUAACCUGAUCAAGAUCUUCCUUAUGUGUGUUGCAGGGAAACAAUGGGAGACACUGCGGUUUACCAUCGAGGUUUGUUCAAGCAAGGUCCUUUGUCUAAUAGCACAUUAUUGUGCAGUUGCAGGAAUCAUUCUAAUAUUUAGGUUUCUUACAAUUUGGUCUUGCACUUGUAGGUCCUGCUGUCAGAGGCUUAGACCCACUGUUCGACCCAUUUUGCAUAUGGGGAAAUGAGAUGUCCAUGAAUAUCAGUCAAGUCAAGAAACUCAGAAAGAUUGCUAGGAUCAAGAAACUUGUGACGAAUAACUGCAAGAUCUUUGUUUGCACAAUGAAGAAGACAGCAGUCCACUAUAGGAUGGUACCAACUCUUUUACCUUGUUUUUACCCCUUGCGACAUUUCAAAAUUUACAAAAGUGAUUUAUGCAUAGCCGUGUUUUUAGUACUUUUCAAAGCAGUUCACCGAUGAUUACCUCUCAAACCACCUGCAUGGUCAAGAGGCGAGGAAGGUAUUCAUUCAACACCCACAGUACAAUAUUGAAAUAUUGCUGAAGAGGACGAAGGUUGGGCAGGCAAUUAUCCAUAGCCCCUGGCCUAAAGUUGCAAGGACAUUCAACAUCACCGAAGGCUCAAUAUUUGCCUUCCUCUUCUGUAGUUUCCCAGAUGAGAUUCAUCUGUCUAUUUACCGUGUAUGAUGCUACUUUCCAAAGGUUUUUGAUGCUGCAUGUGAAACUUGGUGCUAUUGUGUAAUGGCGUAACUGAGUGCCGAAGCUAUCUGCUGUAAUUCGAUUAUGAAAUCCGGGUUUCUUUUGUACGGAUAUGAAAUAUCUGCCGUGUUUUAUAAGAAAUAUCAGUUUGAUUAGUACAAGGAUUGUCAAUAAUAGGCUAAUUACCCUGCUUAUUGGGGUUUUCUAUUGCAAACAGUUACUCAGAUAGCACCGUGGGCGAUGAACUCAAACAACCCGCAUGGUUUCUAGAAAGUAGGCGUGUUCGAUCAACUAAUAAUCACACACGGCUUCCGGCAGCGAACUGUUUCCGUUAGGCCACCUUGCACAAACGUUUCCACACAAAGAACUGUGUGGGAUGUACAUACCUACAGAAAUGAUUUUAUGGGAUUAACCGUGUGGGAUGUACAUAUCUACGGAAUGAUUUAUGGGAUUCACCGUGUGGGAUGUACAUACCUAUGGAAAUGAUUUCUGGGAUUCACCGUGUGGGAUGUACAUACCCACGGAAAUGCUUUCUAGGAUUCACUGUGUGGGAUGUACAUACCUACGGAAAUGAUUUCUAGGAUUCACCAUGUGGGAUGUACAUACCUACGGAAAUGAUUGGGUUUCCAUGCCUCGCCCGAUCGCACACGGCCCUAGCCUAGGUCCCACGAGGGCCUAUCACCGACGAUUUCUGGGUCGUGUGGGAAGGACCCCCUAUUGCCCACAGUCACUUGGUGACGGUUCCAAAUGCUGUUGCGGAAAGGGGUUUUAAACCGUUCGUUUAGGACGUUGCUGUACCAGUGUGGUUUAAAUAUCAUCCCCCUAUUAAAGAAGAAAUUAAAGAACCGGUAGUUGCUAAAUAAGAAACUAUCAUCUACAAUGUUGACCUAGUUGUUCCUACUCCUUACAUCGAGAAACCACCUUUUCCUGUUAAGAUAAAAGAACAUGCUAAGGUUUCAACUAUGGUCUGUAGAAGUAAUAUCAAAGCACCUAAACCCCCUGAGCAAAUCAAAGUAGAACCUAGUGUUUCUAUGGUUAAGGAUCUCUUGGUCGAUAAUAUUGAUGGGCAUGUUAUUUACUUUGUUGGUGAAGCUGCAAGAUUUGCCAAAACCGACGGGAAAGAUAAACAUAGACCCGUUGUUGGCAUGCCCGUUGUCUCAGUUAAAGUAGGAGAUCACUGUUAUCAUGGUUUAUGCGACAUAGGUGCUAGUGUGAGUGCUAUUCCUUUUACCUUAUAUCAAGAAAUUAUGAAUGACAUAGCACCCGCUGAAAUAGAAGACAUGUAUGUUACUAUUAAACUUGCUAAUAGAGACACCAUCACACCACUUGGGAUUGUUAGAGAUGUUGAAGUCUUGUGUGGGAAAAUAAAAUACCAUACUGAUUUUCUUGUUCUUGAUUCCCCACAGGAUGACUUCUGUCCCAUUAUCUUUGGUAGACCUUUCUUGAACACCGUUAAUGCAAAAAUAGAUUGUGAGAAACAAACUGUCGGUGCUAGCUUUGGUGAUGAGUCUCAUGAGUUCAAGUUUUCCAAGUUUAGUAGAAAACCUCAUAAAAAAGAAUUGCCUACUAAGGAUGAAAUUAUUGGUCUUGCUUCCAUUGCUAUUCCUCCAACCGAUCCUUUAGAACAAUAUAUGCUAGAGCAUGAUAACCCACAAGUAUAGGGGAUCGCAACAGUUUUCGAUAAGUAAGAGUGUCAAACCCAACGAGGAGCUAAAGGAAGAACAAAUAUUCACUCAAGUACUAUCGACCACCGAUACAACUCAACGCACGCUUGAUGUUCGCUUUACCUAGAACAAGUAUGAAACUACAAGUACUUUGUAGGUGUUGUUGGAUAGGUUUGCAAGAUAAUAAAGAGCGCGUAAAUAAAAGCUAGGGGCUGUUUAGAUAAAGACACAACUAAGUAAGUUUUAGUAAAGACCUUUUUGUUACAAGAAAGUUAUUUGUCCCUAGGCAAUUGAUAACUAGACCGGUAAUCAUUAUUGCAAUUUUAUUUGAGGGAGAGGCAUAAUCUAACAUACUUUCUCUACUUGGAUCAUAUGCACUUAUGAUUGGAACUCUAGCAAGCAUCCGCAACUACUAAAGAUCAUUAAGGUAAAACCCAACCAUAGCAUUAAAGCAUCAAGUCCUCUUUAUCCCAUACGCAACAACCCCCUUACCCGGGUUUGUGUUUCAGUUACUCACGCAACCCACUAUAAGCGAAUCAUGAACGUAUUGCAACACCCUACAGCGGGGAUCCCUCACGCUUGCGCGACACGGAGAGCACCAUAGGACAGCACCAAUAAUAAAACAUGCAACUCAAACCAAUAUUGAUCAUUAAAUAGCCCAUAGGACAAAACGGAUCUACUCAAACAUCAUAGGAUAGCCAUACAUCAUUGGGAAAUAAUAUAUAGCAUUGAGCACCAUGUUUAAGUAGAUAUUACAACGGUAAGAGAGAGGUUACACCGUUGCAUAGAGGGGGGAAGAGUUGGUGAUGAUGGCGGUGAAGUUGUUGGUGAAGAUUGCGGUUAUGAUGAUGGCCACGGCAGCGUUCCGGCGCCACCGGAAGAGUAGGGGAGAGGGGGCCCCUUCGUCUUCUUAUUCCUUGACCUCCUCCCUAGAUGGGAGAAGGGUUUCCCCUCUGGUCCUUGGCCUCCAUGGCGUGGGAGGGGCGAGAGCCCCUCCGAGAUUGGAUCUGUCUCUCUGUCUCUCUCUGUUUCUGCGUUAUCAGAUUCUAUCCUUUCACCGUUUCUUAUAUUCCCGGAGAUCCGUAACUCCAAUUGGGCUGAAAUUUUAACACGAUCUCUAUGCGGAUAUUAGCUUUCUUGCGGCGAAAGAAGGUCACCAACUGCCUUACCGGGUGGUCACGAGGGUCAGGGGCGUGCCCCCCUGCCUCAUGCCUCCCUCGAGCACCGUCUCGCGUGGAUUUUUCUUCCCAAAAAUCAUAUAUAUUCCAAAAAAUAAUCUCCGUCAGUUUUUAUCCCGUUUGUACUCUGUUUGAUAUGGAUAUUCCAUGAAACAAAAAACAUGCAACAAACAGGAACUGGCACUGGGCACUGGAUCAAUAUGUUAGUCCCAAAAAUAGUAUAAAAAGUUGCCAAAAGUAUAUGAAAGUUGUAGAAUAUUGGCAUGGAACAAUCAAAAAUUAUAGAUAUGAUGGAGACGUAUCAGCAUCCCCAAGCUUAACUCCUGCUCGUCCUCGAGUAGGUAAAUGAUAAAAAAGAUAACUUUUGAUGUGGAAUGCUACCUAGCAUAGUCUUGAUCAUGUAUCUAAUCAUGGCAUGAAUAUUAAGAUACGAGUGGUUCAAAGAAAUAGUCUAUCAUUUGACAUAAAAACAAUAAUACUUCAAGCCCACUAAUAAAGCAAUCAUGUCUUUUCAAAAUAACAAGGCCAAAGAAAGUUAUCCCUAUAAAAUCAUAUAGUCUGGCUAUGCUCCAUCUUCACCACACAAAAUAUUCACAUCAUGCACAACCCCGAUGACAAGCUGAGCAAUUGGUUCAUACUUUUAAACGCGCUUCAGCAUUUUCAACCCUCAUGCAAUACAUGAGCGUGAUCCAUGGAUAUAGCACUAUAGGUGGAAUAGAAUGGUGGUGGAGGUUGUGUGGAGAAGACAAAAGGGAGAAAGUCUCACAUUGACGCAGCUAAUCAACGGGCUAUGGAGAUGCCCAUCAAUUGAUGUCAAUGUGAGGAGUAGGGAUUGCCAUGCAAUGGAUGCACUAGAGCUAUAAGUAUAUGAAAGCUCAAAGUAAAACUAAGUGGGUGUGCAUCCAACUUGCUUGCUCAUGAAGACCUAGGGCAUUUGAGGAAGCCCAUCGUUGGAAUAUACAAGCCAAGUUCUAUAAUGAAAAUUCCCACUAGUAUAUGAAAGUGAUAACUCAAGAGACUCUCUAUAUGAAGAACAUGGUGCUACUUUGAAGCACAAGUGUGGUAAAAGGAUAGUAACAUUGCCCCUUCUCUCUUUUCCUCUCAUUUCUUUUUUUCUUUUUUUGGGCCUUCUCUUUUUUGGCCUUUCUAUUUUUUUCUUUUUUUUCGUCCGGAGUCUCAUCCCUACUUGUGGGGGAAUCAUAGUCUCCAUCAUCCUUUCCUCACUAGGGCAAUGCUCUAAUACUUAUGAUCAUCACACUUUUAUUUACUUACAACUCGAUACUAGAACAAAGAUAUGACUCUAUAUGAAUGCCUCCGGCGGUGUACCGGGAUGUGCAAUGAUCUAGCGUAGCAAUGAUAUCAAAAAACGGACAAGCCAUGAAAACAUCAUGCUAGCUAUCUUACGAGCAUGCAAAGAAAUAUGACAAUGAAUGCUCAAGUCAUGUAUAUGAUGAUGAUGGAAGUUGCAUGGCGAUAUAUCUCUGAAUGGCUAUGGAAAAUGCCAUAAUAGGUACGUAUGGUGGCUAUUUUGAGGGAGAUAAAAGGAGGCUUAUGUGUAACAAAGCGUAUCAUAUCACAGGGUUUGGAUGCACCGGCGAAGUUUGCACCAACUCUUGAGGUGAGAAAGGGCAAUGCACGGUACCGAAGAGGCUAGCAAUGAUGGAAGGGUGAGAGUGCGUAUAAUCCAUGGACUCAACAUUAGUCAUAAAGAACUCACAUACUUAUUGCAAAAGUUUAUCAGCCCUCGAAGCAAAGUACUACUACGCAUGCCCCUAGGGGGAUAGAUUGGUAGGAAAAGACCAUCGCUCGUCCCCGACCGCCACUCAUAAGGAAGACAAUCAAUAAAUACCUCAUGCUCCGACUUUGUUACAUAACGGUUCACCAUACGUGCAUGCUACGGGAAUCACAAACCUCAACACAAGUAUUUCUACUAAUCCACAACUACCCACUAGCAUGACUCUAAUAUCACCAUCUUUAUAUCGCAAAACUAUUGCAAGGAAUUAAACAUAUCAUAUUUAGUGAUCUACAAGUUUUAUGUAGGAUUUUAUGACUAACCAUGUGAAUGACCAAUUCCUGUCAUCUCUCUAAAUAGAUAUAAGUGAAGCAAGAGAGUUUAAUUCUUUCUACAAAAGAUAUGCCCACGCUCUAACAAAUAUAAGUGAAGCAAAAGAGCAUUCUACAAAUGGCAGUUUUCUAUGUAAAGAGAAACAGGCAAUCCAAACUUCAAAUGAUAUAAGUGAAGCACAUGAAGCAUUCUAUAAAGCCAUACUCAAAAGAUAUAAGUGAAGUGCAAUGAGCAUUCUAUAAAUCAACCAAGGACUAUCUCAUACCAGCAUGGUGCAUAAAAGAAAAAUGAAAACUAAAUGCAAAAGACGCUCCAAGAUUGCACAUAUCGCAUGAACAAAACGAAUCCGAAAACAUACCGAUACUUGUUGAAGAAAGAGGGGAUGCCUUCCGGCGCAUCCCAAGCUUAUAAACUUGAGUCUCCUUGAAUAUUUACUUGGGGUGCCUCGGGCAUCCCCAAGCUUGAGCUCUUGCCUCUCUUCCUUCUUCUCAUAUCGAGACCUUCUCGAUCAUCGAACACUUCAUCCACACAAAACUUCAACAGAAAACUCGGUAAGAUCUGUUAGUAUAAUAAAGCAAAUCACUACUCUAAGUGCUGUUGCAAACCAAUUCAUAUUUUGUUUUUGCAUUGUGUCUACUGUAAUAUAACUUUUCCAUGGCUUAAUCCAAUGAUAUGAAUUGAUAGUUUCAUCAAAACAACCAAAGUAUGCAUCAAAAACAGAAUCUAUCAAAAAUAGAACAGUCUGUAGCAAUCUGAACAUUCACCAUACUUAUGAUACUUGAACAAUUCUGCCAAAAUAAGGAAAAAUAAAAAAUUUGCAUAGAAAGACAGUUCAAUAGGAAUCAGAAGAGUUUUAUGUUCCAGUAAAAAAUGUAAAAUCGGGCACUACAGCCAAAGUUUCUGUCCUGCACCGUACAAACCAACAAGCAUCUAAAACAUCCUAAAGGCGAACCUUGGCACAUUAUUUUUAUAAUACAAUGGAAUUGAACAAGGGGAUAAUUAUUUUUGUUGAAAAAUUCCUGUAAUCAAGAUUCACAAAGUUUCCGUGAGCAUGAACAAAGUUCAUGUCUAGCUCCCACUUCAACAAUUCUCGUCUUUCUCACUUUCACUUUCCUUUUUGAAAAAGUUUUGGGUUCCCCUCUUUAUUUUUCUUGUUUUUAAACUAUAUGAAAGCACUCAACAGAAAUAAAUGACUCUCUAAAACUUCCGGGUUGUCUCCCUGGCAGCUCUUUCUUUAAAGCCAUUAAGCUAGGCAUAUAGUGCUCAAGAAGUGAAUCCACCCGGAUCCCAAGGUAUAUCAAAGCCAAUUUUAAUUAACAAUGAUCUGUAAUUUAGUAGUGAGCACAAAGCAACAUAUAUCAAGUAAUGACGAAGUCUAAAUCUCUUCCUAUGCAUCGGCAUGUCAUAAAAGAACAGUUCAUGCACACAUAGUAAUGGCCAAUGCAUAGUAUAAACAGCUUCUUGCAAUUUUUCCAUGUUGGAAACAUAGAGAGGUGGAGAUAUAGUUCCUCUCUCAUAAUAAUUGCAAGUAGGAGCAGAAAGCACAUGCAUAUUAUAUCUAUCAAAAUCAUCAUGUGUAGUAGUAAAAGGCAACCCAUCAAUAUAAUCCUUAAUAAGCACAAAGUUCUCCGAUAUAGUGUAGUUUGGAGAAUUCAAAAAGAUAAUAGGACUAUCAUGUGUGGGUGCAAUAGCAAAAAUUUCAUGUUUAACAUAAGGAACUAUAGAAAGUUCAUCUCCAUAACCAUAAUUCAUAUUGGCAUCUUGGCCAUAAGCAUAGCAAGCAUCAUCAAAAAGGGAUAUUUCAAAAGAAUCAACGGGAUCAUAGCAAUUAUCAUAACAUUCAUCCUUCGGUAAGCACGAAGGGAAAUUAAACAAUGUAUGAGUUGAAGAGUUACUCUCAUUAGAAGGUGGGAACGUGUAGCUAAUCCGCUCUUCCUCCUUUUGUUCUUCGCUCUCCUCCUCAUCUUUUCAUCCAAUGAGCUCACAGUUUCAUCUAUUUAUUCUUCCAUAGACUCCUGCAAAAUAUUAGUCUCUUCUUGGAUAGCGGAGACUUUCUCAAUAAGUGCAUCAAUAUAGGAAUUGUAUUCAUAAUUCUCAUAGCAAUAUUUCAAUAUAGCAAAAAUUUCAGGCCUAUAAACAUCAUCAUCAAAAGCUUCAUACUUUUCAAACAAAGAUUCAAUUUCAUAAGCACCCUUAAAAGCAACAAAUUCUUCUAUUUGUUCCACAUCAUAGUAAUUAUAUAUACCUCUAGCAUAAGAAGCCAAGGUUUCAUUAUCAUUAAAUUUGGAUAAAAAGGGAAGGUGUGGAGCCUUCAUCCUAGAGCAACAAGUAUAAUCAUAUCUCAAGCAUAGUUGCCUAGCAUACCAUUUCAACAUAUAAAUUUGAUCCCAUAAUAGUUUCCCUUUUGAGUCAAGCGAUAAUCCCUAAAGUAUUCACGUUGAUCCAACGUGUCUCCCGUUACCAAAUUGAAUGGGUUUUUCUCUCGAUUAUCAAAGUAGUACAUAAUAUCUGUCACAUAACGAGCAUCCAGGGUUUUAGGAGGUUCCUCAUCUCCAUGAGCAGAAAGUACACCUAAUUUUUUUGGUAUUUCAUGUUCCAUAUCCAUAACUAAAGAUAAAGAACAACUAAGAACAGCCAAUAAAAAUUACUUAGUGAUAAAGCAAACAAGCACACAAGAGAAUAUUCACCCCACGCUAUUGCUCCCCGGCAACGACGCCAGAAAAAGGUCUUGAUAACCCACAAGUAUAGGGGAUCGCAAUAGUUUUCGAUAAGUAAGAGUGUCGAACCCAACGAGGAGCUAAAGGCAGAACAAAUAUUCCCUCAAGUUCUAUCGACCACCGAUACAAAUCUACGCACGCUUGAUGUUCGCUUUACCUAGAACAAGUAUGAAACUAGAAGUACUUUGUAGGUUUUGUUGGAUAGGUUUGCAAGAUAAUAAAGAGUGUGUAAACAAAAGCUAGGGGCUGUUUAGAUAAAGACACAACUAUGUUAGUUUUAGUAAAGAGCUUUUUGUUACGAGAAAGUUAUUUGUCCCUAGGCAAUCGAUAACUAGACCGAUAAUCAUUAUUGCAAUUUUAUUUGAGGGAGAGGCAUAAUCUAACAUACUUUCUCUACUUGGAUCAUAUGCACUUAUGAUUGGAACUCUAGCAAGUAUACACAACUACUAAAGAUCAUUAAGGUAAAACCCAACCAUAGCAUUAAAGCAUCAAGUACUCUUUAUCCCAUACGCAACAACCCCCUUACUCGGGUUUGUGUUUCAUUCACUCACGCAACCCACUAUAAGCGAAUCAUGAACGUAUUGCAACACCCUACAGCGGGGAUCCCUCACGCUUGCGUGACAUGGAGAGCACCAUAGGACAGCACCAAUAAUAAAACAUGCAACUCAAACCAAUCUUGAUCAUCAAAUAGCCCAUAGGACAAAACGGAUCUACUCAAACAUCAUAGGAUAGCCAUACAUCAUUGGGAAAUAAUAUAUAGCAUUGAGCACCAUGUUUAAGUAGAGAUUACAGCGGGUAAGAGAGAGGUUACACCGCUACAUAGAGGGGGGAAGACUUGGUGAUGAUGGCGGUGAAGUUGUUGGUGAAGAUUGUAGUGAUGAUGAUGGCCACGGCAGCGUUCUGGCGCCACUGUAAGAGAAGGGAAGAGGGGGCCCCUUUGUCUUCUUCUUCCUUGACCUCCUCCCUAGAUGGGAUAAGGGUUUCCCCUCUGGUCCUUGGCCUCCAUGGCGUGGGAGGGGCGAGAGCCCCUCCGAGAUUGGAUCUGUCUCUCUGUCUCUCUCUAUUUCUGCGUUUUCAGAUUCUACCCUUUCAUUGUUUCUUAUAUUCCCGGAGAUACGUAACUCCGAUUGGGCUGAAAUUUUAACACGGUCUCUAUCCAGAUAUUAGCUUUGUUGCAGCAAAAUUAGGGCACCAACCGCCUUACGGGGUGGCCACGAGGGUCAGGGGCGCGCCCAGGGGGUGGGGCGCCCCCUGCCUCGUGCCUCCCUUGGGCACCGUCUCGCGUGGAUUCUUCUUACCAAAAAUCAUAUAUAUUCCAAAAAAUUCUCCGUCAGUUUUUAUCCCGUUUGGACUCCGUUUAAUAUGGAUAUUCUACGAAACGGAAAACAUGCAACAAACAGGAACUGGCACUAGGCACUUGAUCAAUAUGUUAGUCCAAAAAAUAGUAUAAAAAGUUGCCAAAAGUAUAUGAAAGUUGUAGAAUAUUGCAUGGAGCAAUCAAAAAUUAUAGAUACGACGGAGAAGUAUCAGAGCAUGAAAAUGAUUUGCAUAUGCACGAAAGAAAUGAAAUAGAUAGAAUCUUGUUUGAACAACAACCUCUGCUUAAGCACAAUUUGCCUAUUGAAACUCUAGGAGGUCCUCCUCCACCUAAAGGUGAUCCUGUGUUUGUACAACAGUUACUUGACACUCUGAAAUAUUCUUAUCUUGAUGAGAAAAAGAUUUAUCCUGUUAUUAUUAGUGCUAACCUUUCAGAACAUGAAGAAGAAAUAUUAUUGAAAGUUCUAAGGAAGCACCGAGCUGCUAUUGGAUAUAAUCUUGAUGAUCUGAAGGGCAUUAGUCCCGCUCUAUGUCAGCACAUGAUUAAUAUGGAACCUGAUGCUAAACCUGUUGUUGAUCACCAACAUCGGUUAAAUCCGAAGAUGAAAGAAGUGGUAAGAACGGAAAUAUUAAAACUUCUGGAAGCAGGUAUAAUCUAUCCUACAUCUGAUAGUAGAUGGGUAAGUCAUGUCAUUGUGUCCCUAAGAAAGGAAGUAUUAUUGUUGUUCCUAAUGAUAAGAAUGAACUUAUUCCACAAAGAAUUGUUAUAGGCUAUAGAAUCGUAAUUGAUUUUAGAAAAUUAAACAAAGCAACUAGAAAAGAUCAUUACCCUCUGAUGUUUAUUGAUCAAAUGCUAGAAAGAUUAUUUAAGCUCACACAUUUUUGCUUCCUUGUUGGAUAUUCUGGUUUUUCACAAAUACUUGUUUCUCAACCUGACCAAGAAAAGACCACUUUUACUUGUCCUUUUGUAAAUUAUGGUUAUAUACAUAUGCCUUUUGGUUUAUGCAAUGCACCUGCUACCUUUCAAAUAUGUAUGACUGCUAUAUUCUCUGACUUUUGUGAAAUGAUUGUUGAGGUUUUCAUGGAUGACUUUUCUGUUUAUGGGAAGUCUUUUGAUGAUUGUUUAAGCAAUCUUGAUCGAGUUUUGUAGAGAUGUGAGAAAACACAUCUUGUCUUGAAUUGGAGAAGUGCCACUUUAUGGUUAAUUAAGGUAUUGUUUUGGGCCAUAAAGUUUGUAGAAGAGGUAUUGAGGUGGACAAAGCUAAGGUUGAUGCAAUUGAGAAAAUGCCAUGCCCUAAAGAUCUCAAAGGUAUUAUUUGUUUCCUUGGUCAUACUGGUUUCUAUAGGAGAUUUAUCAAAUACUUUUCUAAAAUUUCUAUGCCUCUUGCAAAUCUUUUGGAAAAGGAUAUUCCGUUUGUUUUUGAUGAUGAUUGUUUAGAAGUCUUCAAAACACUCAAGAAAGCCUUAAUUUCGUCACCUAUUGUUCUACCACCUGAUUGGAACUUGCCUUUUGAAAUUAUGUGUGAUGCUAGUGAUUAUGCUGUUGGUGUUGUUCUAGGACAAAGAGUUGAUAAGAAACUGAAUGUUAUUCACUACGCAAGUAAAACUCUAGACAGUGCACAAAGAAAUUAUGCUACUACUAAAAAAGAAUUUCUAGAAGUAGUGUUUGCUUGUGAUAAAUUUAGAUCAUAUAUUGAAGUUAUUGUUCACACUGAUCAUAUUGCAAUAAAGUUUCUUAUGGGAAAGAAAGAUGCCAAACCUAGGCUUAUUCGAUGGGUUCUGUUGCUACAAGAAUUUGAUUUGCAUAUCACUGAUAGAAAAGGAGCGAAGAACCCCAUAGCUGAUAACCUGUCUAGGUUGGAGAAUGUUCUUGAUGACCCACUACCUAUUGAUGAUAGUUUUCCUGAUGAGCAAUUAGCUACAAUAAAUGUUUCUAAUAGUACACCUUGGUAUGCUGACUAUGCUAAUUAUAUUGUUGCUAAAUACAUACCCCGUAGCUUUCCUUACCAACAAAAGGAAAAAAAUUCUUCUAUGAUUUAAGACAUUACUUUUGGGAUGACCCACAUCUUUAUAAAGAAGGAGUAAAUGGUAUUAUUAUACGUUGUGUACCCGAGCAUGAACAGGAACAAAUCCUAUGGAAAUGUCACUCCGAAGCUUAUGUAGGACAUCAUGCGGGAGACAGAACUACUCAAAAGGUAUUGCAAUCUGGGUUUUAUUGGCCCACUCUCUUCAAGGAUGCUCGUAAGUUUGUCUUUUCUUGUCAUGAAUGUCAAAGAAUAGGUAAUAUAGGUAAGCAUCAAGAAAUUCCUAUGAAUUAUUCACUUGCUGUUGAACCAUUUGAUGUUUGGGGAUUUGAUUACAUGGGACCUUAUCCUUCCUGUAAUGGGUAUACUCAUAUUUUGGUUGCUAUUGAUUAUGUUACUAAGUGGGUAGAAGCUAUUCCAACUAGUAGUUCUGAUCAAAACACCUCUUAAAAUGCUUAAAUAAGUUAUUUUCCCAAGGUUUGGAGUCCCUAGAUAUUUAAUGACUGAUGUUGGUUCACACUUUAUUCAUGGUGCUUUCCGUAAAAUGCUUGCCAAGUAUGACAUUAACCAUAGAAUUGCAUCACCCUAUCAUCCUCAGUCUAGUGGCCAAGUUGAACUUAGCAAUAGAGAAAUAAAAUUAAUUUUACAAAAUACUGUCAAUAGGUCCUGGAAGAAUUGGUCUAAGAAAUUAGAUGAUGCACUUUGGGCUUAUAGAUAGUACAACAUACAAAAAUCCUAUGGGCAUGUCUCCUUAUAAAAUGGUUUAUGGAAAAGCUUGUCAUUUGCCUCUUGAGUUGGAGCAUAAAGCUUAUUGGGAAAUUAAAGAACUCAACUAUGAUUUCAAACUUGCUGGUGAGAAGAGGUUAUUUGAUAUUCACUCAUUAGAUGAAUGGAGAACCCAAGCUUAUGAAAAUGCCAUGUUAUUUAAAGAAAAAAUUAAAAGAUUGCAUGAUAAAAGAAUGCAAAAGCGUGAGUUCAAAGUUGGAGAAUAUGUUCUUUUGUACAACUCUCGUUUCAGAUUCUUUGUAGGAAAACUCCUACACAAAUGGGAAAGACCAUAUGUUAUCGAGGAGGGUUAUCGAUCUGGAGCUAUCAAAAUAAAUAAUGCCGAAGGUACUAACCCGAAGGUUGUUAGUGGGCAAUGAAUAAAACAUUAUAUCUCAGGUACGCCCAUUAAUGUUGAAAGAAAUAUUAUCCAAACUAUGACACCAGAAGAACGCAUAAAAGAAACCUUCUGGAACACUCCAGAAUCGUGAAAAAAGGAGGUAUGUGAUACACUAAGUAAACGGACUCCAAAAAAUCUGCAAAAAUAUUUUCUGUCCGUUUUGGAAUAUAACAAAAAAUAGAAAAAAUAAGAAACAACUAGGAAGGCACCCCUAGUGGGCACAAGACACCAGGGCGCGCAUGGCUGCCAGGCACGCCCAGGUGGGUUAUGCCCACCUCAGGUACCUUCCGGACUCCAUUUUUCUUCCGUUUGCUUGUUUCCCAAGAUAAAAUAAAUCUUUAUAUACCCCCCAAACCUAUUGACCUCCGUAUCACGGAGAAAUCUCUUGUUUUCUUUUCCUUGCCAUUUCCUGACAGAUCUAAUCCACCACGGCCACUUUAAGCUCCUCCAAGGACAAGUUCCUUGAGAACAUCAUCAACCCAUAUUUGCGGGAGGUGAUGCAGCACCCUCAAGCUAUCCAUAUGCGUGAGGGGGUGCUGCAUAUCCGCGAUGUGCAAGGCCCCAAGGGGACGGGAUCCGUGGAGGCUAGGCUUGAAGCUAUGGAGCAGGAAGUCUUUCGGUGCAAGGGGAUGGUGGAACGCGGACUCAAUGCCAAUCACCUCAUGAUCGCGGACUACACCCGUGAUCUCAAGGUGGAUGGCAAGUCCAUGAAGGACAUCGUCUUCUCCUUCAACGAGCAAAUCAACUUCCUUUAGAGCCAGAUCUACGACCUUCAAAACCAAGUCUUUGAAUAUGAGGCAAGGUUUAAAGGUAUGAGUUUGGCUGCCAGUUGCAGGACCCGAGAGACUCACUCCUCCUCUUAUGAUGGUGAGCCUCUGCCAAGGAAACCCGAGGACAAGAUUUCUACCACUUUAUCACCACCACCUCCUUCUUCAUCACCAAAAGGAAAUUGAGUAUCGGGUAUGGGCACUCCCCUUGGCAUGUGCCAAGCUUGGGGAGGUACCCUAGUAUCGUAUCACCUCCAUUAUCUUUUGCCUUUAUUUACCAUAGUUCGAUCCAUAAUUAUCUUCUGCUUUAGAUGAAUAAAAGUUUAGUUCAAUCCUUUCUUUUCGAGAGUUUUCUUAGUGAUCUAUCUUUGUAAUCGUAUGGGAGAUAUAUAAUAAAGUUUAGUUGGAGUUUUGUUUUCUCUACUUUCAUGUUUAACAAAACAAGAAAGGAAGUAAAUGAAAAAGAUCAUAUGCUAAUCUUAUGGUAAGUAAUGACACCACAUAAAUAAAAGUAUAAGUAGCAAAAUUUAUUGGAGAUUGACAAACAUAGCAUUGGUCAAUGAUGCAAUUAAUGAAAGAAUUAAUAAGGGAAGAGAAGAUUCACAUGCAAAUACACCAUCUUGGAAAUCUUUUGUGAUUAUGAGCCCCCAUCAAAAUAUUAUAUGCCAAAAUUGUUGACGUUGGGCAAGGAAGACAACAUAAUGAUUUACGUUUGUUCAUAUUCACACAGAAGUUAUAUUUUCAUAUAUCCUUCAACAUGUGGUGCUUGCCCCCCAUCUUAGCUAGCCAAAAAUUCCGCACCAAGUAGAGAUACUACUUGUGCAUCCAAAAACCCUUAAACCCAAAUCUUAUUUUCAAGAGUCCACCAUACCUACCUAAGGAUUGAGUAAGAUCCUUUAAGUAAGUUGUCAUCGGUGCAAUAAGGCAAUAAACAUUGCUUCUAAAAGUGUUAGAUCAUUUAGUGUAAGAGAAAAGUGAGCGUUGUAUGAACUUGUGAUGGCAAAGAAUAAAAGCACAGACUGCAUAAUAAAGGUUGUUAUCAUAAGGGGCAAUAUAACGUGACAUUCCCUUGCACUAAGGGAUUGAGCAUACAAACAAAAAGCGCAUGGCAACCUCUGCUUCCCUCUUUGAAGGGACUAUCUUUUACUUUUAUGUAUAUACUUUCAUGCAAGAGUCAAUGUUUUUCUCUCUAUUCCUUUUUAUUGUUCUCCUUUGGCAAGCAUCAUGUGGUGAGGAAAGAUCUAGGCACAUAUAUCUAGUUGGAUAUGGGUAGCAUGAGUUAUUGUUGUUGACAUCACCCUUGAGGUGAAUAAGUUGGGAGGCGAAAUUAUAAGCCUCUAUCUUUCUAUGUGUCUGGUUGAAACGUUUUGCUCAUGUGUAUGCGGUGACCGUUAGCAAUCAUAGAAGACUAUAUGAUGGUUUUGUAUGUGGACUUGCCUAAAGGCUCCGAUACUUGACCCUUCCUGAAAAGAUGAUGCAUUGUAGUUGCAAAGUUGACUGAGAACAUAGUUUGUUGGUUACCAAUAGAGUUUAUGCAUUAUACUUCGAUGUUGCGAUGAAUUGUUACUUAUUCAUGAGAAGUCUAUGAUAAAAUUUCUAUGAUAAAAGUUUUAUGUUAAAGUUGUUGUUAUAAUAAUUUACAUGAUGCUUCUAUGUCCAUAUUUCGUUUUUAUCGACACCUCUCUCUCUCUAAGCAUGUGGACAUGUUUUUCGAUUUCAGUUUUCGCUUGAGGACAAGCGAGGUCUAAGCUUGGGGGAGUUGAUACAUCCAUUUUGCAUAAUGUUUACCUACUGUUAUUUAUAAUGUUUUUAUGCAUAAUAAUGUUUUUUGGAUUAAUUCUAAUGCCUUUUCUAUCAUAAUAUACAAGGUUCACACAAAGAGGGAGAAUUUUGGCACUUGGAAAUCUAUACCUGAAAAAGCUACGUCAGGCUACCUAUUCUACACACCUCCAAAUGAGCUGAAACUUCACGAGGAAUGUUUAUGGAAUAAAUAAGAAUUAUUGGAGUGAAUAACUACCAGAGGGGCCCACCAGGUGGGCACAACCCACCUUGGUGCGCCAGGGAGCCCAGGCGCAGCCUGGUGGGUUGUGCCCUCCUCGGCCCACCUCUCGUGCCAAUCUUCUGUAUAUAAGUCAUUUUGACCUAGAAAAAAUAAGGGGAGGACUUUCGGGAUAGAGCGCCCUGACGCCCGCGAUUCAACCGUACACUAAUAGUACACGCAAAUGUGUACGAUCAAGAUCAAGGACUCAUGGGAAGAUAUCACAACACAACUGUAGACGCAAAUUAAAAUAAUACAAGCUUUAUAUUACAAGCUAGGGACCUCGAGGGCUCGAAUACAUAAGCUCAAAUAGACAAGAGUCAGCGGAAGCAACAAUAUCUGAGUACAGACAUGUGUUAAACAAGUUUGCCUUAAGAAGGCUAGCACAAAAGCAUCAACGAUCGAAAAGGCAAGGCCUCCUGCCUGGGAGCCUCCUAACUACUACAAGUCGUCAGCGGCCGUCAUGUAGUAGUAGGCACCCUCGUGGUAGCAGUAGUCUUCAGUGGUGUCGUCUGGCUCCUGGGAUCUGUCAUCUGGUCGCAACAAUCGGGUAUGGGAGAAAAAGAGGUAGCAAAGCAACCAUGAGUACUCAUCCAAAGUACUCACAAGACUUACAUCAGACCUAAACUAAGUAUGCAACUGUAUCAAAGGAAAUGGGAUGUAUCUGUGGAAUAAACUGCAGAAUGCCAGAAAGAAGGGGAAAGCAUAGCCUAUCAAAGACUAGCAUCUUCAAGCAUCUUGCAGCAUAUAGAAGAGUAUAGAUCAACAUAAUGUAAAGCAGUAGUAGUGUUAUCAACCUCGACCAGAGAUCCUUUCUCGACACCCUGCGAGAAAGAAAUCCCAGAGCCAUACUAUUCAUUUCUCAUAACCAUUUCUUAUCUCAAGUAUCAAGUUCUAGUUGUAUCGAUCGGGAUACAACUCCAAGUGUCCGUUACCGUAGGACAGGCUAUCGAUAGAUGUUUUAUUCCCUACAGGGGUGCACCAACUUACCCAUCACGCUCCAUUAACUCUGGCCAGACACACUUUCCUGGGUCAUGCCCGGCCUCGGCCAAAUAAUACACUACAACCUGACCUAGGCUUAAUAGAGAGGUCAGCACACCGGGCUAAACCUAUGCCCCCAGGGGUCAUGGGCCAUCGCCCCGGGAACUCCUGCAUGUUGCAUGGGCGGCCGGUGAGCAGACCUAGCUACCUCCUUCAACAGGGCAGGAGCUUACGCAGUCCAACCCGGCGUGCGCCACUCAGUUGCUGGCGUCUAUUAAGCUUCGGCUGAUGUAUACGAUGCAGAACGCCCAUAUUAUGCCCACGUGAUGGUUAGUGCUAUCAGGCCAGAGGCCCCUCAGAUCAAAUAUCCAAAUCAUAGUGGAUUAGGAACACGCGGUAACAAGCAGAGACUCACGAAAGAUGUGACCCCGUCGCCCCGUCUCGAGUACUCGCGGCAAGGGCUAAGAAUUCCUGGCCACGCCUCGUAAGUAUCUCGCGGGCACCCUCCACGUCAACCCGACUCCACAUCACUCGCAAAUAAGCUCGCGCGGGUAUCCCUCAGGGCUGACCCGUCUUUAGUAACAUGGCUCAAUGUAAAGUCAAAGUAACCAUAGUAACUGUAUGUCUAACACCAAGGGGAAAACCUGAGGAAUCACCCUUGAUGGAUUCCACUCGAUGUAAUCAUCAAGGUGAAUGUAAGAGGAUCCACCCUCAAGGUUCACACUUGAGGGGUUGCACGACAGAGCCGUAACGAAAGUGGUUAAGGAGGAAAUCACCCUCGAUGACCACAAUCGGAUAGCUACACUAAAGAGAUCUCAUCAUGAGUGAUGUAAGAGCAUCCACCCUUGGCACUCGAUGGUAACUCUGCAGAGUCGUACAACUAGGGGGUGAUGUGCGGUGUCGGGGCCUGUACAUCGAUCACAUUGAUCGAGUCAUCGAAACAUAAAGCGAGGCAACUGGGACAAGGUGGGGUCACUGAUGGAUCUCUAACCAACCUGUACUAAGCAGUUUAGGAUAAGCAGGUAAGGUAUGAAAGCAGGUAUCAACAACAGGCUAUGCAUGAGAGUAGGAUCAUACAGAAAGCAGUAGCAGUUCUAAUGCAAGCAUGAGAGGGAAAGAAAUGGGCGAUAUUGGAAUGCUCAAGGGGGUUUUGCUUGCCUGGUUGCUCUGGCAAGAAAGAGGGGCCCUCAAUAGCGUAGUCAUACUGGGUAGCAGUGGCAUCAGUCUCGGUGUCUAUCGAGAGAAGAGGGGGAAGAAACAAUAAAUUUUAAUCAAACACAUGCAUAGCGAUGCAUGACAUGAUAAGUAGCGGUGCUAGGGGUGCCCUAACGCUGUAUGAGGUGGUACCAAUGAAGGGGGGAAACAUCCGGAAAAAUAUCCCCGGUGUUUCGCGUUUUCGGACAGAUGAAUCGCAGGGGGAAAGUUGCGUGUUCACUCUACUAGGGAUGUGUGGUGGAUGAACGGGCUGCUUAUCCGGGUUUGUCUCGUCGUUCUGAGCAACUUUAAUGUACAAAGUUUUUCCAUCCGAGCUACGGUUUAUUUUAUAUUAAUUUUAAAAGAUUUAAAUCAUUUUUAGGAUUUAAUUAAUUAAUUUAAUCAACAUUAUCCAGAACAGUUCACAUUGACGUCAGCAGUCAACAGAGGAGUUGACUAGUCAACUCACGCGUGGGUCCCGUUUGUCAUUGACUGUUUAAACUAAUUAGGGUUUAAUUAAACUAACUAGUUAAUUAGAUUAAUUAAACAGGACUAAUUAACUUAAUUAAUUAUUUAUUUAUUUUAAUUAAUUAAUUAUUUUUUAAUUCUUGUUUUAUUAAAAAUGUUCUGGGGCGUGGGGCCCCACUUUCAUAGUCACAGAGGGGGCCUAACGGGUGCGGGGCUAACGGGCGACGGGCGCCCGCCCAGGCCAACAGGAGGGACGGCGAGGCGUCGCCGGCCUCCGCAACGGGAGGCCGCAGCCGCCGAGGAAGGUGGGGGCCGGCCAUGCGCGGUGCAGGGACGAGGCUGCUGUGAUGGCUCGGGCACAUGAUGGCAAGCUGGGGGCGAUGAUGCGGGCGCAUCGCAGCGCGGUGGGGCAUCGGGGGCGUUCGCGCCAGGGAGGGGGAUGCGAUGCCACGCGGGGCAGGGGUGACGGAGCCGGGCGAGGGCGGUGUGCGGUGCGCAGGGCAGAGGCGGCGGGGUGAGGCCAGCACGGGCCAGCCGGAGCAACGAGCGGCGGCGGGCGCGGCCCCGCGUGGGCGAGCGCGCGUGGGUGCGCGGCGAGCAGUCAGGGCACGAGCGACGGGGAGAGAGGCGCGGUGAGCGUGCAACGGGCGCGGCCGAAGCGCGUCGACCGCGCGUGAGGGGCGGUGACCGUGGUGACCCAGGAAGAAAGGGGGCGAAAGGGGACAGUGGCGCUCACUUGCGAGCAGGGAAGGGGGGGCGACAAGGCGCGUUGGCGUCGGUGAGGGAGAGGCGAUGGGGCAAUGCCAACGAGGUGGAGGAGCACAACAGCGACGAGGCGGCGCCGGGGAUGGGCGCCAACGUCGGAGGCACAGGGUGGCGCGGGAUCGAGCCCCUCCCCGAUCCAGAAGCAGUCGAGUGGGAGGGGUCCGGGGAGGAGGACGAGUCGUCGGGCGAGCGGGUGGUUCUCCGACGAGGUGCGCCGCAGGGCGCCAGCAUCGAGGAUUAGCGGCGGGGUCGAGGGGCGAGCAUGAUGGGGUCGUGCCCCCGAUCCAGAUCGUGGGAGGUAGUGGGAACAGGGGGAGUGGUGGAUCGGGUGAGUAGCUAGGGGUUUCAGGGAGGGGUUAUAUAGGGGGCGGGGUGGGCUGACUUAGGUGGGCUGGCCGGUCGGCUAGCUGGGCCGGUCAGCCCAGUGGGGAGGGGACCUUUUCCCUUUUUUUAAUUUUUUUACAGAUCUGUUUUUACAAAGAUUAGGGCAUUUCACCACUUUGCAAAAAUGUUGGAUCACUACCAAUAAUAAGAAGUGAAUAUUUGUCACAUGAUUAACAUUUUAGUUUUCAUGUUUGAGAAUUUUGGAUUUUGAUUUGAAGUUGAAAUUUGAAUUAAAAUCUGGAUCGAGCGAGGAUUAGCAAUCGUAAUGUGAUGACAAAGCUCCAUUAGCAGAGGAUUACUGUAGCUUAAUUAUCUGGGCGUCACAAGUGCCGCCGUCUCGAGGCGGAACUUGGGCAGGAGCACUUUUGCCCUCCGGCGGAGCAGUUCCGUCGGGGGAACUUGCCUCACGGAGGGGGAAAUCAUCGUCAUCAUCAUCACCAACAACCCUCUCAUCUUGGGGAGGCCAAUAUUCAUCAACAUCUUCACCAGCACCAUCUCCUCGCAAACCCUAGUUUAUCUCUUGUGUUCAAUCUUUGUACCGGAACCUCAGAUUGGUACCUAUGGGAGACUAGAAGUGUUGAUUACAUCUUGUAGUUGAUCACCAUAUGGUUUAUUUGGUGGAAUAUUAUAUGUUCAGAUCCAUUCUGCUAUUUAAUGCUCCUCUGAUCAUGAACAUAUUUAUCACUUGUGAGUAGUUUCUUUUGUUCUUGAGGUCACGGGAGAAAUCUUGUUGCCAGUAAUCACGUGAACUUGAUAUGUGCUCAAUAUUUUGAUAAUAUGUAUGUUAUGAUUCUCUUAGUGGUGUCAUGUGAACGUCGACUACAUGAUACGUCACCAUAUUUGGGCCUAAGGGAAUGCAUUGUGGAGUAGUUAUUAGAUGAUGGGUUGCUAGAGUGAUAGAAGCUUAAACCCUAGUUUAUGCGCUACUUCGUAAGGGACCGGUUUGGAUCCAAAAGUUUAAUGCUAUGGUUAGAUUCAUUCUUAAUACUUUUCUCAUAGUUGUGGAUGCUUGCGAGGGGGUUAAUCAUAAGUAGGAGGUUUGUUCAAGUAAGAACAACACCUAAGCACCGAUCCACCCACAUAUCAUAUUAUCAAAGUAGUGAACACAAAUCAAGCUAACAUCGGCUGAAUGAAGCAGAUCGCCUUAUGUUGUUAUCCUCUAUCUUCUUCAUUGCCAAUUCAAGGGCGAACUGAGUGAGAGUAGAUCAGGGGGUACUUCAGGAAUUGGUACUGGUCAAGCUUGUUCCCGUCGAGGGUGUGUGGCCGAGUGGGCAGUCCAAGAGUACUUCAUGAUUUGGUACCGGUCAAGCUUGUUCCUCUCGGAGGAGUACGACUGAGUGAAUAGCCCAAGGGUACUUCAGGAUUUGGUACUGAUGAAUCCUGUUCCACUCGGUAGUAUGCAGACAACUCAGUAGUCAGAGGGUACUUCAAGAUAUAGUAUUGGUCUAACUUGUUCCUUCGAUCGGUGCCUGUCCGGAUACUCAUGAGUCAAUGCUCUGGUUUCUCUUUUGGGUCUUCUGACUGAUUGUUUCUUGCAUGUUGUAGAGGACCUGUGAGAUGGGAUCCCACUACGCUGCAAUGGAGAAGGAGGUGACAUCCCUUCGACUCGAUCUAGAGGCUGAGAAGCUCAAGAUUGCGUGACUGGAGCAAGAGAAGAAGGCCCUGGGAGGUAAGCUAUUUCCUCCGUCUGGUAGUUUAUAACCCACAAGUAUAGGGGAUCUUUUGUAGCCUUUUUCGAUAAAUAAGAGUGUCGAACCCAAUGAGGAGAUAAAGGUAGAACAAAUAUUCCCUCAAGUUCUAUCAACCACCGAUACAACUCUAUGCACACUUAACAUUUGUGUUACCUAGAACAAGAAUAAAACUAGAAGUACUUCAUAGGUGUGGAUAGGUUUGCAAGAUAAUAAAGAACAUGAUAAUAAAAGUUAGGUGUUGUUUAAAUAAAGAAACAAUUAAAUUUAGUAAAACGAGUGUGGAUUGGUGGUGGUAGCAUUUCCGAAAUUGUCCCCUAGCAAUUGACUAUGUUGCUAGACCAAUAGCAAGUUUUUAUGUGGGAGAGGUCACUGCUAGCAUGUCGUCCCUUACUUGGAAUUCUAUGCACUUAUUAUUGGAACAAUUAGCAAGCGUCUGCAACUAAUAACAUUCAUUAAGGUAAAACCCAACCAUAGCAUUAAGAUAUAUAUUGGUCCCCCUUCAAUCCCAUACGUAUCAAUUUCUAUGUUUAGGCUGAAGCUGCCAUCACCCUUGCCCUCCAAUGCAUAGUCCUAUCAACGUACAACUAACCGUAUGGUGUGAUCCACAUGCGUGCUCAUAUGAUGGGCACAAAAGGACAACCACAUAACCACAAGAAAAUUAAACCAAUCAUAACAAUUCACCCGUUACCGAUAUAGCACAACAAAAAUCUACUCAGACAUCAUAGGAUGGCAACAUAUCAUUGGAUAAUAGUAUGAAGCAUAAAGCACCAUGUUCAAUUAGAGGGUAUAGUGGGUUGCGGGAGAGUGGACCACUGAAUAUAGAUGGGUGAAGGUGAUGAAGAUGUUGGUGAAGAUGAUGGAGUUGUUGGAGUAGACCGCGGUCACAUGAUGAUUGCACCGACAGCGUUCCGGUGCCACCAGGAGAGAGGGGGAGAGAGCCCCCCUCAUUCUUAUUCUUCCUUGGCCUCCCCCUAGAUGGGAGGAGGGUUCCCUCUCUGGUCCAUAGCCUCCAUGGUGGCGGAGGGGCGAGAGUCCCUCCGAGAUUGGAUCUGUCUCUCUGUUCUCUUUUUGUUUCGCGUUCCUGUUUUCUGGCCCUUCAUCAUUUCUUAAAUUACCGGAGAUCCAUAACUCCGAUUGCGCUGAAAUUUUUACAUGAUUUUUCCAUAAAUUAUGUUUCUUGCGCACGAAGAAUGGCCCCAACCGACUUACGGGGAGGGCACAAGGCACCUGGGUGCACCGGGGGGUGCCCGGCACGCCCUGAUGGGUUGUCGAGUCCGUGGACCUCUGUUUGCGUUGAUUCCACCUCCCAAAAAUCACAAGUAUUCCAAAAUAAUUCUCCGUAAAUUUUAAUCACGUUUGGACUUAGUUCAAUAUGGAUAUUCUGCGAAAAAAAUGCAACAAAGUGGAACUAGCACCGAGCACUGGAUCAAUAGGUUAGUCUAAUAAAUCAUAUAAAAUGUUGCCGAAAUUAUGUGAAAGUUGUAUAAUAUUGGCAUGAAACAAUUAAAAAUUAUAGAUAUGAUGAAGACGUAUCAGCAUCCCCAAGCUUCAUUCCUGCUCGUCCUUGAGUAGGUAAAUGAGAAAAAAGAAUUUUUUGUUGUGGAAUGCUACAUAGCAUAAUCUUGAUCAUAUAUGUAAUCAUGGCAUGAAUAUUUAGACAUAAGUGAUUCAAAUACAUAGUCUAUAAUUUGACAUAAAGACAUCAAUAUCAGGCAUCCCAACAAACAAUCAUGUCUUUCAAAAUAUAACGCUAAAGAAAGCUAUUCCUACAAAAUCAUAUGGUCUUGUCAUGCUCUGUCUUCUUAACACAAAGUAUUUAUCAUGCACAACCCCGAUGACAAGCCUAGCAAUUCGUUGAUACUUUUUAACGUGCUUCAACUUUUUCAACCCCCACACAAUACAUGAGCGUGAGCCAUGGAUAUAGCACUAUGGGUGUAAUAGAUUAUAAUGAUAGGGGUAAAUAUUGAGAAGACAAAAGGUAAGAAAGUCUCACAUCGACGCGGCUAACCAAUGGGCUAAGGAGAUGCCCAUCAACUAAUAUCAAUGCGAGGAGUAAGGAUUGCCAUGCAACGAAUGCACUAAGAGCUAUAAGUGUAUGAAAGCUCAAACUAAAAACUAAGUGGGUGUGCAUCUAACUGUAUAAAUAAAAAUUCCCACUAGUAUAUGGUAGUGACAACAUAGGAGACUCUCCAUAUGAAAAACUUGGUGCUACUUUGAAGCACAAGUGUGGAAUUAGCAUGCCCCUUCUCUCUUUUCUCUCAUUUUUUCAUUUUUUCUUUUUCUUGGGCCCUUUUUAGCCUCACUUUUUUGUUUUUUUAUAUAUUUAUCCGGAGUCUUAUCCCGACUUGUGGGGGAAUCAUAGUCUCCAUCAUCCAAUCCUCACUGGGACAUGCUCUAGUAAUAAAUAAUGAUGAUCAUCACACUUCUAUUUACUUACAACUGAAUAGAAGUAAAAAAUUACAACUCGAUACCUAGAACAAAGUAUGUCUCUAUAUGAAAGCGUCUGGCAGUCUACCAGGAUGUGCAAUGAUCUAGGUAGUAGAGAUAUCAAAAAACGGAUAAGCCAUGGAAAUAUCAUGCUAGCUAUCUUACGAUCAUGCAAAGCAAUAUGACAAUGAAUGCUCAAGUCAUCAACAUGGAAGCGGUGGAAGUUGCAUGGCAAGAUAUCUUGGAAUGUCUAUGGAAAAGCCAUAGUAGGUAGGUAUGGUGGUUGUUUUGAGGAAGAUAUAAUAAGGCUUAUGUGUGAUAGAGCGUAGCAUAUCACAGGGUUUGGUUGCACCGGCUAAGUUUGCACCAUGUCUCGAUGUGAGAAAGGGCAAUGCAUGGUACCGAAGAGGGUAGCAAAUUGCGGAAAGGUAAGAGGGCGUAUAAUCCAUGGACUCACAUUAGUCAUAAAGAACUCAUAUACUUAUUGCAAAAGUUUAUUAGCCCUCAAAGCAAAGUACUACUAUGCAUGCCACUAGAGGGAUAGAUUGGUAGGAAAAGACCAUCGCUCCUCCCCGACCGCCACUCAUAAGGAAGACAAUCAAUAAUAAAUCAUGCUCCAACGUCAUAGCAUAAUGAGAGACUAUACGUGCAUGAUUCGGGAAUCACAAACCAUAACACUAAUAUUCUUACUAACCACAACCGUUCACUAGUACCUCCCACAUAUUAUCAUCUCUAUAUUGCAAAACUAUUGCAAGGAAUCAAACAUGUCAUAUUCAGUGAUCCACAAGUUUUAUGUAGGAUUUCAUAACUAACCAUGCAACUGACCAAUUCGUGUUGACUCUCUAUAUAGAUAUAAGUGAAGCAUGAGAGUUUAAUUCUUUCUACAAAAUACCAUGCUCUAAUAAAUAUAAGUGAAGCAAAAGUGCAUUCUACAAAUAACGGUUUUCUAUGUGAAGAGAAACAGGCAAUACAAACUUCAAAUGAUAUAAGUGAAGCACAUGAAGCAUUCUAUAAAGCCGUACUCAAAAGAUAUAAGUGAUGUGCAAUGAGAAUUCUAUAAAUAAACCAUGGACUAUCUCAUACCAGCAUGGUGCAUAAAAGAAGAAUGAAAAAUAAACACAAAAGACGCUCCAAGACUUACAUGUAUCACAUGAACGAAACGAAAACGAAAACAUACUAAUACUUGUUGAAGAAAGAUGGGAUGCCUUCCGGGGCAUCCUCGUUCUUAGACGGUUGAGUCUCCUUGAAUAUUUAUUUGGGUUGCCUUGGCCGUUACCAAGCUUGAACUCUUGCCUCUCCUCCUUCUUAUAUCGAGACCUCCUCGAUCUUCAGACACUUCAUCCACACAAAACUUAACAGAAAACUGGUGAGAUCCGUUAGUAUAAUAAAGCAAAUCACUACUUCAAGUUCUGUUGCAAACCCAUUCAUAUUUUGUUUUUUCAUUGUAGCGACUGUAUUAUAACUUUUCCAUGGUUUAUACCACAGAUAAAAUCGAUAGUUUCAUCAAAACAAGCAAAAUAAUGCAUCAAAAACAGAAUCUUUCUUAAACAGGACAGUCUGUAGCAAUCUGAAUAUUAACCAUACUUCUGUAUCUCCAAAAAUUCUGAAAAAUUGUGAAACAAUAAAAAUUUUGCAUAGAAAUACUUUGUAAAAAUUUCAGAAACUUUUGACGUCCUAGUAAAAAAUGUAAAAUCACGCACUACAGCCAAAGUUUCUGUUUUUACACCGCACAUACCAACAAGCAAUCUAAUCAUCCUAAAGGCAAAUGUUGGCACAUUUUUAUAAUAUAAUGGAUUUCUACAAGGGGAUAAUUAUUUUUGUGACAAACUUCCAUGAAAAUUUUACAUUGUUUUCAUGAGCAUGAACACAAGUGUUCAAGGUCGACCCUCACUUCUCCAAUGCAUAACCUUCCAAUCGCUUCUCUUUUUCAAAAAGUUUUUAAGUUCCCCUCUAUAUUUUUUGUUUGAAAACUUUAUAAAAGCACUCAUCAGAAUAAAAUGACUCUCUAAAAUUUUCGGGUUUUCUCCCUGGCAUCGCUUUUUUUUGAAGCCAUUAAGCUAGGCAUAAAGUGCUCAAGUAAUUGAUCCGCCUGGAUCCCAAGGAAUAUCAAUGCCACUUUUAAUUAACAAUGAUUUGGCAUUUAGUAGUGAGCACAAAGGAUCAUAUAUCAUGCAAUUACGAAGUCUAACUCUCUUCCUAUGCACUGGCAUGUUAUAAAAGAACAAUUCAUGCACAUCAAGUAAAGGCCAAUACAUAGCAUAGGCAGUUUCUUGCAAUUUUAUCGUGUUGGAAACACAGAGAGGUGGAGAUAUAGUUCCUCUAUCAUAAUAAUGGCAAGUAAGAUCAGAAAGCACAUGCAUAUUAUAUUCAUCAAAAUUAUCAUGUGCAAUGGUAAAAGUCAACCCAUCAAUGUAAUCCUUAAUAAGUGCAAACUUCUCCGGUAUAGUGUAGUUUGGAGAAUUCAAAAAGAUAAUAGGACUAUCAUGUGUGGGUGCAAUAGCAACAAUUUAAUUCUCAACAUAAGGAACUAUAGAAAGUUCAUCUCCAUAAGCAUAAUUCAAAUUGGCAUCAUGACCACAAGCAUAGCAAGCAUCAAUUUCAUCAAAAAGGGAUAUUUCAAACGAAUCUGAGGGAUCAUAGCAAUUAUCAUAGCAUUCAUCCUUCGGUAAGAACGAAGGGACAUUAAACAAUGUAUGGGAUAAAGAGUUACUCUCAUUAGAAGGUGGGCACGGGUAACUAAUCCGCUCUUCCUCCUUUUGUUCUUCGCUCUCCUCCUCAUCUUUUUCAUCUAAUGAUCUCACAAUUUCAUCAAUUUCUUCUUCCAUAGUUUCCUUCGAAAUAUUAGUAUCUUCUUGGAAAGCAUAGACUUUUUCAAUAAACUCAUUAAUAUCUGAAUUAUAUUUAUAAUUCUCAUAACAAUAUUUAAGUAUAGCAAAAUUUUCAGGUCUAUAAACUGCAUCAUCAAAGUCUUCAUACUGUUCAAACAUAGAUUCAAUUCAUAAGCACCCUUAAAAGCAACAAAUUCUUCUAUUCAUUCCACAUCAUUGUAAUCAUAUCUACCAUUAGCAUAAGAAGCUAAGGUUUCUUUGUCAUUAAAUUUGCAUGAAAAGGGAUGGUGUGGAGCCUUAAUCCUAGAGCAACAAGUAUAAUCAUAUCUGUGGCAUAAAUUCCAAGCAUACAAAUGCAACAUAUCAAUUUGAUCGAUUAACAUUUCCCCUUUUUGUGUCAAGUGAUAAUCCCUAAAGUAUUCACUUUGAACUAACAUCUCUCCCAUUAUCAAGUUGAAUGGGGUUUUCUAAGGAUUAUCAAAAUAGUGUUAUAUAUUUUUUACAUAAUGAGCAUUGUGGGUUUUAGGAGGCCCCCCAUCUCCAUGAGUAGCAUUUACAACUAAAUUUUUUUGGUAUUUCGUGUUCCAUAUCCAUAACUAAAGAUAUAAAACAACUUAGAAUAGAAAAUAAAAUCUACUUAGUGAUAAAGCAAACAAGCACACACAAGAAUAUUCACCCCACGCUAUUGCUCCCCGGCAACAGCGCGUGAAAAAGGUCUUGAUAACCCACAAAUUUAGGGAAUCUUUUGUAGCCGUUAUCGAUAAAUAAGAGUGUUGAACCUAACAAGGAGCUAAAGGUAGAACAAAUAUUCCCUCAAGUUCGAUAGACCACCGAUACAACUCUACACACACUUAACGUUUGCUUUACCUAGAACAAGAAUACAACUAGAAGUACUUUGUAGGUGUGGAUAGGUUUGCAAGAUAAUAAAGAACGUGAAAAUAAAAGUUAGGUGUUGUUUAAAUAAAGAGACAAUUAAAUUUAGUAAAACGAGUGUGGAUUGGUGGUGGUAGGAUUUGCGGAAUUGUCCCUUAGCAAUUGACUAUGUUGCUAGACGGACAACAAGUUUUUAUGUGGGAGAGGGCACUGCUAGCAUGUCGUCCCUUACUUCGAAUUCUAUGUACUUAUGAUUGGAACUAUUAGCAAGCAUCCUCAAUUCCUAAUGCUCAUUAAGGUAAAAUCCAACCAUAUCAUUAAGAUAUAUAUUGGUCCCCCUUCAAUCUCGUACAUCAUAUCAAUUUCUAUGUUUAGGUUGAAGCUGCUGUCACCCUUGCCCUCUAAUGCAUAGUCCUAUCAAUGUACAACUAACCCUAUGGUGUGAUCCACACUCGCGCUCAUAUGAUGGGCACCAAAGUACAACAACAUAACCACAAGCAAAUUAAACCAACCAUAGCAACUCACCAAUUACCAAUAGGACAACAAAAAUCUACUCAGACGUCAUAGUAUGGCAACAUUCAUUGGAUAAUAGUAUGAAGCAUAAAGCACCAUCUUCAAGUAGAGGGUAUAGCGGGUUGUAGGAGAGUGGACCGCUAAAUAUAUAUGGGGGAAGGUGCUGAAGAUGUUGGUGAAGAUGACAGUUGUCGGUGUCAAAGCCGGUGGAUCUUUGGUAGGGGGUCCUGAACUGUGCGUCUAGGCCGGAUGGUAACAGGAGGCGGGGGACACGAUGUUUUACCCAGGUUCGGGCCCUCUUGAUGGAGGUAAAACCCUACGUCCUGCUUGAUUAAUAUUGAUGAUAUGGGUAGCACAAGAGUAGAUCUACCACGAGAUCAGAGAGGCUAAACCCUAGAAGCUAGCCUAUGGUAUGAUUGUAUGUUGUGAUUGUUGUCCUACGGACUAAAACCCUUUGGUUUAUAUAGACAUCGGAGAGGGUUAGGGUUACACAAGGUCGGUUACAACGGAGGAGAUAUCCAUAUCCAUAUCGCCUAGCUUGCCUUCCACGCCAAGUAGAGUCCCAUCCGGACACGAGACGAAGUCUUCAAUCUUGUAUCUUCAUAGUCUAACAGUCCGGCCAAUGGAUAUAGUCCGGCUAUCCGGAGACCCCCUAAUCCAGGACUACCUCAGUAGCCCCCGAACCAGGCUUCAAUGACGAUGAGUCCGACGCGCAGUAUUGUCUUCGGCAUUGCAAGGCGGGCUCCUCUCCAAAUUCUGUGUACCUGUCGAAAUAAUGUCCGGUUUCUUGUGAAUGUUGCACUCCUUGUCUUCCACACCCAAUAAUAGUCACUUUCCACGUGUCGAGUGAAUGUGAAGAGCCAAGGUGUUUUCACAUUUACCCCCCUAGCUGUGCGAAUGAGCCGCCUAUUUAAAAAGACGAGGAUUCAGAUCCAAAUCACACCAUCCUCCCUUGGCGAGACUUCAUCGGAGUGUGCCCGACAGAGAUCCAUUCCAUCAUGGCCGGUCGACGCAGCUCCUCCUCUCGCUCCCCUAGCUCCAAGCCUGGAGAUUGGGAGAGAUGUUCCGUCCCGUGCAGCAAAUUAGUGACGCUUCAGACCAAGGGAUUUCUUCCCCCAGCGUACUUGGUCCCGGUUCGAGCCGGGCUCGCCACCUAUAAUGGCGGAGAGCAAGCGGAGAGCCUUCCCAAUCCCUCCAAGGGAGAGCGGGUAUGCCUUGUCCCUUAUUUGGUAAGAGGGCUCGGAUUCCCAAUUCAUCCGUUUCUCCGGGGGCUCCUGCAGUUCUACGGCCUCUAGUUGCACAACCUUACGCCUGCCUCCAUGCUGCAUAUCGCGGGAUUUGUAGCCCUUUGCGAGUUGUUUUUGGGCUGUGAGGCUCAUUUCGCUCUAUGGAAGAAGUUGUUCUGCCUUGUGCCCCGCUCUCAGAAGGGGUCAAUAUAUCAAGUGGGCGGAGCCAAAGUGUGGCGUAUUGCCGGGACCGGAUACCUGUCCGGAACCCCAAAGAAGACGUCGAAAGACUGGCCUUAAGAAUGGUUUUAUAUAGAAGACGUCCCCCUCCCAGAUCCUAUUCGGAUCGGCCUUCCUGAGUUCGAUAACGCCCCUUUGAAGAAGCGACGGAGCUGGCAUCCACGGAGCUCCUUGGAGGAAAACGACAGGGACGUUCUUUACCUGAUGAGCCGGAUAAGUUUUUUAGCUUGAUCCGGAUUGACCAUGAUCGAGGUCAUGGCCAUAUGUAUCAUGCGGGGGGUGCAGCCGCUUCAGUAUAGAGGCCACCCUAUGUGGGAUUUCAACGGGGAGGAUGAUGCCACCCGUUACGGUCGUAAAGGGCCGGGAUCGGUUGCUGAUCUAAUAAAGAUCUUAUCCACUUUGUACAAGGGAGAAGAGGAGGAAUUCCUUCGUGUCAACCCGCAGGGCGGAUUUUCUAUGCACAAUCCUCCAAGCUGGGUAAGUGGAGACUUUUUCUCGCCCAUCCGUUUCAUAUUUCCGCAAUUAAGUACUCAGUCUAGCGAUUUCUAUGCAGGAACUGCGCCAGGCUGUAAGGGAGAUAAACAACCCCCCUCCACAACCCGAGGACCCUGGACGGUCCCUCGACCCAGCCUCCCAAGAGGAUCCGGACAUAUCUGUGGAGCUGAUCGAUGGGGUGUUUUACCAAUCGAGCAAUGAUAACACUUUGGUGGCCAUUACAGCCAAUUACCCUGGGCUAGUUCCAGCCUCACAGGUGACUGAGACCGAAGUCCCAACACUUCAAAAAGGGAUCCGUCCUUGCGUGUUUUUGAUCGCCGUAUAACAGCCGUGUUUUGCAAGGGAGGUCCUCGAGGCAGAAGGCCGAGCCUGCGGCGACUGGCCAACAAGGGGCCACGAGGCCAGGCAGGCUAAAAAGACCCGCAGUCCGGAUUGAGACACUGGCGCAGUGGUACGGCGCGCCGUCUUUAUUGCAAGACAUUAUUCUCAGAGGCAUAUUAAUGCCCAUGCCUUCCUUUCAGGAAAAAGAGCGCUCUCCGGACUAUACCCGGAGAGGCUACCAAUCGCGCCUCCACAAGCCAGGCUCCAAGGCCGGAUUCAGAGGCGGGAAUGAAUACGAGGCAUGCGUCGGGUGCUCCUCUGACAGAGGAUGCAGAUAAACUGUCCGCCACCCAUUCCGAGGUGGAAAGUGCCAUGAACCACAGGCGUCGCCGGACUGUUCUUCGUGACGCUUGUUUCUCCCAAGAGGCAUUGGAUGCCUUCAACACUACUGGAAUCAGCUAAUUUGCCAUCUGCCAGCUCUUUGCCGUCUGCUAGCUGACGGCAAAGAAGCUCUUUGCCAUCAGCUACCAAAAAGCAGACGGCAAAGACCAGGCUGACGGCAAAGAAGCUCUUUGUCGUCCGCCUGAUCUUUGUCGUCCGCCAGCAGACGGCAAAGAAUCUUUGCCGUCAGCUGGCAGACGGCAAAGAGAGAGGUGGCCCCCACCCCCCGCCAGUUUGGGAAAAACUUAACGGCCCACCUCUUUGUCGUCUGCCAGUAGACGGCAAAGAGGCAAAAGGGCGGAUGGCAAAGAGGGGCGGACGGCAAAGAGGGCAGUNNNNNNNNNNNNNNNNNNNNNNNNNNNNNNNNNNNNNNNNNNNNNNNNNNNNNNNNNNNNNNNNNNNNNNNNNNNNNNNNNNNNNNNNNNNNNNNNNNNNNNNNNNNNNNNNNNNNNNNNNNNNNNNNNNNNNNNNNNNNNNNNNNNNNNNNNNNNNNNNNNNNNNNNNNNNNNNNNNNNNNNNNNNNNNNNNNNNNNNNNNNNNNNNNNNNNNNNNNNNNNNNNNNNNNNNNNNNNNNNNNNNNNNNNNNNNNNNNNNNNNNNNNNNNNNNNNNNNNNNNNNNNNNNNNNNNNNNNNNNNNNNNNNNNNNNNNNNNNNNNNNNNNNNNNNNNNNNNNNNNNNNNNNNNNNNNNNNNNNNNNNNNNNNNNNNNNNNNNNNNNNNNNNNNNNNNNNNNNNNNNNNNNNNNNNNNNNNNNNNNNNCCCCCCUCCUUUUUCCUGUUUUUUUUUCUGUUUUUUUCUUUUUUAGUUUUAGUUUAGAUUUAGUUUUAGUUUUAGUUUUAGGUUUAGUUUUAGUUUAAUUUUAGGUUUAGAUUUAGUUUUUUCCUUUUUUUCUGUUUUAUUAGUUUUAGGUUUAUGUUUAGUUUAGAUUUAGUUUUAGUUUUAGUUUUAGGUUUAGUUUAGUUUGAGGAAAGAAGAAGAAGAAGAGAAAAAGAGGAGAGGAGGAGAAGAAGAAGAGGAAAAAGGAAAGGAAGAAGAAGAAGAGGAGGAGGAGAAGAAAAAAGAAGAAGAGGAAGAAGAAGAAGAANNNNNNNNNNNNNNNNNNNNNNNNNNNNNNNNNNNNNNNNNNNNNNNNNNNNNNNNNNNNNNNNNNNNNNNNNNNNNNNNNNNNNNNNNNNNNNNNNNNNNNNNNNNNNNNNNNNNNNNNNNNNNNNNNNNNNNNNNNNNNNNNNNNNNNNNNNNNNNNNNNNNNNNNNNNNNNNNNNNNNNNNNNNNNNNNNNNNNNNNNNNNNNNNNNNNNNNNNNNNNNNNNNNNNNNNNNNNNNNNNNNNNNNNNNNNNNNNNNNNNNNNNNNNNNNNNNNNNNNNNNNNNNNNNNNNNNNNNNNNNNNNNNNNNNNNNNNNNNNNNNNNNNNNNNNNNNNNNNNNNNNNNNNNNNNNNNNNNNNNNNNNNNNNNNNNNNNNNNNNNNNNNNNNNNNNNNNNNNNNNNNNNNNNNNNNNNNNNNNNNNNNNNNNNNNNNNNNNNNNNNNNNNNNNNNNNNNNNNNNNNNNNNNNNNNNNNNNNNNNNNNNNNNNNNNNNNNNNNNNNNNNNNNNNNNNNNNNNNNNNNNNNNNNNNNNNNNNNNNNNNNNNNNNNNNNNNNNNNNNNNNNNNNNNNNNNNNNNNNNNNNNNNNNNNNNNNNNNNNNNNNNNNNNNNNNNNNNNNNNNNNNNNNNNNNNNNNNNNNNNNNNNNNNNNNNNNNNNNNNNNNNNNNNNNNNNNNNNNNNNNNNNNNNNNNNNNNNNNNNNNNNNNNNNNNNNNNNNNNNNNNNNNNNNNNNNNNNNNNNNNCGACACCCCGACCCCGAGACCCCGACACGGCACCCCGACACCGACAGGACACCCCGACCACCGACACCUCCCGAAAAGGUGUUCUUUGGCCUUCUAGAGGCCGACGGGGUCAUAUAUUUGUGAAUUAUUAGUUAGGUCAUAUAUUUUUCGAUUUUGUUAUGAAAAACAUCAUAUAUAAUUGUGUUGAUUGUGUAGUUUUAAAUGUGCAGUUGUUUCAUCGCUGCGAGGUUUGGUGUUCGACGACCUCGCCGUGCGUUUGACGAGCUCUGCCCCUUCGUUCGUGGGUGAGCACAAAUGACAAGUCCUCCUCCCCCAUUAAUUAUUUGAUCUAUGCCGAUGAAACUUGAUAGCUAGCUAUAUAUUAUUAUUCAUGUCGGUCUUUUUUUAUGUUGUACUAAUUUCGUUUACUGUUUGUCAUGGCAGGUGUUGAAAGAUGGUGGGCGCUGGUCGGGAGCGUGGUCUGAGGUCUUCCAUUCCAGACGCACCUCUCCGCCGAGCGUUGCUGGACAGUAUGGCCACACCGCCGGGCCCUUCUUCGUCGACCGCGGUGCCCAGCAGGGGACGAGGUAGGAAGAGAGGAGGUGGGGCACGUGGUCGUGGGAGAGGAGGUAGGGUGACUGCUACGGCGCCUUCCUCGCUGCCACCCCCAGCCGUUUCACCCGAGCACGUGACUGCUAGGGUGGACUCGUCCGAGGAGGAGGCUACAUGGACUCCGGUCCACGAGCCUCCGGUCCACGGGUCUUGGGCCCAUGAGCCUCGGGUCGACUGGCCUUCGGCCCACGAGAGUUCGGCCCACAUGACCGCGGAGGAGCACACGUCCGGAUGGGGUACCUGGCCGGAUCAGCCCGAGGAGCCGAGUGGCCAUGCUGAUGAUGGCGGGGAGCCGACUGAUCUUGAGGAGGGGGGCAUCGUCUACCAGCGUGGUGCUACACGGCUCCCGUCCGUGCCGGUGACCCGCGAGCAGAGGUGGUUGAUUUUCCCUGAUGGGGAGAGGUACGUAAGUGCAUUUAAUAUUUUUGUACCUUGUGCAUUCACGUUUUUUCAAAUAACUAAUGCGUUGGCCUUGUCAUGUUGCAGGGGUUGGGACGACCAUCAUAGUGUCCGCCGGCCCAACUCCGUCCUUGGAGUUCUUUGCCAGCAAAACUUCCCGGGGUUUGUCACGUUGCCUGGUGAGGGUCGGCUUCCAGAGCUUGGAUUGAGCUGGGAGCACUACGUGGCUGCCCCGGCCCCGCCGGAUGAGAUUAUCGACGGUGUCGUGUGCAACACGAGGGCAGACAUGGUGAUCAGAAAGUUUUGGGUAAUUUCUCCUUUACACAUUUAAAAAUAUUCAACUAGCUAGUUAUUAAUUGUACUAAUCAAUAUUGUCUCAUUUGAUUGCAGACAUUCUACAGGUGUGAGGAGGGAUAUGAGGAGGACGCGGCACAUGUUAUCGAGAACGUCUGCAAGCGCCUACUCCAGAACUUACGGCACGAGGCUCGGGUGCAGGCUGUUCGAGACUACUACGCCUUGCGUGGUAUCAAGAAGACCAAGCCGGCGUGCCGCGAUAAGUUCCUGAGUAAGGAGCAGUACAUGAAGGUAAUUCUUAAGGCCUUCUCUACUUAAGUUCCUUCAUUUAGUAAUUCUUAGUCGUAGCGCUCAAGUUUCUAUUUGCUAACUUAGGCGUCUCCGAGAUGGUGUGCGGAUCGGAUGGAUUGUUGGGAGGUGUUGGUCGAUGAGUGGUGCUCACAACGAUGGCUAGCCCUCCACAAUGAUGCCAAGGACAAACGUGCCCAAAUGGAAGGUGUGCCACACCAUCAAGGCAGCUCCAACUUAUAUCAGUUCGGGCGCAACUGGGUAUGUGGUUUGCUUCAUGAUUCAUGCAACUCAUUCAUCAUGCUAGCUUGAGCCCUUUAAUUACUAAUUUUCAUUGUUUCUCUCUUUCAGGCACGCUACAAUAAGGCGGAUAAGGUGCCAGAGGUGUACGACCUGUAUGCCAUGGCCCACACUGCCUCUUUCAAGAAAGUCAAGGCUUUCUCUUAGUCUGACCUCGAUGAUGCAAACAACUUCACCAACAUCUCCUCCCACAACAAGCUCGUGAGAUAUAGAGAUGAGGGGAAGGCGAGGAAAGGGGAGGACUUUAACCCGAGCUAGGGUCCCAUUGAUCCAGAGUUGUUGAUGAUAUCUGGUGGCGGGAGGUCCCAUGGCUCCAUAGCCAUUGGAGAUGGACUUAUCCGUUGUCCUAGCACUCUCCUGGAGAUCAAGGCGCGCCAGUCGAGCUCCGCUCCUGAGAUAAGGCCUCAUGAACGGCCAGUGCAACUCGCCAUCCAGGUUAGUGAUACGUACUCAGCUAUCUUUCUCCAUUACAUUGUGUGCGCUUCCAUCAAUGAUUACAAAUGAUCAUGUGAGUUGUGUUGCAGGCUGCUAUACAGAGUGAGAGAGAUAGAACAGAGAAACUUCUGGCGGAGGCGGCGGAGAGGCAGCGGGAGUUGGAGGAGAGGACGACAAAGAUGAUGGAGGAGGAGAGGGCACGGAAUGACAUGCAGGCAAGGGCCAUGUACGAGCUCCUUGUGGUAAGUUUCUUCUGCAGAUUAGCCAAAACAUUCAUGUAGUGUUUGUCUCAUUACUAACUAGUAUGACUGAGUCAUCAAAACCAAAUGUGCAGUCUGUGUGCGAGAAGACAGGUCAGACUGCUCCGCCGAUGCCAGUGAUUGCUCCUGGGACCACGGUGAGUUUUAUUUGAAUGGACAUUACUUGCUAGUCUUAACAUUUGAGUGUCAUCAUGCUAACAAGACAUUGGAAAUGAUCUUUGGUGCAGCGUAACUCCAGACAAGCAUCGCACGAUCCUUCUCCAGCUACCGACACGAGCCACCCCGCUCCUACACCUCCUACAUCUUGGUAAGUUUAUCUAGUGUUUUGCUUAACACAUGCAUAAAGACCUAGAAUUAGCUUUAUUUCCUCCAAUGCUUACCAUAAUGACCUAGACUUAGCUUUAUUUCCUCCAAUGCUUACCAUAAUGACCUAGACUUAGCUUCUUCACCUCCAAAAUGACUUAAUAAGCUUACUGACCUCCAAAACCAUCCAUUUUACCUAAGUUAGCUCUAAAACGAUCUGUACUUAGCCUACUUAUGUCAAAAAUUGCAUAAUUAGCUUAGUUAGCUUAUAGACGAUCCAUUUUACCUAAGUUAGCUCUAAAAUGACCCAUUUUACCUAGGUUAGCUUAUAAAUGAUCCAGUUCAUCCAAGUUAGCUCAAAAAUGACCCAUUUUACCUAGAUUAGCUCCUAAAUGAUCCAUUUGACCUACGUUAGCUUUAAAAUGACCCAUUUCACCUAGGUUAACUCCAAAAUGACCAAUCUUACCUAGGUUAUCUCAUAAACGAUCCAUUUCAACUAAUUUAGCUCAUAAACGAUCCAUUUCACCUAGGUUACCUAAAAAACGAUCCAUUUCACCUAAAUUAGCUCUUAAAUGAUCCAUUUCACCUAAGUUAGCUCAAAAAGAUCCAUUUCAACUAAAUUAGCUCAUAAAUGAUCCAUUUCACCUAAGUUAGCUCAAAAACGAUCCAUUUCAACUAAGUUAGCUCAUAAAUGAUCCAUUUCAUCUAAGUUAGCUAAAAAAGAUCCAUUUCACCUUAGUUACCUGAAAAACGAUCCAUUUGACCUUAGUUAGCUCAUAAACGACCCAUUUCAACUAAGUUAGCUCAUAAAUGAUCCAUUUCACCUUAGCUAGCUCAUAAACGACCCAUUUCAACUUAGUUAGCUCAUAUAUGAUCCAUUUCAUGUAAGUUAGCUCAUAAAUGACAUACUCUUCUUGUUCUAGUCUUCUUCUUGUUCUACUCUUCUUGUUCUAGUCUUCUUCUUGUUCUACUCUUCUUGUUCUACUCUUCUUCUUGUUCUACUCUUCUUGUUCUAACUUUCUUAUUUUUCAUUUUGCAGAGUUCAUUCACUUGACGAAAGCUUGCAUAGAUGGAUUGCUCCUUAUCCCUUUCUCUGUUUCUUUUGUAUCGUUGUACUAUGCAUGUAUCGUUGGAUGAAACUAUUGUAAUAUAUAUGGUUGGAUGCCUCUAUGUUGAACUUGUUAUGUAUGAUGGAACUAUGCAUGUAAUAUAUAUGGUUGGAUGAUGAAGUUAUGUGUUGGAUAUCUUAUAUGUUUGCUCUGUAAUGGCCUUUUGAAAUAUAUCUAUAUAUGUCAUCUAUAUUUGUGAUGAAAAUUGUUGGAUUUAAUAAAAAAUAGAUAAAAGAGCCAAUAUGCAGGCUCUUUGCCGUCUGCCACCGACGGCAACGGGCUCUUUGCCGUCUGCCGUGGACGGCAAAGAGGGCACGUGGCAUCCAGCUGUGCUUCCUGGGAGCUGACCCUUUGGUCAGUUUGCCUACAAUGGCAGACGGCAAAGACUUUGCCAUCAGUGGCAGACGGCAAAGACCUGCCGUUAGCCACUUAACGGACUGACAGCGCAAUUAUUGUCGUCCGCCUUCUUUGCCGUCUGUCACGCUCUCUUUGCCGUCUGCGGCGGACGGCAAAGACUUUGCCAUCAGUAGCAGACGGCAAAGUAGCUGUUUACCGAAGCCUACUUUGCCGGAGCCUUUUGCCGUCCGCGGCUGACAGCAAAGGCCUUUGCCGUCCGCCGUUCAUGCCUUUGCCGCCCGCCGUGGCAGACGGCAAAGUAGCUGAUUCCUGUAGUGCAACUCGGGAGACGCGCACCUCCGUGCCGCUCAAAAUGGUCUAGCCAGAGCCACGGAGCAGUAUGUAAAAGACAUACGAGUGAGAAAAUUUGGUGAUUAUAUAUAUCAGUAGCCCCUGAGACUUGAAACAGUUAGGAUAACUGAUUUAAGGAUCAUUUGUUAUGCAGGUUCUUACAGAAAAGAAUACUCAACUGUCCCAGGAGCUGGAAGAGUGCAAAGCCCAACUUCAGGCUGCACUGGCCACAGCAGGGGAGCCCAAAGAGACCCCCUAUGGUAAUAUAUUCUUCAAAUGAUAAGUAUCAUAUAGAAUGCGGCGUGUAUGCAGAUCUGAUGAUAAAAUUGCAGAUGACACUGGAGUAAAUCCGGAUAAGCAACAGCUCCAACGCCAGCUAAAGGCCGGUGAGAACGUGCUUACGAGGGUGAGGCAGCAGAAAAAUGAUCUCCAAGAUGCCAACACCAAGUUGGGCGUGGAACUAAAAGAUGUUCGCGCCCAACUGUCGGACUCUGUUAAGGAAAAUCGGCGGCUUCGACACGGCAUAUUUAGUAAGUGCUUGAACGAACUUUGAAAAAGAGUUCGGCGAGGAAGCUAGCUGACAAAGUUAUGUCUGUAGGUAUGCUAACAGGUUGUCCUACCGAGGAAAUGCCCGGUUCAACGGGUGACCUUCUUCCCGAGCUCUCACAGCUCCACGAACGAGUUCGACAGGUGAUGCAAGGCGUCGCCCAGGCCUUGUGGCCAUCCGUCUCCAUACCCGAAGGCCUUGGAGAGCUUGCAGAAAAGCUAAAGGGAGCGCGGCAGCGCUUCCGAUUAUGGAAGAUAUCGGCCUGCCGUCAGGGCGCCAGGGAAGCCUGGGCAAUGGUGAAGACACGAUACACGAAGGCUGACCCGAACCACAUGGCCGAAGUCGAACCUGUGGGGCCCGAUGGGAAGGAGAUCCCUGUGAGCUUAGUGUACGGUCAAGUAGAAUUGGCCUCAAAGUAUUCCCAACAGGACUGUAGAGUAGACAACCUUUUGGAUGGUAUUGAAGAGGAAUUCAACCAGUCAAAUUGACUAUGUAAUUUUAAAGUGACAUGUAUAAUGCCUUCUAGCCGGAUUGUAGAUCGUUUGUCGUGGCAGACCUUUUCUCUUUGACCUCGGGACCCGAUGGUCCGGAGUGUAUCCGAAUACCCUCUCGGUUAUGUAAGAACCAGGGCAUGCGUAGAGACUAGGCAUAGGGGUCAUUAGUGCUUUAUCAGACAAGUGCCCAACUAGUUAUGUUAUAUUACAUGGGUAGUAAGAAACAUCUUCCAGGGAGAAUAGUUUCGUUAAGGGUUCCUUUCCCUGGGUAAGCAUGCCCUAAAGUGCAUGUCUGGACUGCGACAAGAAGCGCAGAAAAAGCAUCUGAGGGCAGAUAUGGAUAAUAAAUAAAAGCCAUCUUUUGUACACCGACCGAAUAUUCCCUUAAGAACGCUAGCUUUCGGCUUCACCCAGUCUGAGGUACACGUCCGGCUGACCCGGCGGUAACAAUCACAGAGGUGCUCCCCUUAUGCCCUAGCCGAAUUAACGGGAACGUAGGGCAUAAAUACAAGAGCCAGGCAACCCAGCUUGGCCAAAACUUAAGUCAUAUCGAUGCAUAUAAUGGUGAAAAAAGGUACACGCGGAAGUAUAACACAUGUGUUGGGCGUGAGGCCCAGGUAAAUAAUUUAAGCUUCUGUGAAAGAAGCCCCCAGGUAUGAAGAGUGCGGCUAGCGCAUUUGUAAUGUAUGAGUCAGGCACAAGAUGACCCUUGAAGGCCUAGAGAAAUAAAAGAAAGAAAGGGAAACAAGACAGAUGAUGCAUAUGCAGAAAAUGGACAAAGGGAGGGGACUAACAUAGAGUCCGGUGCUAGGCGUAGAAUCUUCGAAGCCUGGCUGCGUUCCAUGGGUUCGGCUCGAGUCGACUAGUCGAUGCAUCCCGCAGUCGGUACGCUCCACCGGUCAAAACUUGGUCGAUAAUGAAGGGACCUUCCCAUUUGGGCUCGAGCUUGUUCUUUUUCUUAUCCGGCAGUCGUAGAACUAGUUCGCCAACGUUAUAUGUUUUGGCCCGUACUUCUCUGCUUUGGUAUCUGCGAGCCUGUUGCUGGUAAAAUGCGGAACGGGCUUUGGCUACAUCGCGCUCUUCCUCCAAGGUGUCCAGACUGUCCUACCGAUCGAGCUCGGCUUCUCUUUCUUCGUACAUGCGCACUCGAGGUGAGUCAUGAAUUAUGUCACAGGGCAGGACUGCCUCUAUGCCGUACACCAUAAAAACGGUGUAUAUCCGGUACUGCGAUUCGGCGUGGUCCGCAGCCCCCAGAGUACAGAGUCGAGCUCCUCUACCCAGUGCGUGUCAAACUCCAUUAAGGAGCGCACUAAUAUGGAUUAGUGCCGCUCAUUGUAAGACCAUUUGCUUGUUCGACUUGACCCUUGGUUUGUGGGUGAUAGACUGAAGCAUAAUCGAGCUUGAUGCCCAUUUUGCUGCACCAAAGUUUUACCUCGUCGGCUGUGAAGUUCGUGCCAUUAUCAGUGAUGAUGUUGUGGGGGACGCUGUAACGGUGUACAACCCCGGAUAUGAAAUCUAUCACCGGUCCGGAUUCGGCUGUUUUAACCGGUUUAGCCUCUAUCCAUUUGGUGAAUUUAUCCACCAUGACCAAUAAGUAUUUCUUCUUGUGGGUUCCCCCUUUAAGGGGUCCAACCAUGUCAAGCCCCUAGACCGUGAAAGGCCAUGUAAUGGGGAUUGUUUGGAGGGUGGUGGGUGGCAUGCGGCUUUGAUUUGCAAAGAGCUGGCAACCGGCACAACGUUGGACCAAGUCCUGUGCAUCUGCCCAGGCUGUUGGCCAAUAGAAUCCUGUACGGAAGGCCUUGCUUACAAGAGCUCGGGCUGUGGCGUGAUGACCGCCGAGUCCGGCGUGAAUUUCUGCCAAAAGGUUCCGCCCUUCCUCUUCGGAGAUGCACCUUUGAAGGACUCUGGUAGCGCUUUUUUUGUACAAUUCUCCCUCAUGGACCCUGUAGGCCUUGGAUCACCGCAUUAUGCAGCGUGCCUCAUUUUGGUCCUCCGGAAGUUCCUGUCUAGUUAGGUAGGCCAGGAAUGGUUCUGUCCACGGGCAAUAAUGGCCAUUAUUUCGUGGGAUGAAUGUGUUAUUUCGGUGGCGGAGCCUCCGAUUGUGUCAGAGAGUUCGGUAUCGGGUAUUUUGGCCGGGUCCGGACUGUUAUUACCGGUGUCCCCUUCCCAUGCUACGGAUGGCUUGAAGAGCCUUUCCAGAAAUAUGUUGGGAGGGACCGUGUCGCAUUUUGCACCGAUGCAGGCGAGGAUAUCCGCCGCCUGAUUGUUUUCCCGAGCCACAUGGUGAAAUUCGAGCCCCUCGAACCGAACUGACAUUUUUAAGAGGGCAUUGCGAUAAGCUGCCAUUUUCGGAUCCUUGGCAUCAAAGUCCCCAUUUAUUUGGGAUAUCGCGAGGUUCGAAUCCCCGCGCACCUCUAGGCGUUGAAUGCCCAUGGAUACUGCCAUCCCGAGACCAUGUAGAAGGGCCUCAUGUUCGGCUGCGUUGUUGGAGUCCAUAUACAUUAUCUGUAGUACGUAUUGAAUGGUAUCUCCUGUUGGGGAUGUCAAAACGAUGCCAGCCCCUAGACCAGCCAACAUUUUGGAGUCGUCGAAGUGCAUGAUCCAGUUUGAAUAUGUGCCGUACUCUUUAGGGAGUUCGGUUUCCGUCCACUCAGCGACGAAGUCAGCCAAAACUUGUGACUUAAUAGCUCCCGUGGCUUGUAAGUUAUGUCGAACGGGAGGAGCUCAAUGGCCCAUUUGGCAAUCUGACCCGUCGCAUCACGGUUGUUUAUAAUAUCAUUAAGUGGUACUUCCAAGGCUACCGUUAUCGAACACUCUUGAAAGUAGUGUCGUAGCUUCCGGGAUGCCAUAAAUACCGCGUACGCUAUCUUUUGAUAAUGCGGGUACCGUGAUUUGCAUGGAGUAAGGACAGUGGACACAUAGUAAACCGACUUUUGAAGGGGUAAUUUGUGUCCGUCCACUUCUCGCUCGACGACAAGCACUGCGCUUACUACUUGAUGAGUUGCCACAAUGUAUAGUAGCAUUGGUUCGCCAAUGUUUGGCGCGGCCAGGACUGGGUUUGUUGCCAAUAUGGCUUUUAUUUCGUUGAGUCCGGCCGUGGCGGCGUCCGUCCACUCGAAGUGUUCGGUGCGCUGGAGGAGGCGAUAAAGGGGUAAUGCCUUUUCUCCCAAGCGGGAGAUAAAGCGACUUAGAGCCGCCACGCAUCCAGUCAAUUUUUGUAUUUGUUUGAGGUCUGUUGGGGUAGCCAACUGUGACAACGCUCGGAUUUUGGCCGGAUUAGCUUCAAUACCUCUACUGGAGACAAUGAAUCCCAGGAGCUUUCCGGCUGGUAUGCCGCAAACGCAUUUUUCCGGAUUGAGCUUGAUGUCAUAUGUUCGGAGGUUGUUGAAUGUGAGCCUCAAGUCGUCUACUAGAGUUUCGACAUGCUUGGUUUUAACGACCACGUCAUCUACAUAUGCCUCCAUUGUUUUGCCGAUCUGGUUUGCCAGACAUGUCUGAAUCAUGCGCUGAUAUGUUGCGCUGGCGUUUUUGAGCCCGAACGGCAUUGUGUUGAAGCAGAAUGGGCCGUAUGGUGUGAUGAAUGCCGUUGCGGCUUGGUCUGGCUCUGCCAUUUUAAUUUGAUGGUAGCCGGAGUAUGCGUCGAGGAAACACAAUGAAUCGUGUCCUGCAGUUGCAUCGAUGAUUUGAUCAAUGCGGGGGAGGGGGAAGGGAUCCUUUGGGCAGGCCUUGUUAAGGUCCUUAAAAUCGACGCACAAGCGCCAGGAUUUGUCCUUAUUUGGUACCAUCACCUGGUUUGCUAGCCAGUCCGGAUGUUUUAUGUCUCUGAUGAAUCCGGCCUCAUAUAGCUUGGCUAGUUCCUGUCCCAUGGCUUGUCUCUUAGGUUCAGAGAAACGUCGAAGAGCCUGCUUGACUGGCUUGAAUCCUUUUAGGAUAUUUAGGCUGUGCUCAGCCAGCCUGCGUGGGAUUCCUGGCAUGUCUGAAGGGUGCCAGGCAAAAAUGUGCCAGUUCUCGCGUAGGAACUCUCGCAGUGCGGCGUAGACAUCAGGGUUUAGUUGCGCCUCGAUGGAAGCUGUUUUUGUAGGGUCCAUUGGAUGGACUUGGAAUUUGACUAUUUCGUCCGCCGGUUUAAAGGAGGUGGACUUGGAUCUUUUAUAGAGUAUCACAUCGUCCCUGUUCACCAUGGAGUGUAGCGCAGUUAGUUCCUCGGCCGCUAGGGUUUCGGAUAGUGCCUCAAGGGCCAGUGCAGCUGUCUUAUUUUCGGUGCAGAGUGCUAUGUCCGGAUCACUAGCAAGAGUGAUGAUUCCGUUGGGCCCGGGCAUUUUGAGCUUCAUGUACCCAUAAUGGGGUAUGGCUUGGAAGAUUGUAAACGCCUCCCGCCCUAGUAGAGUGUGGUAUCCGCUGCUGAACGGGGCCACUUUGAAUGUAAUUUCUUCGGACCUGUAAUUAUCCGGCGUGCUGAAUACCACAUCUAGUGUGAUUUUCCCAGCACAGCGUGCUUCCCGACUGGGGAUGAUUCCUCUAAAGGCUUUGCUACUUUUCUCAAUGCGGCUCCAGUCUAUUUCCAUCUUUUGAAGAGUUUUCUCAUAGAUGAGGUUUAAUCCACUGCCGCCGUCCAUGAGUACCUUGGUGAGUCGAAAGCCGUCCACGAUUGGACUGAGGACCAGUGUGGCUGGUGCUCGGGCUGUUCGGAAUUUGGGUUCGUCACUGGCAUUGAAGGUAUUAGCCGUGUCACACCAAGGAUUUAUUUCUGCUACGUGGCAGAUUUCGGCCAUGCUGCGGAGUGUUCGCUUGCGUCUAUUAUUUGACGCGAAGGUCUCAAAGACCGUUAACACCGUAUUGUUUUCCACGGGAUGGUGCUCUGUGGUAUUUGGGAGGAGUAGAUCCUCACCACUUUUGGUCACCUACCGGAGUAUCCAACAUGCUCUAAGGCUGUGUGUUGGUAUUGCAUCCGCUGUACUAUGAAUUUUGUAGGGUCCGUUGACCCAUCCCUCUAGUACGGUUCCUUGCCCUGUAGAGGACUUUUGCUUUUUGGUAGUUAACCCAGGUGUAUUGUGAUGAUGCGCCCUUUUAUUUCGGACUGGGUUUGUAUUCAGGGCUGGAUUAUCCCAAAAUUUUAUUUCAGUUUUCCAAGCGCUUCCCAUCGCAUAGUACUUUCGUACAAUGGACACCAAGUCGGCAAAGCAUGUAAUUUCACGGUGACUUAUGGCGUUGAGGAUUCCCUUGUCCGUGCAAUUAUUGCAGAAGAAUGAAAUUGCAUCUUCCUCGCGGCAGUCCUUUAUCCUGUUCAUGACCAGGAGGAAUCUGGCCCAUUAAUGGUGUACUGUUUCUUCGGGCUCUUGCCUAAUUUGGGAUAGAUCGCGUAAGUUUGGGUGGGUGGGUGGAAUUGAAUCGAAAUCCUCACCCAAUCUGAGACUCAGGGGCCAAGGAGUUUCCGAACUCAGAAGUUUGGAUUCUUGGAUGUUUUUCGAUAAAUCUAGCCCGCUGCCUAAUUCUAGGUUCAGGCCUUGAGUGACGUCCUCCCCUCCACUGGUAUCCGGCUUGGAGGGAUCGGGAAUCUGGACAUAGCUAGUCCUUAAGAUAGAUGAAGGGUUGCCGCAUUGUUCCUCCACCACUGCAACGUGAUGGGUGACCUGGGGAGAGUUGAUCUCUCUUAGAUCGGGUUUAGGCCCAAUCUGAUCGUAGUCUGUAGCGACUCCCAGGGCGGCGAUGCGAUCCAAGAGCUCGUUCAGGGAAGAGAGAUCCAUUGGAUCUAACUGCUCGGCGAGUUCCGAGUUGACGUGAAGAUUGCUUUCGAUGACCCGAGAAGACAUCAUCGGCGCAGCGGCCGAACGGGUGGUCAUAAGAAAACCACCUAGCCGGAGAGUUUGGCCAAUAGCCAGAGCUCCCUCAGCAAUAGUGCCGUCUUUAAAGACGGAAUGAGACAUCCUUCCUGAUGGCGACGGCACAGCGGAACUCUCAAUGAAAGCACCAAUGUCGGUGUCAAAACUGGCGGAUCUCGGGUAGGGGGUCCCGAACUAUGCGUCUAGGCCGGAUGGUAAUAGGAGGCAGGGGACACGAUGUUUUACCUAGGUUCGGGCCCUCUUGAUGGAGGUAAAACCCUACGUCCUGCUUGAUUAAUAUUGAUGAUAUGGGUAGCACAAGAGUAGAUCUACCACGAGAUCAGAGAGGCUAAAUCCUAGAAGCAAGCCCAUGGUAUUAUUGUAUGUUGUGAUUGUUGUCCUACGGACUAAAACCCUUCGAUUUAUAUAGACACUGGAGAGGGUUAGGGUUAGACAAGGUCGGUUACAAAGGAGGAGAUAUCCAUAUUCGUAUCGUCUAGCUUGCCUUCCACGCCAAGUAGAGUCCCAUCCGGACACGAGACGAAGUCUUCAAUGUUGUAUCUUCAUAGUCUAACAGUCCGGCUAAUGGAUAUAGUCCGGCUAUCUGGAGACCCCCUAAUCCAGGACUCCCUCAAUAGUGUUUUUGGAGUAUAUGAUGGUGACACGAUGAUUGCCCCGGCGGUGUUCCGGUGACAGCGGGAGAGAGAGGGGGAGAGAGCCCCCCUCCUCCUUCUUCUUCCUUAGCCUCCCCCAGAUGGGAGGAGGGUUCCCCCCUCUAGUCCAUGGCCUCCAUGGCGGUAGAGGGGCGAGAGUCCCUCCGAGAUUGGAUCUAUCUCUCUAUUUUCUUCUCUUUCGUGUGCUUGUUUUCUGGCCCUUCACCAUUUCUUAAAUUCCCGGAGAUCCGUAACUCCGAUUGCGUUGAAAUUUUACAUGAUUUUUUCCAUAAAUUAUCUUUCUUUCUCCUGAAGAAGGGCCCCAACCGACUUACGGGGAGGGCACAAGACACCUGGGCGCACCAGGGGGUGCCCGACGCUCCCUGAUGGGCUAUGGAGGCCGUGGGCCUCCGUUUGCGUUAAUUGCACCUCCCAAAAAUCACAAAUAUUCCAAAAUAAUUAUGUGUAAAUUUUUAUCGCGUUUGGACUUCAUUUGAUAUGGAUAUUCUAUGAAACAAAAAACAUGCAACAAACAUGAACUGGCACUGGGCACUAGAUCAAUAGGUUGGUCCAAUAACUCGAAUAAAAUGUUGCCAAAAGUAUGUGAAAGUUGUAUAAUAUUGGCCUGAAAAAAUGAAAAAUUGUAGAUACGACAAAGACCUAUAAGUAGUCGCAUACUGUUUUUCCCUUUUGAUCCGAAUCAUUCCACUUCAACAGAUGUUCGUGGCGAGAACACCCAACUCAUAGCGAGGGUCAAGACUUGUAUUUCUUUAGGAACCAUGAAGGAGGCUCUGGAGAACAAAGACAAGGAUCUGGUAUUGGCUCAGAAGGAGGCCAGGACCAAGACCAAACUCGCUGGUGAGAAGCUAGCUUUAGUCGAUAAGUUAGAGGAGGAGAUCAAGGGCCUCAAGGCUACCAUUAGUGCCUCCAUUCAGGAGAAGGAUAAGCUGGAUGAGAAGGUCACGUAGCUGACUGACUGACAAGAAGAACGCUCUGGAAGCACAUGUCGAAGUGAUUUGCAAGGAAUUCAGUGGGAAGCUUGCCGGUAAGUUCUCCUUUGACCGAGUGAAAUCCAUAUGUCGCCAAUUUUUUCUCAAUCACCCACUCACAAAAUGUUUUCCUCAAAACAGAGCACUGCUAAAACAAGGAACUACAGCUAGAGAGGCUGGAGAGGGAUCUGGACCGUUCCAGGUCACUUCUCACCGACAAUGCAUCCCUUGCCAUCCUCCAGCUUGAAGACUAUUUGGAGAAUGCGUUAGGCUAUCUCACUCGGACAAGGGGUGCUGCGGGUCAGAUUGAUGAGGAGUUGCAGCCGGGUGUGGAGAGUCAGAAGGAUCUGGAGUCGGUGCUGACGUGGCUGAACGAAAUCCCCACUUAGGUAAAGGCUUGGAAGAAGUCUGCCGCUCAGAGCGGUGCUGAUGUGGCGCUGUCACUCAUUGGUGUUCAUUGCAAGAAUGUGGAUGAGGAGGAGCUGAAGAGCCUCUAAGUGAUGAACAAGAAGAACCUUAAGUUUGAGGAUUUCAUGGAGACCUUUUGUCGUGGGUUUGUCACGGCAGAUGUCCUCGUGAUAGGACUUAGUCAUGGAGCCAUCGCUGUGGGUUAGCUUAAAGGGGUUAAACAGGACAAGGGACACAAGGGUUUUUAUACUAGUUCGGCCCCUUUGAUGAAGGUAAAAGCCUACGUCUAGUUGUGUUUGGUAUUGCUGGGGUUUCGAUGACCAGGGAGCGAAUCCACUUUGCCUGGCUCUCGAGUUGUUGUCUAUUGUCCCUAAACCGCUGUCGGGUUGUCCCUUUAUAUACACAGGUUGACGCCCGCCGGUUUACAGAGUCCCAAGGCCAGAUCAUAAACGUGUCUGGCUCGGUCUCUAUCCUUCCUAUCUUACAAUGCAAGUUACAUGAGAAAGUCGGUUUACAUCUACAAGCCUUAACUCGCCUUUGGGCCUUGAGCCUUCAUAAAGCGCCAUCAUCCUUACGUCUUCAUGGGCUUCUGAUCUUCUUGGAGUUAAUCCGGCUACUCCUGGCCGGUUUACGUCCAGUAGUAAUAUCCCCAACAUUAGGCCCCAGAUUGAUUUGAACUUGCUCAUGUCAAUCUUCAACACUUAGAAAAAUUCUUCCCUUGCAUCUUCACCUUGAUCUUGUAAACCGUCGUGACGUCAUACUCCAGGAUCAUGUUAAAUCGCCAUGACGUCAUCUUGUUAUUUAAAAAUGAUACAUCUCACCUUCAGUUAAUGAGCCUCCGACAAUCGAGGCGAUCGCUCCUGUUAGGUAUCCAAUAUUCUGGCCCCUUGAUUCUCGCGCCUGUUACCUCCCCCUUUACCUUAUAAAUAGGGCCACGAGUCAUUUACUUUUUUUCCCUCCGUCUCUUCGCCGCUUCUUCCUCCUCGCGACGCCUCUGCAUUCGAGCGUCGCUGCCGUCGCUGAGCUCCGCCUCUGCAUCUCCGUUGGCUGCUGCAUCGACCUGGUUGCGCCAGAUAGCCGCGGCUUAACUCCGCUUGCUUCAGCAGCCACUAUAAGAUCUUCCCUUUCCUCCUCUAUAGAUCUACUUAGUGUUUCAGUGUUCAUCGAAGUUCAUCGAAGCUCCGGCAACUGUUCUUCCCUGUUCCUCCUUAGUCCAUGAAAAAACCCUCAAGCUUGAUGUAUUCCAUGUAGUAGCUAUAUCAUUACUUAUCCUUUGCUAUCACAACAAACCCUUAUGUGCAUAAAAACUGAUCUGGACCUUUGUGAACUGCUUCGGGACCAACCUUUUUAGGUCUAAAUCUUUUUGCUUUUCCUGUAUUAUGGUAGAUCCAAAAUUUCCAUGUAAUCUUGUGAAACCUGUUUUACCUUACUUAGUCGUUCUUGCCUCAGAUCUGUAUCUUCUUCAUUACAUAGGAGGUUUACCUUUGUAGAAAACAAUCUAUCACAUACCAUUAGUCCCCUUGUAAACCAACAACUCCUUGAUUUUCGUUGUCAUAUUCCGGUUUAAUAAUAUGUGUAUAUCUCUUUUUCCACUUAUCGCCUUGUCAUUCAAAAUUAUAUCAUCCUCCGGUUUACCAAGCUUACAUACUUGAAUUCCUUUGUUCUGUUGCACCUUAUGCAUCACUACGAAUGAAUUGUUAAACCAGCAUUUCUUUCCAGCUUUUCACUUGCAAUGGCCAAGCAAUUUUAUUCCUGCAACUGGGCUCCCUCCCGGGUUACUGAGGAGCAACUAAAUGGUAUGGUUAAGAUUGGCACCUUACCAAAGAAGAAUGAGAUCCGUUGGCGAGUUCCUGGGUCAGAAAAUCCUCCCAUCCCUAGGAAGGGUGAGGUAGUGGUGUUUGUUGAUCACAUAGGCCGUGGUUUCAAACCACCCGGGUCAAAAAAAUCUGGGAUGUGCUUGUAAGCUUUGAACUCCACCCUCAAGAUAUUGGACCCAACUCGGUAUCCAAUAUAUGCAACUUUCAAGUUUUCUGUUAAGCGUACCUCCAAGAAGAGCCAACUAUGGAGCUGUUCUGGGAUUUCUUCCAUCUGAACCGGUGCACUGAAUUUGUAGACGGACCCAAUACUGAACUCGGUGGCGUCUCCAUUCAAAAAAGAAAAGAGGUUGAAUUUCCUCAUGCCAAACCGCACAGUCACCCCAAAGAGUGGAAUCAAACUUGGUUUUACCGUAAAGACACCUCCCCUAAUGACGAGAAUCCUCUGCCGGGUUACCGUGUCCACCGGCUUGCCAACACUCAUCCACUUCCACAUCGGCUAAAUGCUCAGGAACGGGCCCCGUAUGCACCUCAACUCGCCAAGCUGAGAGCCUUCUUGGCCAACGGGUUAACAUGUAUAGACUUUGUCCGUUGUUGGAUAUCUUGGAGCAUCUUGCCGUUAAGCCGCCGUACCGGUUUAAUGUGCGAAUAUACUGGUGAAUUAGAAGACUCCCAACGUCAUAUCAAUAUUCAGCUAACAGAUGAAGAAGUUACCGAAGCUGUCAAGAAAAUAUUAAACGAGUCGGAAGCUGUCUGCCGCCAAACCGGUUUAGACACUUUUUACACGCAAAACAAACCGCCUGCUGUGAGUAUUGUUCCUCCGUUUUACACUUGAUAUCCUUAGACUGUACAAUCCUUGAAUACCCUUCUUUUUACCUUUAAACAGGGUGAUGAUCCGUUUUGGAAGAAGAAACCUCAAGAGAAAGCGGCAAAAACUGCCCGCCCUAAAACCAAAGCCGUCAAGAAAACCACAAAGCGGAAAGCACCUGAACGCAUCAGUAUGGAACUGGACGACGACCUGGAUGAACCGGAAGUUGAGGUAGAACUUGAUUCACUUGGUUCCCUUUUCUUGCAUCUCAUUGACAAUGAUACUUAUCAGGAGGAUGCGGAGGGCAUCCAAGCUGAUGAUGUAGAGGUAAUUAUCCUUUCCUCCGGUUCAGACUCUAUGCCAACACAAAAAAUCCGUCAAGCGGUCUGGAAAGUAAGCUUUUAUCAUGCUCUUGCUCACUCGGAUCCAACAUUUUUUUUGAAGACGCAGCAGCACGAGGCUCGCUGCACAACCCGGCACAGCAGCCAAAAGGUCACUUCGGCCGGUUUACUUGACACCCCAGUUCGAAAGCGCCGAUCUGAGGUCUUACCUACUUCUGACAAUUCUUAUCCCAAGGCAGGCUAUUUCCAACAACCUCUUAAUCCGUCCGAUUCGAAUUAUCAGGUGACACCUCCUUCAUCCUCUGGCGAGUCAACAACGACCCAACUUCCUCCUCUCAAAAUUGUAGUUGGGUAAGUACUUCAACUCCUUCUUUUGAUGUUUUCAUACUUUAUAUACCAUGCUUAACUGUCGCAUCUUUUUCUGUUUUAGAGCCAAAGCCAGACCCAGCAAAAAGGCUCGGGUGAACAGUCCGCCCGAAGACCAGGUGGUUCUUGAACCGGAGCAAACGGCUGAACCAAAGGGUCCAAAUCCAAAUCUUGAAGCUACCUUUGAUGAACCACCCCCUCAAGAUCACAAUACCGAUGAACAACCAGAAGUUGACACUGCUGUACCUGAUGAUGAACCGGCAAAUCCCAUCUGGGCUGACGAUAGACCUUCUAGUCCGGUGAAAGCUAUUGACACCCCAUGAACUCCAGAAAAGACUGCUGGAGACAAAGAAGGCGAUGUUAUCAGUACCAGUAUGAGCCACAGCUCUCCUGGCCAUCCUGUUAUAUUGGCGAAACAUAGUGCCAAGGAAGAGUGUGCUGCCAUGGAAAAAGGCAAAUGGAGCAUCGACUUGUCAAGCUACGCCCAUCUCAGCGCUCAAGAACUCGACUCCAGUUUUCUAAACCGUCUGCACUCAAACCGUGAUUAUGAAGCCGGUUAGGUGAACCUGAUGAAGGAACGCUAUGAGGUAUUUUCAUUACUUUUCCUUUCUUAAAUCCAAAGUACAAGUAUCAUCCCAAGUAGCCCCCAAGGGCCGGUUUAUGAUGUUAAUCAUAAACCGAGACUUUGUAACAUCUUAAUCCUGGCAUGCUGAUCCUCCAUAUGUCAAGUGAUCUUUGGAAACAAACCGGUACUUUAUCAUUGUAUUCCUAUAGUUUUCAUCGGUGUAGCCCCCAAGGGCCGGUUUAUCUUUGCAAGGUAAACCAGGUCUUGAAUCAAUGCGUCAAGUUUGAACAGAUGUACAUUAGCCCCCAAGUGUUAAGGAUAAUGCUCGCAUUGUACUUGAGACUUGUGAAAAAAUAUAUUGAUGAUAGAGUAAAUAGGCAUUAGCCCCCAAGUACAAAGUGCAUAACUUGUUAUACGCUUGGUACUUCCUAACUUGUUUUUAUGAUAUAUCUCACCUUUGUAGGCUGAGCUGAAUAAGAAGGAUGCUCAAACCGCGGACCUUCAAGAGAAUUUUAAAUCUCAACAAGCAGAGGCUUCCAAAGCCAAAGAAGAGCUGACCAAUGCCUUAGCAGCUAUGGAGAAGCUGAAAGAAACCUUUAACAACGAGCGUGCAGACUGGGAGACGGAAAAGGCCGGUUUGACAAAGAAGGCCGAGGACGCAGAGGUAGCCCUGAAGCCGGUGGUUGAAGAACUGACCAGCUUAAAGCGGCAUAUUAAUGCCAUGACUUCUGCUAUGUUUGGUAAGUACCUUCUCGUGCAGUUUGUCUAAUUCAUAAGAUCUUAUCAAUGACCGGUUUACUGAUGCUUAACCAUGACAGGGACCUGCAUUGCUCAUCUAGGCACUAACAUGCGGAUGAAGCUUAAAGCAGCCUAUACCUUGAUAGAACAGCUGUUCUCUGGAUCCCAGUGAGCCAUUUGCACUACAGCUUAUAACAAGCCUCCACCAUCGCUGAUAAAAGAAACUAUUGAAAAGCCGGCCAUGCUGCCUGCCCGGAUCAACGAACUGAAGAGAUCAGCCGCAAGAUCAGGAGCGCUGACCGUGCUAAUCCGGGCCAAGGCGUGGAUUCCAGAUCUUGAACCGACAGAUAUCAUCAAAGGGUAUCCUGGUGUGAAAGAAGACGGCUCAGACUUCAAUAACGACGAUCUCCAAAGGCUGACAAAGGAGAUGCAACCAAUAGCAAGCAAACUGGCGGAGGACAUAGAUCUAUCACAUUUUCAACUGGUUUAUGAUGCUGAGGGAAAAAGAUAGCCCGCGUUGAUCCACAAUGUUGAAGAUCUUGUGCCACCAAUCCAUAAGCAUACUUAUGCUCCUGACAUUGACCCCUCAACCUUAUCCACGAGAGGCUGUUUUUCAAGCCUUAACCGGAAUCGAUUGGUCAACAGUUGAUUUCCAGCGUCUGGGGAGGGAUGAAGAGAAUGUGACCGCGCAAGAUGACCCUCAAUCGUCAAGCCAACCUGAUGAGGAAUCCUAAACCGGUGGCCGGUUUAACAGCUGCUGAGGGAGUCCUAGAUUAGGGGGUGUCCAGAUGGCUAAGUUAAAGUGAUAACACAUCAUAGUCCGAUUGCCUAGUUCGCUGCUCUAUCACCUCCUUUGUAGGACCAAGACGUUGGAUCAAGUGUGAAAAUGCGCCUUCUGCGAACACCCCCGCAUUAUGUGCGUGGGGGCUGAAGUCGACGACUGCCAUCUUUCAGAUUAUAUAUACAUAUAUGUUAAACGGCCACACAGGAGGUAUCAUAAUACUUGCAGGCACAAGUAUAAAAGGCGUCUACAAUUUAUCAAAAUAUUGUUUUACAAUAAUACAUGCUAUUCGAAUAUAGUAUCCUUCGAGCACUGCGUCUCUAUUAAAUGAGCGCCUUGCAGAACUUCCUGAAAAUAGCGCUCGGCAGGUACUCGGCUUCCAUCCGAGUCUGGGUGCGCAAUAGCGGUGGCUUCCAUUUCCGCCCAGUAUGUCUUGACACGGGCAAGAGCCAUCUGCGCACCCUCUAUGCACGCUGACCUCUUCAUUGCAUUGAUAUGCGGCGCCGCACCAAGGAACUGCUGCACCAAGUUGAAAUAACUUUUCGGCUCUGGUCUCUCUGGCCACAAAUGACUCACGACAUACUUCAUGGCGAGUCCGGACAACCUAUUUAGCUCGGCCCAUUCGGCCAAACGAUCGGCUAAUGACAGUGGACGCUCUGGAUUGUGGAACUGCGACCAGAAGAGCUUUUCCACUUCGCGAUCUUCUUGAUCUCAGAAAUGCUCAGCCUCAUCUGCGGCACUCGCUGCUAAAUCCAGAUAGGUGUCCGCCGUACUCCAUAUCUGGUCUAACGGAGCAUGUUUAGGAUCAUAGAACUUCCUCCGCAUCAUAAAGGACUUUCCAACCGCGAUUUCUCCGACCUGACGCAGCUCCUCCUUCACAGCUCUCAUCACAGAGCGAGCAUCCUUGGCAUCGGCAACGGCCUUUUUCAGGUCCGUCUGUUCCGCCCGAUCUUCUUUUUCAAGAAGCUUGCAACGGUUAGCAGCGUUCUUCAGCUUCACGGCCAUCUCGGCCAUUUCCUUCUUGCUUCGGCAGUGAGCAGCCUGUUCAGCUUUCAGCUCUUCAAUUGCCUUUCCGGCAGCCGCAUCACUUUUCCUGGCUUGCUCCUUGGCUCGGGCUAGUUCCGCCCGAAGAUUCUCCAUGGCAGCGGCACCAUCUGCAUCAAGCACACACUUUGUAAGAUACUGGCAUAAAGCUCCUCUUACCAGGCACCGCCGAAGGAAUUACAUACCUUGUGCCUCGUCAAGCCGCUUGUUGACAAGCGCGAUGUCGGCAUCUGCCACGUCAAGUUGCCGCUUUAGCUCGGCAAAUCCAUCAGUCUGGCUGGCCACCGGACACUUCGCCACCUACGUAUAAAGGCGGCAUAUUAGACCUGGGAUUAUGAUCCUCUGUGCGCCGUCACUUUUGAUAACACACAGAGUCUCAGGGGCUACUAUCUACAUAGGGUGCAUCUUAUUUAUGCGCAACUGUCCAAAAAGGGUACAUUAUUUUGCGUAUCUCAAAACCUGUCAGUAAACUCCUGACGGCCUCGUGCAAUCCGCUCUCCGCGGAUGAAAUCCUCUCAAUCACUGUACCCAUCAAUGCACGGUGCUCCUAUGAUAUAGAUGCUCGCCCUAGCAGAUCCUUCAGCUCCUCCAACCACGCACCAAACGGCGCCGGACUCGUCCGAUGGCCCUUUUCGAAGGCCGGACGUGGAGGGCUUUGGGGGGCCAUUACUACCUUUCGGCCCCACCGGAUUCGGAGAAACCCUCUGCGACGAUACCUCCGGGUCGCCCGCCUCGCAAGGCGGUACGGUAGGGGGAGGCGUUCCGCUCUCCAUCAUCUCCGGAAGAAGAUCCCCCGAAGACGAGCUCUGCUGAAAAGGGCUAAGGUCCGAGCUACAAGGUAAAUUUUUGAUUACUUUUCUCAGAUAUAAAGCAGGGAUUCCUCUCGUUUCUUAAAAAGAAAACUCCUCUUUACUUACGGCUCGGUGGAGGGCUGAUCCCCUUGAGGGCAUAAUUCGGCCGUAUCCCCCAGCACAGGACCCUCUGGUGAAGAUUUCUUCCCCUGCUUUAAGGGCAUGGUCUCCGGGUCUUCAGAGGUGGUCCUCUUCUUCCCCUGAGGAGAGGAAUUUUCAAUUCCUCCCUCCCGGACAACCUCCUUUGAGGUGGCUAUAGCUCCCUUGUCCCCUCCCUCGCUUCCCUUUGAAGGCACAACCUCCAACAUCCUGACUAGCACGGGACCCGGCGUGGUCUCGGGGAGGGGGGCUGGACACCUUAUUAGCUUUGCUUUCGCUAUCCACUCCUGUUUAAAGGACAGCUCUUUUAGGGGCAAUUUUAUGAUAAAUAUACGGAUAGCGAGUCCAGGCACAAGGCUACUUACUUGAGUAUCCGGACGAUUGCAGCUUAGACAUGCGUCCUCCGUAGAAUCCGGACACACUACUUGUGGUCCGAAGAACAAUUUGUACAUCUCCAUGGGCGUCAUGCCAAGAAAAUGUUGGAGAACUCGUGGUCCCUCCGGUUGAACUCCCACGGUGGAGGGGGCAACGUUUGUAGGGCAGAACUCGGAAAAUUAACAUAACCUAUGUCACCAUGACCAGACUGAUGUCCCUUUCUAGGAGAUCUCGGAUGUGGCCCUGCAACAGGGGCACGUCCUUUGCCGGCCCCCAGUCCAGCCCCGUAUUGACCCAUAACGCCAGUCGUGGUGGGGGACCCGAGCGAAAGGCAGGUGGCACCACCCACUUAGGAGCCCUGGGAGUGGUAUUAUAAAACCACUCUCGCUGCCAUAAGUUGGACUCCUCUUGAAAAGAGCCCUCGGGCCAUGGAGUACCAGCAUUCUUGCUUAUAAAAGCACCUCCGCACUCCGCAUGCCGUCCCUCGAUCAUCUUCAGCUCUACUUUGAAGGUCUUGAGCCAUAGUCCGAAGUGAGGAGUGAUACGGAGGAAGGCUUCACACACGACGAUGAAUGAGGAAAUAUGGAGGAUGGACUCCGAGGCUAAGUCGUGAAAUUCCAGCCCAUAAUAAUACAUGAGCCCCCUCACGAAGGGAUCCGUCGGGAAGCCUAGCCCCCGAAGGAAGUGAGACGUGAACACCACACUCUCACCGGGCUUGGGAGUGGGAAUGACCUGCCCUUGAGCAGGCAGCCUAUGCGAGAUUUCGCCGGUCAAGAACCUGGCCUCACUCAACUUCAGCACGUCCUCCUCCGUGACAGAGGAGGGCAUCCAUCGGCCUCGAAGGUCGGAACUGAACAUUGUCGAAGGUCCGAAGCGCCUGAAAUCUGGAGCCUUGGGUGUUGGAACUCGAGGCGAAGGGCGAACUCGUUUGAGAUUGAAAGAAAGGAGUAAGGCCUUGGUCUCUUUAUAAGAGGUUGAAUACCAAGGGCCUUCCCCGUGACCGUUUGGGACUCGCCUUUGAUCGAGGAAAUAUACCAACGAGUACGGUUGGGUUACCCACGCCCGUAUUGAUGAGAAUCCCGGAAUAAGGGGACACGAUCUCCACCUUAACAAGACGUGCCAAGGAAACCGCCUCGCUAAACGCGCUAAGGUGGGAUAAUAAAACGAUUCGAAUAAAGACUUGGCCGUGGUGUGAUGUCAUGCUAUGGAAUAUGUCAGCAUAUUAGAUUUGUGUAAAUAUUAUUCUCUCUAUGGCAAUAUGUGGAAACUUAUUUUGCAGAGCCAUACACUACUUUUUUGUUCAAAAUCUUCUAUGAAGUACUUGGAGGAGGAACCCGCCUUGCAAUGCCGAGGACGAUCUGCAUGCAAGACUCGUCGUCAUUGAAGCCUGGUUCAGGGGCUACUGAGGGAGUCCUGGAUUAGGGGGUGUCCGGAUGGCCGGACUAUACCUUCAGACGGACUCCUGGACUAUGAAGAUACAAGAUUGAAGACUUCGUCCCGUGUUCGGAAGGGACUUUCCUUGGCGUGGAAGGCAAGCUUGGUGAUACGGAUAUGUAGAUCUCCUACCAUUGUAACCGACUCUGUGUAACCCUAGCCCUCUCCAGUGUCUAUAUAAACCGGAGAGUUUUGGUCCGUAGGACGAACAACAAUCAUACCAUAGGCUAGCUUCUAGGGUUUAGCCUCUCUGAUCUCGUGGUAGAUCUACUCUUGUACUACCCAUAUCAUCAAUAUUAAUCAAGCAGGAUGUAGGGUUUUACCUCCAUCAAGAGGGCCCGAACCUGGGUAAAACAUCGUGUCCCCUGCCUCCUGUUACCAUCCGACCUAGACGCACAGUUCGGGACCCCCUACCCGAGAUCCGCCGGUUUUGACACUGACAGCUGCGGUCUGCCACUUCUUUGAAAACACUUAUUCAAUUUUGGGGCAUUGAAAAUACCUUGUAAUAGGAUAGCAUGAACACCUUAUCUGCCAUGCCAUCGAGCAUGUUUGUUUUGCUUGAUACUGAAAAACUUGUCCUGUCUUUGGGAUCUAUUUAUGCAUAGCCCAUUGUGAUUUAUGUUCCGGCAUAUAAGAACUUGAAAGUGUCCUAGUGGUUUACCACUAGACGGGUCAUGAUGCCCAAAAAAUAUAUACAUAACUUGGAUGGAUAACUAAGAUUUGUAUUACCCAGAUACAAAAUAAAUGAUACCUGUGAUAUAUCUUCAUUGGCUGACCAACUGUUGGUAUAGUAGGAGUGAAAAUACCCACCUGUAGGGUUGAUGACUCCUUUCCCUCUUGCCGGUUCAUGUAAAAACCAUACCGGGUGAUGAUUACCACCGGUUUGUUCGUAUAAUGCUGGUGACCUGUAGCCAAAACCAGACCGGAGCAAUUCACUGCCGGUUUAGAACUGAUCAUGUACUGACAACUGAGCGUUGAAAGCCAUGCCGGGUUGUAAUAAACAUCGGUUUAUCAGAAAUAUUCAUAAAUCCCUUAUCAAAAGAUAUAAAAAUAGCAAAUCGAAAAGAAAUAUACAAGGCUUUUCAUGGGCUGCCAGGCCGCUGAGUUAAACCAUUUUGCAAAGCCUUUUAAGAUGGACCUCAAUCUUUAACCAAUCACCGUUUUAACAUUGACAAGUUCAGGGUCCAUGAGAUUGACUUGUCAAACGUUCGAUGGGUCAUACCGGGUUUACCUGGACGGAGUGGCUUACUUAAAGAGGCAGGAUAACCCGGGGUUUUAGGUGAAUACACCUGGCUUCCAAGCUUGGCUUGAUAGCCUAUUACAAGGGUGCAAGCUGGUUGUUCUUUGAGAAGCAAGGAGCCCCCAGGUAAUAUUUGAGCUGUGCUCAGUGGUUACCUAUGUUUGAGUUGUGCUUGAUGAAACAGACCCUCUUUGGUUCCUCAUAAUUUCCUUUUGGCUUUAAGCCUAUCAAGAGGUGUAGCUAUGGUGUGAAGACAACCAAGCCCCCUAGUGAUAUCCCUUUUUGGUGUUAAACCGAUCAAGAGGUGUAGCUAUGGUUCGAAUACGACCAAACCCCCUAGUGAUUUCCUUUAUAUCUGUGUGGCCUUAUGGGACGGGUUAAUCAAACUCCGCUUUGUCAGUAGAAGCCCACAUGGAACCACACCUGAUGUAAAAAAGAACAGAGACCCUGCUUUAGCUGAGGCUCCGGUUUAGUAUAUAAUAUAUACAUUGUCUUAAGUAUGUACAUAAGAAGAGCCUAUGGCUCAAGUAUAGUAAGGCCGAAGAAGGGCUAUAUUCCACGGCCGCUUGGUCUCCUCCUCCGAUUCAUGUGAAUCUUUAUGCUCUCGAACAUCGAUAAGGUAGUAUGACCCGUUGUGUAGGUUUUUGCCAAUCACAAAAGGUCCUUCCCAAGGUGGGGAUAACUUGUGCAUAUCAGUUUGAUCCUGGAUGAGCUGGAGCACCAGAUCACCCUCUUGAAAAGUUCUGGUUUUAACCCGGCGGCUGUCAUAACGCCGGAGAUCUUGUUGAUGAAUCGCCGAGCGUGCCACUGUGAGAUCACGCUCCUCAUCUAACAGGUCCAGUGAGUCUUGACGUGCCUUCUCAUUGUCAGCUUCAACAUAAGCCGCCACACGGGGCAAGUCAUGACGGAUGUCACUAGGAAGGACCACCUCUGCUCCAUAAACCAUGAAGAAAGGUGUGUGACCCGUCGAUCUGUUUGUUGUGGUGUUGAUACUCCAUAACACAAAAGGUAACUCCUCCACCCAACAACCCGGUGUAUGCUUUGAAGGAACCAUAAGCCGGGGUUUGAUACCUCCCAAAAUUUCUUGAUUUACCCUCUCAGCUUGACCAUUAUACUGGGGGUGAGCCACUGACGGUACAUCAAGCCGGAUAUGCUCAUGUUGACAAAAUUCCUCCAUCUCACCCUUAGACAGAUUAGUACCAUUAUCUGUGAUAAUGCUGUGUGGAAAACCAAACUGGAAGAUCACCUUCUUGAUGAAUUGAACCGCCAUGGCUGCAUCACACUUACUGACUGGCUCUGCCUCUACCCACUUGGUAAACUUGUCAACCGCCACCAACAGGUGGGUCUUUUUGUCCUUGGAUCUCUUCAAGGAUCCAACCAUAUCGAGCCCCCAAGUUGCAAACGGCCAAGUGAUUGGAAUCAUUCUCAACUCCUGAGCCGGAACAUGGGUGCGGCGUGCAAACUUCUGACAACCGUCACACCUUUUUACAAAAUCCUCUACAUCAGCAUGAGCCGUCAACCAGUAGAAGCCGUGACAAAAAAGCCUUAGCCACCAAGGUUUUUGAACCGGCGAGGUGACCACAAUCUCCUUCAUGGAUUUCUCGCAAAAUCUCACAACCCUCUUGAGGAGACAUGCAACGCUGAAUUGCUCCUGUAACGCUGUAACGAUGUAACUCCCCAUUGAUAAUGGUCAUUGACUUGGAUCACCGGAUUAUCUGCCGGGCCAAGGUUUCAUCCUCCGGUAACACGCCCUAGUUCAUGUAAGCCAAGUACGGGACUGUCCAAUCCGAUGUAACAUGCAAAGCUACCACCAACUGGGCCUCCGGGUCAGGAAUAGCCAACUCCUCCUUUGUUUGUAUCUUGACCGACGAAUUAUGUAGUACGUCGAGGAAGACAUUACGUGGAACCGGUUUACGCUGAGAGCCUAGGUGACUUAAAGCGUCCGCCGCUUCAUUCUUUCUCCGGUCUAUAUGCUCAACUUGAUAACCCUUGAAAUGACCAGCCACUAUGUCCACCUCUCGUUGAUAUGCACCCAUGAGUGGGUCCUUAGAAUCCCAAGUGCCAGACACCUGUUGAGCCACCAGGUCCGAGUCACCGAAGCACUUAACCCGCAUAAGUUCAUCUCCUUGGCCAUCCGAAGACCGUGGAGUAAGGCCUCAUACUCAGCUGCAUUGUUAGUGCAAGGGAACAUUAAGCGAAGAUCAUAACAAAACUUGUCACCUCGUGGGGAAGUUAAUAUGACUCCAGCCCCCGAGCCCUCCAAUUGUCUGGACCCAUCAAAAUGAAUAGUCCAAUAAGUGUUGUCUGGCUUUUCCUCUGGCGCCUAUGAUACGUCUCCAACGUAUCUAUAAUUUUUGAUUGCUCCAUGCUAUAUUAUCUAUUGUUUUGGACAUUAUUGGGCUUUAUUAUCCACUUUUAUAUUAUUUUUGGGACUAACCUAUUAACCAGAGGCCCAGCCCAGAAUUGCUGUUUUUUUGCCUAUUUUAGGGUUUCGAAGAAAAGGAAUAUCAAAUGGAGUCCAAACGGAAUGAAACCUUCGGGAACGUGAUUUUCUCACCGAACAAGACCCAGGAGACUUGGACCCUAUGUCAAGAAAUAAAGGAGGAAUCCACGAGGUAGGGGGGUGCACCUACUCCCCAGGCGCGCCCUCCACCCUCGUGGGCCCCCUGUUGCUCCACUGACGUACUCCUUCCUCCUAUAUAUACCUACGUACCCCCAAACAAUCAGAUACGGAGCCAAAACCCUAAUUCCACCGCCGUAACUUUCAGUAUCCACAAGAUCCCAUCUUGGGGCCUGUUCCGGAGCUCCGCCGGAGAGGGCAUCCAUCAUGGAGGGCUUCUACAUCAACACCAUAGCCUCUCCGAUGAAGUGUGAGUAGUUUACCUCAGACCUUCGGGUCCAUAGUUAUUAGCUAGAUAGCUUAUUCUCUCUUUUUGGAUCUCAAUACAAUGUUCUCCCCCUCUCUUGUGGAGAUCUAUUCGAUGUAAUCUUCUUUUUGCAGUGUGUUUGUUGAGACUGAUGAAUUGUGGGUUUAUGAUCAAGAUUAUCUAUGAACAAUAUUUGAAUCUUCUCUGAAUUCUUUUAUAUAUGAUUGGUUAUCUUUCCAAGUCUCUUCGAAUUAUCAGUUUGGUUUGGCCUGCUAGAAGUGCUUAGCUUUGGGUUCAAUCUUGCGGUGUCCUUUGCCAGUGACAGUAGGGGCAGCAAGGUACGUAUUGUAUCGUUGCUAUCAAGGAUAACAAGAUGGGGUUUUUAUCAUAUUGCAUGAAUACAUCAUGUCAUCUUGCUUAAGGCAUUACCCUAUUUUCAUGAACAUAAUACUCUAGAUACAUGCUGGAUAGCGGUCAAUGAGUGGAGUAAUAGUAGUAGAUGCAGGCAGGAGUCGGUCUACUUCUCUCGGACGUGAUGCCUAUAUACAUGAUCAUACCCAGAUAUUCUCAUAACUAUGCUCAAUUCUAUCAAUUGCUCAACCGUAAUUCGUUCACCCACCAUAAAAUACUUAUGCUCUUGAGAGAAGCCACUAGUGAAACCUAUGGCCCCCGGGUCUAUCUUCAUCAUAUUAAUCUUCCAAUACUUAGUUAUUUCCUUUGCUUUUUUUACUUUGCUUUUAUUUUACUUUGCAUCUUUAUCACAAAAAUACCAAAAAUAUUAUCUUAUCAUAUCUAUCAGAUCUCACUCUCGUAAGUGACCGUGAAGGGAUUGACAACCCCUUAUCGCUUUGGUUGCGAGGAGUUAUUUAUUUUGUGCAGGUACGAGGGACUCGCGCGCAACCUCCUACUGGAUUGAUACCUUGGUUCUCAAAAACUAAGGGAAAUACUUACGCUACUUUGUUGCAUCAUCCUUUCCUCUUCAAGGAAAUCCAACGCAGUGCUCAAGAGGUAGCAAGAAGAAUUUCUGGCGCCGUUGCCGGGGAGGUUCACGCAAGUCAAGAUUUGACUCCCGACAACGACCCAUUUCUGGCGCCGUUUCCUGGGAGGUUUGCGCAAGUCAAGAUUUGACUCCCGACAACGAGCCAUUUCUGGCGCCGUUGCCGGGGAGUCUACGCAAAAGUCAACAUACCAAGUACCCAUCACAACCCUUAUCUCCCGUGUUACAUUAUUUGCCAUUUUCACUCGUUUUCCUCUCCCCCACUUCACCCUUGCCGUUUUAUUCGCUCUCUCUCUCUCUAUCCUCCCUCUCUUUCUCUAUUUGCCUCUUUUUGCCCGCUUGCUUUUUGUUUGCUUGUGUGUUGGAUUGCUUGCUUGUCACGAUGGCUGAAGAUAACACUAAAUUGUGUGACUUUACCAAUACCAACAACAAUGAUUUUAUUAGCACUCCGAUUGCUCCUCUUACCGAUGCUGAAUCUUGUGAAAUUAAUGCUGCUUUGCUGAAUCUUGUCAUGAAAGAUCCGUUUUCUGGCCUUCCUAGUGAAGAUGCCGCUACCCAUCUAAAUAGCUUCGUUGAUUUGUGUGGUAUGCAAAAGAAGAAAGAUGUGGACAACGAUAUUGUUAAGUUGAAGCUAUUUCCUUUUCCUCUUAGAGAUCGUGCUAAAGCUUGGUUUUCGUCUUUGCCUAAAAAUAGUAUUGAUUCUUGGAACAAGUGCAAAGAUGCUUUUAUCUCUAAGUAUUUUCCUCCCGCUAAGAUAUUAUGAAUUUUAAGCAACUUGAUCAUGAACAUGUUGCACAAGCUUGGGAGAGGAUGAAAUUAAUGAUACGUAAUUGCCCUACUCAUGGUUUGAAUUUGUGGAUGAUUAUACAAAUUUUUAAUGCCGGAUUGAAUUUUGCUUCCAGAAAUCUUUUAGAUUCGGCCACGGGAGGCACUUUUAUGGAAGUCACUUUACGAGAAGCUACUAAACUCCUAGAUAAUAUUAUGGUUAAUUAUUCUCAAUGGCAUACUGAAAGAUCUACUAAUAAAAAGGUGCAUGCAAUAGAAGAAAUUAAUGUUUUGAGUGGAAAGAUGGAUGAACUCAUGAAAUUAUUUGCUAGUAAGAGUGUUUCUUCCGAUCCUAAUCAUAUGCCCUUGUCUACUUUGAUUGAGAGUAAUAAUGAAUCUAUGGAUGUGAAUUUUGUUGGUAGGAACAAUUUUGGUAACAACGCGUAUAGAGGAAACUUUAAUCGUAGGCCUUAUCCUAGUACUAGUAAUCCAUCUAAUAAUUAUGGUAAUUCCUACAACAAUUCUUAUGGAAAUUAUAAUAAGAUGCCCUCUGAUUUUGAAUCUAAUAUUAAAGAAUUUAUUUCUGCGCAAAAGAAUUCCAAUGCUUUGAUUGAAGAAAAAUUACUUAAGAUUGAUGAGUUGGCUAGGAACGUUCAUAGAAUUUCUCUUGAUGUUGAUUCUUUGAAACUUAGUUCUAUUCCUCCUAAGAAUGAUAUCAAUGAGUCUCUCAAAGUCAUGAGAAUUUCCAUUGAUGAGUGCAAAGAAAGAACCGCUAGGAUGCAUGCUAAGAAAGAUGCCUUUAUAAGAGCGUGUUCUUCUAGUUCCUAUGAAAAUAAAGAUGAAGAUCUAAAAGUUAUUGUUGUGCCCCCUAUUAAAUCUCUGUUUUGCAAUAUGAAUCUUUAUAAUGAUGGGACUGAAUAUGAUCCACCUUUACCUAGAAGGCGUUCCAAAGAUUCGGAGUUUGUAGAUCUUGAUGCUAAAUUUGAUGAAAGUGGGAUUGAAGAAAUUAAAAUCCUCGAUGUUGCUAAACCCACUAUUUUGGAUUUCAAAUAAUUUAAUUAUGAAAAUUGCUCUUUGAUUGAUUGUAUUUCCUUGUUGCAAUCCAUGCUAAAUUCUCCUCAUGCUUAUAGUCAAAAUAAAGCGUUUACUAAACAUAUCGUUGAUGCCUUGAUGCAAUCUUAUGAAGAAAAACUUGAGUUGGAAGUUUCUAUCCCUAGAAAACUUUAUGAUGAGUGGGAACCAACUAUUAAAAUUAAGAUUAAGGAUCACGAGUUCUAUGCUUUAUGUGAUUUGGGUGCUAGUGUUUCCACGAUUCCAAAGACUUUGUGUGAUUUGUUAGGUUUCCGUGAUUUUGAUGAUUGCUCUCUAAACUUGCACCUUGCGGAUUCCACUAUUAAGAUACCUAUGGGAAGAAUUAACAAUGUUCUUAUUGUCGCAAACAGGAAUUAUGUGCCCGUAGAUUUUAUUGUUCUUGACAUAGAUUGCAAUCCUUCAUGUCCUAUUAUUCUUGGUAGACCUUUCCUUAGAACGGUUGGUGCAAUUAUUGAUAUGAAGGAAGGAAAUAUUAGAUUCCAAUUUCCGUUAAGGAAAGUCAUGGAACACUUUAAAUUACCUUAUGAAUCUAUUAUGAGAGCCACUUAUGGAUUGCCUACCAAAGAUGGCAAUACCUAGAUCUAUCCUUGCUUUUCAUGCCUAGCUAGGGGCGUUAAACGAUAGCGCUUGUUGGGAGGCAACCCAAUUUUAUUUUUAUUCCUUGAUUUUUGCUCCUGUUUAGUAAUAAAUAAUUUAUCUAUCCUGUAUUUUGGUUGUGUUUUUUGUGUUUAAUUAGUGUUUGUGCCAAGUAGAACCAUUGGGAAGACUUGGGGAAAGUCUUGAUAUCUUGCUGUAAAAAAACAGAAACUUUAGCGCUCACGAGAAGCUCUGCCAUUUUCAUUUGGAAAGUUCUAUUUAGUUAAUUCUUUUAAUAGAUAAAUUCCUCAUGUCCAGCAAUUUAUUUUAGAAUUUUUCGGGUUCCAGAUCUUGCGCUAGCUACAGAUUACUACAGACUGUUUAGUUUUUGACAGAUUCUGUUUUUCGUGUGUUGUUUGCUUAUUUUGAUGAAUCUAUGGCUAGUAAAAUAGUUUAUAAACCAUAGAGAAGUUGAAAUACAGUAGGUUUAACACCAAUAUAAAUAAAUAAUGAGUUCAUUACAGUACCUUGAAGUGGUCUUUUGUUUUCUUUCGCUAACGGAGCUCACGAGAUUUUCUACUUUAAGUUUUGUGUUGUGAAGUUUUCAAGUUUCGGGUAAAGAUUUGAUGGAUUAUGGAAAAAGGAGUGGCAAGAGCCUAAUCUAGGGGAUGCCCAUGGAACCCCCAAGAUAAUCUAAGGACACCUAAAAGCCAAAGCUUGGGGAUGCCCCGGAAGGCACCCCCUCUUUCGUCUACUUCUAUCGGUAACUUUACUUGGAGCUAUAUUUUUAUUCACCACAUAAUAUGUGUUUUGCUUGGAGCGUCUUGUAUGAUUUGAGUCUUUUCUUUUUAGUUUACCACAAUCAUCCUUGCUGUAAACACCUUUUGAGAGAGCCAUACAUGAUUUGGAAUUUGUUAGAAUACUCUAUGUGCUUCGCUUAUAUCAUUUGAGUUAUAUAGUUUUGCUCUAGUACUUCACUUAUAUCUUUUAGAGCACGGUGGUGGAAUUGUUUUAUAGAAACUAUUGAUCUAUCAUGCUUCACUUAGAUUAUUUUGAGAGUCUUAAAUAGCACGGUAAUUUGCUUAAAUAAUCCUAAUGUGCUUGGUAUUCAAGAAUAGUAAAAGCUUUUUUAUGAGUGUGUUGAAUGCUAUGAGAAGUUUGAUACUUGAUAAUUGUUUUGAGAUAUGGAGAUGGUGAUAUUAGACUCAUGCUAGUUGAGUUGUUGUGAAUUUGAGAAAUACUUGUGUUAAAGUUUGUGAUUCCCGUAGCAUGGACGUAUGGUGAACCGUUAUGUGAUGAAGUCAGAGCAUGAUUUAUUUUUUGAUUGUCUUCCUUAUGAGUGGCGGUCGGGGACGAGCGAUGGUCUUUUCCUACCAAUCUAUCCCCCUAGGAGCAUGCGCGUAAUACUUUGCUUUGAUAACUUGUAGAUUUUUGCAAUAAAUAUAUGAGUUCUUUAUGACUAAUGUUGAGUCCAUGGAUUAUACGCACUUUUCUUCCUUCCACCAUUGCUAGCCUCUCUAAUACCGCGCACCUUUCGCCGGUAUCAUACACCCACCAU
rnacentral:lncRNA from 1 species